rnacentral:lncRNA from 1 species
UUGAACUGAACGGCUGAUGCACUAGAAGUAUAGACAACUCUCUUCAGAGUCUUUGAUUUUAAGCAUGCCUUCAAGAUGCCUAGUGUUCCACUGAUUGCCCUUCUGAUUACUGCUUCUUCAGGUUCUUUGUACUCGAAAUCGACAGGGGUGGCAACAAGGAGGACUCCUUUGCAUCCUUCAAUGGCUGCAUCGAAGCUGUCAGGGUCAUUGAGAUCUGCACUGUAAAUUUUCAGCUUUUCGGCUGCCCCUGGCAGAUUGGUGAGGAAACUAAUGUCUCUUUUGUUUUCUGGUCAUAUGUCACAGAUUAAAAAAAUCAACAAUAAUGUAGUAUGUUUUACUAAUAUAGACUCAAACCAUUCAUAAAUUAUUUGGGUUGAAAUAAAAAAAAAUUCGAAUUUAUGCUACUCAAAUAACAAAUCUAAGCCGAGUUGAAGUAAUUUAACACCCAACUUGAGAUGUUCACAAGUGUAUAAACAAGCUUAAUCAAACUUUUAUUUUUUUAAUAUAUAUAAAUAAUUAAGUAAUACAAUAUUUAAUGUUAAUAUUUAUAAUUUUAUAAAAUCUAACCAAAUUUAUCAAAUCAAGUUCAAGCAAAUCUCUUAAAUUACGAGUCAAUAAAUCUAUUAAAUUAUGAGCCGAGUUUGAGUAUGAAAAAUAAAAAUCAAUUGAACUCAAAUCAAAUUUUAAAUUAAGAUUUGAAUUUUCGACUUGAGCCAAACUAAGAUUCGAGCAAAAUUAAAACCUGACAGUGUAUCAAUUCAAUUCGAUUCCGUUAGGCCUUUAUACGACCAACACCACCCUUUAGUUUUCAAAAACCAGCGAAAGGAAUGAAAAUGAGCAUGGGAUUCAGUAGGAAAGCUGAAUUAAUCCCGGAUAAAUCAUGUUUAGUUGUUCCGCAACCUGAAAUCAAUAUCUAAAUUGAUCUACCCUCUUACCUGGAUCCGGUCUGACAGUGGUAUUGACAGAGUAACCCUCUUCUAGAAGCCUCUUGAUCAGCCAUGAACCUAUAAACCCUGUGCCUCCUGUCACACACACAGUUCCUUUGUCUCCUUCCAUCCCCGUUAUCUCUCUCUUGUAAUUUCACACUGCUCUCUCACAAGAUUUGCAACCCCAUAUAUCAUGAUUUUUCUUUGUGUUUGGUGGCGCCCUUCAUUUUCCAUGUGGAAUUCUUUGGUUGGUAUUGGUUAAAACUUCGUUUUCCCUUUUCAAUUGUCUAAUGAAUGUGUUUUACUAGUACCGCUGACGUUUGGAGAAUUUUUUUGAGUUAUUAUGUAAAAUAAUUCUGUAUUAUACGUUUUUUUUAUCAUAACUAAAUAAAUAAAAUUUUUGCUUUGAAAUUUUUUAUUUCAUUAAGUAUGUUGAUAUUUUAUAUUAUCAUUAGCAAUUAAGUGAUUGAUAUGGUAUGAAUAUAUAAUAAAAUCAUGUCUUAUAUUAUAAAUAUUUAAUAAUCAUCAUGUCAAUAACUUUUAUUUUUAUUUUUUAUUUUUUUAAAUUUUGAAUUAAAAACAGAUAUUUUAAAGAUUUUUGAAUUUUUUAAUUUAAAUAUUGACAUAAAAAAUAAAUGAUACUAUGAUAUUUGGACAUUUAUACAAAGUAUCAUGAUUUUAUUAGGUUUUAAUGUCACGGAAAGAAGUUGUCUAAUAGUAUUAGAUUAGAAUAUCAAAGUAUUUAGCGGAAUAAAAGUUUAGAUACUAAAAUAAAAAUUUUAUUUUCUUAAGUAUCAAACUUAUAAAAUUAUAUAAUACAAAAGUCAUUUUUAUAUUUAACUCAAUUUUUUCUGAACAUUUUUUAUUGAUAAAAUUGAUCAACAGUUUUUAUUUGUUAUAAGUAAAUACUUAAAAAGAAAAAGUAUUAGUUGGUAGUGUUAGUUGGAAUGAGCAUAUAAAUCACUAAUAAUCCUCAAGCACACGAGCAGAAUUCUUCACAUUAUUGGAAUGAGUAUAUGAUAAACUAAAAGCACGUCAAAAUAAUUAUGGGGCAUAUUCAUGACUUCUUUGGUUGGUAGUGUUAGUUGAAAGAAAGCAAUUGAUCACUAGAUUCCGGAUUUAAUUUGAUUUUUUAGAAUAAUGUAUAAUAUUAUAAAAUUUUUAAAUUCAAUCUAAAUCUAAAUUGAUUUUUUUUUAAACCGAUUUAAUCUUAACUGAAGUCUAUCAAUUUGGUUCAUCAGUUGUUAAAAUUUAUUUUUUUUAUUUUUAUAUAUUAUUUUAAUAAAAUUUUUAAUAUAUUUAAAUAUAUUUAUAUAUAAAAUAAUUAUUUUUAUUUUAUAAAAAUUUAAAAAAUAUAUAAAAAUUAAUAAAAAUAUAUAAUUCGAUUUAUUUUCUUUUCAGUUUUUUACAUCUGAUUCAAAUUUAAUAUAUAUAUAUAUAUAUAUAUAUAUAAUAUCUUACAUUGAUUUAAAUCGAAUAAAAAAAUUGAUCGAAUUGAAUUGAAUACUACGUUUUCGAAUGAACUUUUGAUUUUUUUAAUUUUUUUCUCAUACCUGUUGAUUACUAAUAAAUGAUUGGCUUAAGUGAUAAAGAGAGUGUUUCAUAUUUUGUUGUUUAGAUCUGAAUCCAUUAAAAAGCUGUGGAAAGAUAAUUUCUAUGAAUUCAUUAGAUCUGAUAUAAACAAACAUAUUUGGAUCAACCCGAAAAAGGAUGUGUUGAGCCGAGCAUAAAAACUCCUUGUUACUAAAUUAAAAAAAAGUAAUUGAUCAUGGUCAUGGCAUUCUUUUAUUUCUCGUUGGGUAAGAAACUUUUUAAUUGAAGGUUAAGCAAAGAAACUUGGCUGCAUGCAAUUAGCUGCAAAACAAACAAUGAAGUCCAUGCUCCAUGAAAACACAAGCAUCCAAACAUGAAAUACAGCAGAAAAUACAUGAACUUUCCUGUUAUCAUACCAAAACAAUAAUGAGCUUCAUGAACCUCGCUAAAAUCCUAAAAUCUUCACAUGAAGUACUGCAUCAUCCGUUGGUUCCAAGACUUGCAAUAUCACGAACAUGUUGUUGAUGAUGAUCUUCCACUUAUGUCUUCGGCUGUAAUCUUCCAUUUCAAGUCUUGAUUGAACUUAAGAUGAAACUUUUAAAGGACAUAAGAACAGGCUUCAAGUCAUAAUACUUAAUCAUAAUUAAAGACAUAAUACUUAAUUAUAUUACUAUCAUAUUUUGAAAAUAUUUCUAACAUCAUCAUCGCCCAAACCCUUGGAAUCCACAGUGUACCAAAUCGAAACAAUCAGUUAAUAUGUUCCUAUAGAUUUUGUACCGUGGUGUGAAACCAAGCUAGAGAGAGAUGAUUAUGCUUACUAGAGAAACCUUUUUUGCUUGCAACAUAUCCUCAACCCCAUAGUUAAAUUUGAAACCCAAAUCCAAUGGUUUCUUUGAUGACAAACCAGGCAAUUUAGUACCCUCAAUUUCUGCUAGGGAACUGCAAAGAAUUAAAAAGGCUGUAAAAAUUUUCUUUUUGUCCCAAACCAAGGUUCCAUUUGUUUGGAAAAUGGGGUUCAGUCCCAUGUAAGUAGUUUUGGACCAAGUAAAGGCCAUGGGUGAAGUGUUUUCAUUGUGGUAAGGUGGGUCAUAUAAAACGAAACUGUAGAAUCUUGAAGCAAGAGCGAAAAGAUGAGAAAGGCAAGAGUUCAGAUGAUGGUAAUGUUGCAGCAGUGAAUUCAGAUAGUGAUUCAGUUACUUUGAUUUGUACACAUGGUGAUUGUAAUCAUGUUAGUGAUCCCGGUAUUGAGUGGAUAGUUGACACAGGAGCGGCAUAUCAUUGUGUUCCUAAGAGAGAGUUGUUUACAACUUACAAAGCAGGAGACUUUGGUUGUACCAAGAUGGGAAACAAGAGUGUGUCGCAGAUUGUUGGGAUUGGUGAUAUUGGUGUACAAACUAGUACAGGCUGCAUGUUGACUUUGAGAGAUGUCAGACACAUUCCAGAUAUGAGAAUGAACUUGCUUGCUAUUAAUGUCCUUGAUAAGGAGGGAUAUGAAAGCCGACAAAAGAAUGGACAGUGAAAGCUUCUCAAAGGAUCUAUGAUAGUUGCAAGGGGAAAACAAUGCUGCACAAUGUAUAAUACAUGGAUGCAAUUGGACGGUAACCAGGUAAAUACCGUUGAAAAUGAUGAUUCAGCAAACUUGUGGCACAGGAGGCUGGCACACAUAAGUGAAAAAGGGUUACAGGUUUUGACAAGGCACUCUCUCAUUCCCUUGACCAAAGGUAUGUCUCUCGAUUCAUGUGAUUAUUGUUUGUUUGGUAAGCAUCAUAGAGUUUCUUUUCGUAAAAGUUCUCAGAGAAAAGAAAAUAGAUUGGAAUUAAUUUAUUCUGACGUAUGUGGUCCCAUUGAGGUUGAGUCAUUAGGUGGUAGCAGAUAUUUUGUUACUUUUAUUGAUGAUGCUUCACGUAAGACUUGGGUGUAUAUGUUGAAAUACAAAAGUCAGGUACUGCAGUAUUUUUAAAAAUUUCAUGUCAUGGCUAAAAGGAUGACAGGGUUACCCUUGAAGUGUAUUCGAACUGAUAAUGGUGGGGAAUACACAUCUAAAAGCUUUGAAGAGUAUUGCUCAAAGCAUGGGAUCAGGCAUGAGAGGAUAGAACCUGGAACACCGCAGCAUAAUGGUAUAGCUAAAAGAAUGAAUCGCACCAUUGUGGAAAAAGUCAGAUGUAUGUUGAGGAUGACAAAAUUACUAAAGCCAUUCUGGGGUGAAGCAGUCAACACAGCUUGUUAUUUACUUAACAGGUCACCAUCAGUUCCUUUGGGCUUUGACAUUCCAGAAAGAGUGUGGACAGAAAAAGAUGCUUCAUACUCUCACUUGAAAAUUUUUAGGUGUAAAGCAUUCAUGCAUGUGCCGAAAGAGCAGAGAUCAAAGCUUGACAGUAAAGCUACACAGUGCGUGUUUGUAGGAUAUGGUGAUGAGGAAUUUGGCUACAGGGUAUGGGAUCCAGUAAAGAGAAAGACAGUCAGAAGCAGAGAUGUGGUCUUUCAUGAAAAAGAAACCAUAGCAGACCUUGAAAAAAAUGAGAAGACUACAUGAGUUACUGUUGAGUGUGAUGUUUCAACACCGACAGUGAUUUCACAGGAAAGAGCCACAGAUGGUGAAAAUGAGCCAGAAACAGAACUUGGGGAUAUGGAUGAGCCAGCUACAGUUGGUGAUGAGCCAGAUGCUAUUAGUUUUGAGCAGGGGGAGCAAUCCUCUCUACCUGAGAGUGUUGAGCAGGGGGAGCUACCUUCGGCAUCAAGUGAUGUAGAGUCUCAGCCUAGGAGAUCUACUAGAGAGCGCAGGCCAUCUACCAGGUAUCCAAGUUCAGAUUUUAUUUUAGUUACCAGUGAAGGGGAGCCAGAAAGCUUUCAAGAUGUGAAGGCUACUCCGGAUAGAGAGCACUGGUUAAAAGCAAUGAAAGAAGAGAUGGAGUCAUUGCGAAAGAAUGGUACUUAUGAUCUUGUUAAACUUUCAACAGGGAAGAGGCCAUUAAAGAAUAAAUGGGUGUUCAAGUUGAAAAAAGAUGGUGACAAACUAGUGAGGUACAAAGCUCGAUUGGUAGUAAAAGGUUUUUCUCAAAAACUAGGCAUCGAUUUUGAUGAGAUUUUUGCUCCAGUUGUAAAAAUGAGUUCUAUUCGAGUGGUACUGGGAUUGGCAGCUAGUUUGAAUCUUGAACUUGAGCAACUUGAUGUUAAAACUACAUUUUUGCAUGGUGAUUUGCAGGAGGACAUUUAUAUGAAUCAGCCUGAGGGUUUUGAAGUGAAAGGGAAAGAGCACUUAGUUUGCAAAUUGAAGAAAAGCUUGUAUGGCUUGAAAUAAGCUCCGCGACAGUGGUACAAGAAGUUUGAUUCUUUUAUGGUGAGUCAUAGCUAUAAAAGAACAGCAGCGGAUUCUUGUGUGUAUAUUAAACAAUUCCCUAAUGAUAACUUCAUUAUCUUAUUAUUUUAUGUUGAUGAUAUGUUGAUUGUAGGACAAGAUGCUAGUAUGGUUUGCAGGUUGAAAGAAUAAUUGUCUAAAUCCUUUGAUAUGAAGGAUUUAGGUCCAGCAAAGCAGAUUCUUGGUAUGGACAUUAUCCGAGAUAUGAGAGUUGAAAAGCUGUGGGUGUCACAGGAAAAGUAUGUUGAACGAGUGCUUGGUAGAUUCAACAUGCAACAUGCUAAAUCAGUUAGCAGUUCACUUGCCAACCAUUUUCAUCUAAGUAAAAAAUCUUGUCCAGUGUCUAAGGAAGAGCAACUAGCUAUGUCUAGUAUUCCUUAUUCUUCUGCAGUCGGUUCUUUAAUGUAUCUUAUGGUUUGUACAAGGCCUGACAUUGCUCAUGCAGUUGGUGUAGUGAGCGGAUUUCUUUCUAAUCCAGGGAAGAUCCACUGGGAAGCAGUAAAAUAGAUUUUUAGAUAUUUGAGGGGUACCUCAAAAUUAUGUUUGACUUAUGAAGUUUCACAACCAAUUCUAGAAGGGUUUACUGAUGCUGACAUGGCAGGCAAUCUUGAUGGUAGGAAAUCUACUUCAGGAUAUUUGUUCACUUUUGCAGGAGGAGCUGUAUCUUGGCAGUCUAAGUUACAGAAGUGUGUUGCUUUGUCAACUACAGAAGCUGAGUAUAUUGCAGCAACUGAAGCAUGUAAAGAAAUGCUUUGGAUGAAACGUUUUCUUUUUGAAUUGGGGUUGAAUCAGAAAGAGUAUGUGGUAUUUUGUGAUAGCCAGAGUGCUUUAGAUUUGAGUAAAAAUAUCAUGUACCAUGCUAGAACAAAGCACAUUGAUGUUAGAUAUCAUUGGUUACGUUCAGUGAUUGAAGAACAGCAGAUGCUAUUGAAAAAAGUCCAUACUGAUAAAAAUGUGGCAGAUAUGUUGACUAAGAUACUUCCCAGAGAAAAGCUUGAGCUUUGUAGUAACUUGGCCGGAAUAAGUUCCCUGGCCAAGGUAAGUUCCAAAUGAAAUUGCUAUGGUGAUGAAUCUCCUUCUAAUGGGACUGGAGGGAGAGAUUGUUAGGAAAAUGGGGUUCAGUCCCAUGUAAGUGGUUUUGGACCAAGUAAAGGCCAUGGGCCUUGAUCUUUUAUUUUACACAGAGCCCUAGCUACUUAAUAAAAAAGAGGUGGGGUUGUUUAAGGUGUGUGUCGAUAACCAAGCAGAGAAAGAAGAAAAGCCAGGAAAAGCAGAGAGAGAAAAAGGAGAAGGGAGAGUUGGUUAAACGAAAGUCGAUCCGUGGUCCGAUUGAGUUGGAAUCUUGUCAGGAGGUUUAUGAUUCAGAGUUAUACAUUCUGAACGGUGAAGAUCGGGUUUGAAGCUCUCUAGGAACAAAUCCAAGGUGUAUUUGUUGAGUCACUUAUUUGGUGAGAUUUUUCCAAUUGUUUCUCUAGUUGUUGAUUAGCUCUAGUUUUAGCUAGAGAAGAACUUUGUAUAACUAUUAUUUGAUAGUGAAGAUUUUUCUGGUGGCCCGUGGUUUUUUCCUCUACACUGGAGGGUUUUCCACGUAAAUCUUGGUGUGCUUUAUUUUUCCUGCGCAUUUGAUUAUUGAUUAUUGUCUAUUGCUUCUGUAUUGUUGUGAUUAUUGCUUCAGGCGCAACACCAUUUGGUCCAGACAAAAUGCGUUCACCGGUAUGACGAGAGCAAUGCAAUCGGACUCCCAAAAGGAGCCUAAGAUAACAUGUGUUUAUAAUUGAGAAAAUUCCAAGAAAAAAAAUGAAAAAAGCUUUUACUCACAAGUGUGAAUGCUGGAUAGUUAGCCCAAAGAAUUUCAACAAUCUUUUGAAGAGUAAUUGGGUCAGUGGAAUAAUUAUACCUUCCUUUUUGCCUCGGUGCUCAAGCAGGAAUAUAAGUUUAAUGAGGAAGCUAAGGUCUCUUUUGUUUCCUGCCCAUAUUUCAGCAUCAUUUAUAGUUAAGCUUAAUUCUUUUUAGAGUAUAACAAAUAUUAUAUAUGACAAUUCGUAUAUUUAUAUUUUUAUUUCAUGUCAAAUAUGUUUAAAAUAUAAAAAAUUAUCAUUUCGGAAUUUGUAAUAAUAUUUUAAAAACCAAAUAUGUUUUUUUUUAUUUUUAUCAAAUUUAUAUAUACAUUUUGUUAAAAUUUUUUGUGUUUUUUUUUUUGUUUAUCAUUUUUGUAUUGCAAUUCCCAUGGCACUUGUUCAAAAUUAAGAACCAUUUUUGUUAGAACUUUCUUCGCUAUAUGGUAGAAAUGUGGAACUGCAAUCACUUGCAUCCUUGACCAGUGUUUACUUUUCUCAAGACAAACUGCUUCAUAAUAAUCAAUUCUAUUGUAAUUUGUACUAUUACUAAAAGCUUACGAGUCAUCCUUGAAAGUAGGGUUUCUAAAAUAUAGAAGAAAUUUAGAAGGGUCCUUAUAAUUUGUGGAGUUGUAAAAUUUGACUCGAUUUCUAGAAAAUUAAAGCCACUUUUAUAAUUGUCCAAUCGGUGAUAAUUAGGUUGAAUCUAAUUUAUUGUCUUUGUUGAUUUAUCAUCAAUUUAGGUUCUUUUUGAUAACGUGAUGAAAGUCUCUUUUCAUUAUAUAUGGUAUCGAUUUAUGAUUCAAUCUUUAAAUUUUAUUUAUUCUUUGAAUAUAGCUCUCGUAGUAUAAGUAAUGUCAACAACUGAUUUUACAGUGUUGAAUUAUUUGCCAUGGAUAAUGCUUUAAAAUCACUACAACAAAUUUGAUAAUUAAUGAUGCAUUAUAAGAAAAUGGCGUAUUAGUGACAAUUUUGUAGCGACCGUUCAUUUACAAACGCCGUUAGCUUUCGUGUUUUUAUAAAACUUCAGGUAUUUAUUAUCAAAACGUCAUUAAAUUUUCAAAUAACGGCGUUAGUACUUAUAAACGCUACUCAACACUAGAUAUCAACAGCGUUUAUGGAUAAAAACGUUUUGAAUAAUUUUUAUUAAAAAUUUUAGUGAAUAGUAAAAGUUUAUUUUGACAGACAACACAUUCAAUAAUCACAUUAUAAAAAAUUGUAUGAGCUUAUUGAAGGCGUUUUUCAUAAGAAACGCCUUUAAAAAUGCAUUCAAUAAUUUGACCAAAAACUUUUGUAGGCUUAUAAAAAUGUUUGGAUCGUAUGGAUGUUUACCAUCAGGUUGUAAGUUCAAUCUCUCUCUCUUUAGCUUUUUUUUGGUUUUUUGCACAUAUUAUUUGUAAUUGAUUAUUCUAGGUGUUUUCUUAGUAAAAAUGCCUUCACUAAUUGCUUUAAAAAAAUUUUCAAAGACUAUUGAAGGCGUGUUUUUCUCAAAGAGACGCCCUUAAUAAUCCAUAGACAUUUUUGGCCUAUUAAUUCUUGAAGGCGUUUUUAGUCGAACUCGCUUUCUAUAAUCUAAUAAAUAAGUUUUUGUUGUGAUUAUUAAAUGAGGUUUUUUAUCAAAAACGCCUUCAAUAAAUCAGAGGCAAAAGUUGAAAGGGAUGCUUGAAGGCAUUUUUUGCUCAAAACAUCUUUAAUAUUCCCAAUGAUAAAUUUUAAUGGAUGGAUUAUUGAAGGUGGUUACAUCCAGAAAAUGCCUUCAAAAACAUUUUAGUUGGUAUUAUUAAAGACAAUUUUGGUAAAAAAUGCCUUUAAUGUUUUUUGUUAAGGAUAAUUGAAAGCGUUUUCUUGCUUAAAAAUGCCUUCAUUAAUCCCAUCAAAAUAACAUAUUUGAUAUUGUAUAUGUAUAGUCAUUUGUAGGUUUAUGCCCAGAAAAAUGUUUACUGUCAAUUGUAUAUUUAUGUCCAAAAAAUAUUUGGUUUAUAUAUCUAAUACUAUGAAUUACAUUUUGGAAUUUAUAUAAUGAACAUUGUUGUAUUUCAAUAUAUUGACCACACAUCCGAAAUUAAAACUGAUAACAUUAACAUAUUAAUAUACUUUUCUGAAAUAAUCAUACUCAGUAAUUUAUUAAGUACACAUAGUGUAUUCAUAUUAAAUAUAACAAUAAUAUUAAACCAAUACCCCAAUGUACAAACUUAAAGUUUCCAUUCAACAUGACAUGUUAAAAAUAUUAUAACAAUUUGUUUCAUAUAUAUUUACAUUCAACCAACAAUGUCUAACCUAAAGGUUUAUCAACAUUGAUAAAUGAUAAUGCAUAAUCACACCAUUUUUACGGACUUCAUCCAGUUCCUCUUCCUAGAAGCUUUCUUUACCUUUCCACUAAAAUAAAUAUCAAAAGUAAACGUUAAGAAAUUAGAACAUAAUGUACCUUUUUUAGUUUUUUCAAGAUAUAAGGAGUUUAUGAAAUUUAUACUAAUCUUGAAUGGUGUAGUAAUAAAAUCAUGUAACACUAUCUCCUGCAUAAAAUAAAGGACAUAAUAUCCAUAUUCAGUAUUAUUGGGUUGACGAGGUACCUGAAAAUUAAAUUUAGUGGGUUUAGAAAAUAUUUAUCUAUACAAACUCAGCAUAAAAAUAAUAUAUUUCACAUUUACCGGUAAUGACACCCAUUUCUGUUUCUUUAUCUUCUUAUUGAAUGCAAAUAUUGUCCUAAAUUAAAAAGAAAAAAAUUACUUAUUAGAUAAAUAAAAUUACUUUUGAAGAAACAUAAUAUAUAUAAUAUAAUAAAGUAUAAUAACUCUUUAUAAAAGUUUGAAUAUCAGGGUUAGGCAUCACCGUUGGAUUAACUGAAUUAAAUAAGUAUGGCGUUAGCGAUUUGGUGUCAAUCACAAUCAGCACCCAAUAAUGACUGCAAAAUAAUAACAAUGAUAUACUCAGAUUACACAUCUAAUCAGAUUUAGGUAAGGUUGGAGUAAUUAAGGUUGGAAUAUAGUUUACUGUGCAUUAUACGAGAGCAAAUAAUAAUCAACCGAUCUUUUCAUGCAUAGGAUCACAUGAUUAGCAUGAUAAGUGACUGUCUCACUCUGCUCACUAAUGAAGUUGGGGUCAAUAAAUCUAAAUUUGUUAGUCAAUUGUCUCCCCUUGAACUCUCUAUAUUUGAAGCUAUACGAUAACAAUCAACACUGCUAGUUAGUAUUACACCCUAAUAUAGAUUACUAUAUAUUGAAUGUGCAUAUUUGUAUUUAUAAGCUAACCUCAUAUAAGCAAUGAUAUCAACAGCUGAUAAUUCAUCAAGUUCACAAAAUUCUUUAACCUCAUCUACACCAAUGAAAGAAAAUGAUGGUUUAUCAAAUAACCAUUCUUCAGACUCAAUGGUUAUGAAGUUUUAUCCGGAUAAAUGCUCCAACGAAUAUUUGGAUAACUCAUCCAUAAAAGCCUAAGCAAGGGUCAUACUGUAAGUCUAAACAUCCUUCUAUAAUAUUUAAUGAAAUAUAAGUAUUAAAACCAAAUCAAUCAAUAUAAUAAACAAAUUAAUAUUCAAAUUAUAAACAAUGUCAUACUUCUUGGGUAGUAACGGAGGAUGAGAUCGCUUCUUACUUUCAACGAAAGCUUCUCGUACAGGAACAAUGCUAUCAGGCUAUGCUAUUGGCAUAACCUGCUGCAUUGCUGUCAAUAUGGACUCUAAAGCAGCGAGUCUUUGCUAUUGGUCAUUGAGGCGUUGCUCCUGGUCAUUAAUUUAUUACUGUUGUUGCUCAAUUAUUGCUUCAUAUUGUGCAUUUCUCAUUCGUGGGGCUUUUGGUUGUUUACCAAAAAACGUUAAUUGCAAGAUAAAUAUACCAACCCCACAAACCCGACCAGGCUUUUCUUUAGUGCCUAAUGCUAAAGAUAAAAAAAUCUUCGUCAUACUGGGUUGCCAGUUCACCAGAUUUGACUUUGGCAAUAUAAUCAUCUUGAAAGACAAUAAUCAGUUGGGCUAUAAUAAUAAAUCUAUACAAGCUAGUAUACACUCAUGAAUACAAUCACAAUACCAAUCAUACAUUAUAUCAAAAAAACAGUUGUACAUAUAAUUUUUUUACCAUUUUCUCGGUUGUUUCAUUUGCAAAAAAUCCAUCAUUCUGUAGAUGUUCUUGUUUUCAAACAUCCCAUCUGAAAAUUUUUGUGUCAGAGCUCGCUAAUUUCUAUUAAAUUAUCACAAUAAAAGAAUCAUAAUGUAUAAAAUGAAUGUUCAUAAAUAUUCAUUAAUGAGUAUAAAAUAAGUGUGCGAAUACAUACAAGCUGAUACUUCACAUUUACAUAUUUUUUUAUUAUUGUCCGAUGUUGAUAUUGUUGUUUGGUCCGAAUGUCUCGUUGUUGUUCUUUGAUUUUUUACAAAAUUAAAAAAUUAUGUCAAUCACAUAUGAAGAUCAAAUGUUAUAUCGCAUAAAGACUUAUAAAUAAUUUUUAAUGAAAAUGGGUUUGCGUACUAAAAAAUCUUCUAAAAGUCGAUAUUGAACAAAAUUUGUCUAAUCUUUAACACUUAUGACAUCUGCAUAUGCCGUAGGUAGAACAACCAAUACAUCACCUUCACCAGCCAACGGUAAAAUAUAUUGGAUUGUCAAUCUGCUUUUAAAGUCUCUGAAUGCUUUCCCAGCAGAUUGUAACACAAUCUUUUUAUAGUCAAUUGGGAUGUCGAACCGCUCCUAAAUAAGUUAACACAAUUAGUAUGAACACAUUGAAUUUCAAUUAAUUGAUCAUUUAACAAAUUUUUACGAAAUGGUUUAAUAAGCAUACCACAACCGACUGCCAUAUAUCAUCCUUAAGAUCAUUAAGAACUCGUCACCAAUCGAUGUACAUAAUUAAAAUCUACAUAGAAUGCUUAUGGUAUAAAUAACAUUAAUAACAUAUAUAUUUAUUUCACUUUUAUAGGUUUGGAGUGAAAGGCUUGUUAGUAAAGAGGUGAAGUGUCUUUUACAUAGUCCGAAUCGGAUUGUGAAAUGAUACAAAGGUUUCAUCAUCAAUGAUUUAGAUUUCACACUAAAUCCCGUGACAGAUUUAGAAGUACAUAAAAUUCAAGAGUUAUUGUGACUUCAUCAACUACUAGCUAUGCUAGUGUUAGGGACACAAACCCUUUAGAGGGAAAUGUUAACUAUUAUGACAUGAUUAAUGACAUCAUUAAGUUAGAUUAUUAUGACAAGUGAAAAGUUAUCUUAUUUUGGUGUGAUUGAGCUAAUGUGAAUAGUACGAGGGGUAUUAAGAAAUAUCAGUAUGGAUUAAUACUUGUGAAUUUUUCUCCAUUAAUUCACACUGGACAACAACUCAUCGGUGAACCUUAUGUAUUUUCAUCUCAAGUCAAACAAGUAUUUUACUCCGAAGAUCCUAAAGAAUUGGGUUGGUUUGUUGUUAUUCGAAAUACACCUAGAGACUUAUUUGAUAUAGGGUUAGAUACCAAAGAUGAUGUUGAAUAUGAAACUAAAUGUUAUCUUUUUUUCGAAUAAAAUUUGGAUGAAAAUAUCUCCAGUACUUACACUCAAUGGGUCCGCCAAGAUGUUACUGAAGAUAUUUAAAACCAUGAAAUGGUGCAUCUAUAAUUUGUAAUUUGAGUAUUUAAGACAUAAUGUAGUAAAUGAUAGUAUAUAAAUAAUGUCACAUUCGCUAUUGUAUAAUUCUUGUAUUCUAAAUCAUCAUUAUCUUUUGAUUUAAUUAAAUCGAUAUGUUCUUUAUCUAUCGUAGGUUUUGAUUUCUUAAAUUGUCAAUGUCUUUAUAUAUGUUGUAAACUAAUAUUUUUUCUAUAUUCGUUUUUAUGAUGUAGGUAAGCUACAAUACGAAAGAGUAGGUUGAAAAAAAAUAUAUCAGAGAUAUUAGUUCAGAAUUAUCUGUGGUACUUGUAGAUAUUGGCUAUGGACUGAAUCUUUUGGAGGAAAAUGAACGUACUGUCGGAUCUAACUCGUCACUUCUUACCCUUUAACUGAUAUUGGAUUUGGCAAUAUAUGAGGUAUAAGUUUAGAUAGUAUCCCAUCAAUUGAUUAUGCUUUAAAUUUGAAUGCAGGUAUGAUAUACUCCAAUUUUAAAAUUCGAAUAUAAUGAUAAAAGUAUUGUUAUUUUACAAAUAUAUUUCUUAUUCGUUGCAGUUGAUAACAGUGGUCAUCGGAUGACCAAAAGCCAGACAACUUUGAAGGAAUUGUUUGCACUAACUCCUAACGAACGUAUUACAAUGUCUGCAAACUCUAAUAAGCAACCAAUUGGUGAAGAGGCUCAACUAUUGACUAAAUUUCUAAGCAUGGUAGCCCGUAAUGGAAUGAAAUUGCCUAUUCAUUAUGAAACAUGGCAUAAAAUUUCAGAAGAAGUUAAGGUCGAUACGUUAAACUUUAUUGAUGUAUUAAUAUAAUUAAUCAGAUAUAAAAAAAUUUUUAUUUUACAUAUUGUUUACUUAUUCUAACUUUUCUUAUUGUAUUAUUACAGUCAAGAUUUAUUGUUGAAAUAUCAACUUCGUUUGUGCUUGAGUCAUUGGGAAAGAAAUUGAAAGAUUAUAAGCAUAGUUUGAAGAAUAAGUAUUUCGAUCGAAAUACUACUAUAAAGGCGAUGAUAAAAAAUCUAUCUCGUAAUGUGAUUAGGUGAUAAUAUGAACAACUGAUUAGAUUUUGGUUCUCAAGAAAAAAAGAGGUACUAGUUUAUAACUUUAUAUAGUAAAAUGAAAUGAUGAAAGUAUUUUAUGGUUUAAGUUGAUAAUAUUUGUAUUUCUAUCAUAUACGUAAUUAUUUUUUAUGACAGAAAAGAGAACAUAUCGGGAUUAUUAGUAGAAAGCACAGAAAUAUAGCCACACAAGUGGAUCAAAAAGUUUUGCAAAAAAGCAAAAAAAAAUUGUAAGUUUAUGAUAAUAAAUGUAUUCCAAUGAAUGAACUUUUUCAGCCAUUAAAAGGUAAAUAUGCAAAUUAACAAUUAUUGUUCUGUUUUAAUAGUUUUGAUAGUUUCAAUACAUGAUAUUAAACUUAUCGAAAGUUUUGAACUUAGUUGACACAAAUGAUAUGUAUGAAAUGUUAUUAUUUACGUAUAUUUACACCUUUAAUAUAGAUUUGUUGUGAUUGUUAUAUUUUAACAGUUUUGAUAGCUUUAAUACUUGAUAUUAAACUUGUUCGAUUGAUUGAACUUGAUUUUUAUAGUUGAUAUAGGAGAAAAAGUUAUUGUUUAGGUCUGUUUGGGAGUAUUUUUGCAUAUAAAAGGCAAUAUACAAAUUAAAUUUUUUGAUGGCUUUCAACUUAUUGAAUGGCUUCAAUCCUUGAUAUUAAAUUGGGAGAAAAUAAUUAAAUUUGAUUUUCAUGAUCGAUAUGUGUGAAAGCCCAAAAUGAUUUUAUUGUUUGUGUAUGUUUAAGACUAUUGUGUUGUUACGGGGCCAAAAUAUAAAUACAUGAUAUUAAAAUUAUUCAAAAUUUUAAUACUUGAUUGACAAGCUUAAUAUGCAUGAAUAAGUUAUGAUUGAUAUAUAUCAUAUCAAAUAACAUAUGUUUUUGUAUAGGAGAAUGAGAUGGGUGGUACAAUUACACUUGUGAAACUUUUUCGCAUAACACAAAAAAAGGGAUCUUACAUGAAUGUCGAAACAUAAGAAAUUAUGGUAAUUUGUAUAAUCUAUUUUAAUAGAAAGUAAAUAUUUACUAUUUUUAACAUAUAAUCAAUUAAUCAUUAAACUUGAUAGUUGUAUAUGACAAAUUCAUAGGAGAAAGCGAAAGAAAAAAUAGUUGAUGAGAUUGAAGUAGCAUCUGAUGGUUCUCUUAACAUGCAAGAAAUGAAAAAUCGGAUAUUUAUAGAAGUUGUUGGAAAAGAAAUGCAUGGACGGGUCCGAGGCCUUGGAAUGGGCCCAACACCAUCUGCCUACUAUGGACGUAGCUCUCCGUAAUUUACAUUCUUUGCAAGUCAAUCUUCGCGAGACAUUUCAAUAUUGAGAGGGGAGUUACAAACUAUGCUACAACGUUUUCAGCAAAUGAAAGCAGAAAGAGAACAUGAGCGUACCAAAAUUAAGGAAGAACGUGCUAGAAUAGAGCAAGAGCGUGCUAAAUUUCAACAAUUGCAUGAUCAAUUUGAUCAUUUUAUGAAUUUUGUGCAACAACAAUUUUUAAAAAAUGAUCUUGGUGCUCCACCAACUUAGGUAUUUUGUUUAGUAAAUAUUUAAAUUUAACAUAUAAAAAGUUUACAAUGAAGUGUUAAAAAUUGUAUAGUAUUAUUCAGUAGGUUCUUGAGUACGCUAGUGAUCAAAGUGAAAAAUUUUCUUUAUCAAUUGGCAGCCAGCAAAAUGUUUACAGUCAUCCAUUUCAUAUAUUUUAAUUUUUUAUUUUGUUAAUGUAUAUAAAAUAUUUGAAUGUUAUUAUACUAAUUAUUAAACUUUGUAUUAAUUAGAUGUAUAUUUAAACGUGAAUGAAGUUAAUAUAAAAUUCAGUUUUUGAAUUUAAGCUCUUUAAUGAAAAUAAAAUUUAUUAAAAGAAUUUAGAAAAAAAUACAUUUUUACAUAAUGACAGCAUUUGUGUCCAUCGUGGGUCGCUAAAUGAAUAAUUUAGUAGUGUUUGUAGCAUAAAAUAUCACUAUAAGUAGCGGCACUCUUACCAACAAAUGCUGCUUGUUAAGUGACAUUUUUCUCAAAAAAAUGCCAUUAAAGCAACGGCAUUUUUCUAAUAAAAAUGUUACUGAAUUAGCGGUGACUAAAAGAUACAAACGCCACUAAUAUAGAGACAUUUUCAGAUUCAAAUGUCUCUAAAGUAGUGACAUUUUUAGUUACAAACUCACCAAAGCAACGAAAUUUUUCUUUAUAAAAACAUCCCUAAUUUAGCAGUGACUCAAAGAUAAAAAUGCCACUAAAAUGACGGCGUUUCAAAUAUAAACGGCGCUAAUAUUAAGAUUUUUUUUGAAAACGUCGCUAUUUAUCACGACGAGUGAAUAGCCAGCACUCUGCGUGACAUUUUUCACAAACAUUACAAAUCUUUUUGUGGCGUUUAUAAACACCGUUAAACAUUAAAAAAAAAAGUCACUAACAACCAAAACUCUUGUAGUGAUGCACAUAAUAAUAUCGUAAAAUAUUAUAUUUUAUCAUUAAUAGGUCCAUGUGAUGAAAAUUUCAUCGUCAAUACUUCACUUUCGUCACCUAAUCUAGGGUGACGAUGACAUAAAACGUCUCCUUAUUAUUUAUCUUUUGUGGUAGUUGGUAACAAAAAAAAUGGUCACCAAAUAAUGUAAUCAUCACAAAAAUUAUGGUAAAAUUUCAUAUAUUAAUACCUAGUAAUCCUUCUCCAUUCUGCUCCCUUAGUCACUGCCUUUAACUUUGGUGAAAGAGCAAUAUGCAAGACUCCCUCGCAUCGCAUCUUUGAGUAGUUUCUUCAAAGCUGUCAAGUUCAUUCAGAACUGCCUUACCCAUUUCAAAUCUAUGUGCUGCCACUGGAGCUGGUAGUUUUGUGAGGCAGCCGAUGGCCCUGCUCUUGCUAUCUGCAUGCAUGCCCGACUGUUCAUAUUUUAUAUGAAAUGAGAAAAGAUGUUACGAUCUUGAGAAGAGUCAUAAAUUAUAUAGCAUGAUUGUAUAUUAGAGCUAGUUUUAAAAUAUAAGUAUUUACAUAAUCAUUAACUUGUGAAAAUCUCUUUUGUUAGAUAAAAUUAUAAAUUUUAAUAAAUUAAAUAGAUAAUAUCUUAUAAAUUAAUAUGGACUGUGAUACAUUAAAAAAUUUGUGAAGCAAUUGAUCACUCUGUGAGAUAAAAUCGUAAAGUUUAAAAAUUUAAAAAUAAAUUAACAAUUAAAAAAAAAUUCAAAUUAUUGAGAAAAAUGAACGACACUCAUGCAUCCUUGAAUAGGGUUUCUAUUAAUAUAAAAAAAAAAAAAACAGAAGUUCAAAUUAAAGGAAGCACUGAAAUGAAAAGGUUAAAAGAAAUGGGAACAAAUGUGGCAAUAAAAUGAACCAAUUUCAACCCCAAUAAUCAAACUACUAAUACUAUGCUCAACCUUUAGAAGCUAAAGAUAAUUACAAAGAUGGUAAUGUGAUGUGCCACCUUCUAGAAGUAAGAAUUAUACCAGAAUUAUACCAAACACAGCCUUGCCUUCAAAUAUAAAGCUGUUGUUGUCUUAUUAAGUAACAAAUACAAAGUAUUUAUUUUAUUUUGGAAUAGUUGUUAAAUGUACUUAUCUACAUUAAAUAUUUUUCUCUUAUUUAAACCAAAUUAAUUUUUUUAGCUUACGGGGUUUUGGUUUCACUUGAUACAUCUUUUAUUAAAUCGAUCUAAGUACGAUUAUUUAUAUUAAACUUAAAAAAUUCAUAAAAUAUAAAUUUUUAAUAUGUCACAACUUUUCAACAAAUUCAAACUUAAAAUAACUUAGGAUCAAACUAUCUUACAAUAAUUUUAUAUAAGACAAGAUAAAAAAAAUAAUAUAAUUUAAAUUAUAUAUGUAUUUGAUAAAAAAAAAUAAAAUAUAUUUUGUACAUUAAUAUAAAUUAUAAUACGAUAAUUUUUGUUUUAUAUAUAUUAAAUAUAAAACAAACUUAAAUAUCAAAUGAGUUGAUCUACUUGCUAGGAGCAAGAAAAAAAUUAAGAAAAUAAAAAAUGGAGUUGAAAUCGUAACAUUCGAUUUAAAUCCUUUUUUUUUUUUUUCAAUUCGAAUUAUAUUUGAUUAUUAAUAUAUAUAUUAAAUUUAGGUUAAAUUUUGAAUAAAAAUUAAAAAAUUAAAAAAAAUCGAAUCAAAUUAUAUAUUUUUAUUAAUUUUUAUAUAUUUUUUAAAUUUUUAUAAAAUAAAAUAAUUAUUUUAUAACUAAAACUAAAUAAAUAUAUUAAAAUUUUAUAUUAAAAUAAUAUAUAAAAAUAAAAACAAUAUAUAAAAAAUUAAAAAAUUAAAAACUGGUAAAACUGAAUUGAAUCCAUAAAACUUGAUUGAAUCUCAUAUAAAAAAUCAAUUUAAAUUUCAAUCAAAUUUUAAAAAUUUAUAAUAUUAUAUUUUAUCAAAAAAUCAAACCAAUAUCGAUUCAAUUCGACCCCUUUUUACCCCUCUUACUUAGAACUUCAGCGAUCGUAAAAUGGUUCUUAACCCUUGUUUAACUUUAAUUACUUCCUGUUAAGUCAACUGUGCCGCAUUUACCCUUUCAUUUGGGCAUAAGAGAGGGAAAAAUGGAAAAAAAAAUAACAAAAAAAAUUUUCUUUUCCUCUUACUCUGCUCUUCUGUCAAGCAACAUGGAUUCCACACCUCACCUGGAAUCCCAAUUCCCGGCCUAAUCAUAUCCCAUAAACCCUAAAUUCACAAUCCCUCUUUCAGAAAAAUCUCAAAAAACAAAAAAAAAAAUCUGUUCUUUUCUUAAAAAAUCUCCUCCUUUUCUUGUCUUACUGUCACAUCUGUUUUCAGUGUGUUACAUCUUACCUGGGUGUUAUGCAUAGAUCUGGAGCAACGAUGGCGUGGAACGUUUUCAAGUUUUGUACAGCUCUGAAGGGUCUGGGCUCGAUCAUGAUCCUGUUGGUUUUAGCUGUCGUGGGUGUCACAUACUACUCUGUCGUUUUGAACAAUUAUGGCCCAGCUUUGUACCAUGGCGGCCUUGAUUCCCUUACUGCUGUUCUUAUCUUGGUCUUGUUUCAUUGUUUGGUAAGUCUCCAAAUUUAACCUUCUUUGUAUUUGUAAUUUCACUAAAAAAAUAAGCUGAAUUGAAAUUAAAUUCAAGAAAAGAGAUGGGUUUUUCUUUAAAUGAUUAAAAUGGUUCUACAAAUAUUCAAGCUUUAAUUUUGUGUUUGUUUUGAUCUUAAAUUUUCUUCCUUUUUGUGUUAUGAAUUCCUAAAUUUUUAUAUUUCUUAGCGAUUUGUUGAAUGUGAGAUAAAAGAAAGAACAAAUCUGAAGUAUUAAUACAAAGCAAGGCUCCAUCUUGGACCUUUUCUAUUUUUGUUAUAUAUAAUCACAUUACUAAAAGAGUGCAAAAAUAAUGGAUGAUUAAAUGUAUCAUGGAAACUGAGUUUAAAUGUGGAAAUUUUGAUGUGAUUCUGCAGUUGGUGAUGCUGCUAUGGAGUUACUUUUCUGUUGUUUUGACUGAUCCGGGUAGUGUGCCACCUAACUGGAGGCCAGCUAUGGAUGAGGAGAGAGGGGAGGCUGAUCUAUUGAAUGGUUCAGAGUUCAAUGGUUUGCAGCCAGACCCAUCAAAUCAAAGAAUUCGAUAUUGUCGGAAAUGCAACCAGCUGAAACCACCCCGCUGCCAUCAUUGUUCUGUUUGUACGUUCUUCAGACACCAAAAUUCUCCAUUUCUUGCUCUUGAUUUUCUUAUAAUAUUUUUAUUAUCAAUGAUCAGUUCCAUCUCAAUUUCGUUGUUUCAGGUGGGCGGUGUGUGCUGAAGAUGGACCAUCAUUGUGUGUGGGUUGUCAGUUGUGUUGGUGCACGAAAUUACAAGUAUUUCCUUCUUUUCUUGGUAUGUCUGCUUUAUUUUCAAAUUAGUUUCUCCUGCAUUUUAUACAUUCUAGGCCCUAAUUGCUUUAAAAUCUCUUAUGGAAGCAUAAAUUAUCCUCUCUGUAUUGAUUAUAGUAAUACAGGUUAUGAUUGCAUUCAUGAGAUGUUGAUGGAGUAUUGCUUCUUUUUUCUUGGCAUUUAUUUGACUAUGAUUUUAAACCUCAAUGCAGUUUUACACAUUUCUUGAGACAAGUCUCGUGGCUUUGGCCUUAUUGCCACAUUUCAUAGCAUUCUUUAGUGAUGGAGAAAUUCCUGGAACUCCUGGCACCCUUGCGACCACUUUCCUUGCCUUUGGUAUGGGCUGCUUGGACUUUUCUUCUGACCUAUCUAACUUUUUUGACCAUGUACUAAUGUAUGACUAUGUUCUCUUGUGACAGUUUUGAAUCUGGCAUUUGCAUUGAGUGUCUUGGGGUUUUUGAUCAUGCACAUAUCAUUGGUGGCUGCUAAUACCACCACUAUUGAGGUAUUUUCUUCAUCUUGAAUUUUAGUACCAUGUUUACUAGUUGGUGUUUUCAGCGUCAGCUUUCGUCCAGAUUAUUUGGUGUAUUCCCCCUCUUGAAGAUUAGAAUGCAGUAUAAAUGGACUCAAAUUUACUGACAAAAUCUGUGAUCAUAUUUUGAACAGGCAUAUGAGAAGAAAACUACUCCAAAAUGGCGUUAUGACAUUGGUCGGAAGAAAAAUUUUGAACAGGUUUAGUUUACUAGUGUUUGCAAUACAUUGCUAUUUUCUCUUGUUUCUUUACUUGUAUUUCUUGCAUAAAAGAAGCACUGAUAUAAUGGUCAUUUGAUGAUUUUUCUGGUUAAAAUUCAAUUAAAUCCCCUUUACUCGCAUUUGUCAUUUGGAUUGUCCAUAAUUUGUUCUUAAAACAGCUUUUCCGGCAUGUUAACUGUCAUCAGUUUACUCAAGUUAUGGUGUUUCUCUACAUACAGGUGUUCGGAACAGACAAGCGAUACUGGUUCAUUCCAGCUUAUUCAGAGGAAGAUUUACGGCGGAUGCCAGCACUUCAGGGUCUUGAAUAUCCAGCAAGGCCUGAUUUUGAUUCCCAGGAGUUCUAAAAAACUAAAAGCCUCCUCGACGCGUAGAUCAUUUUCUUGUAAUCAUAGAUACGGACGCCUUGCGCAUUGUCCCCUUGUAUUCUAACAGGUACAUUACUCCACAGCUGAUUUUGCCUUCUAACUGUUCAUUCCCACAGGCAUCUUUGUUUAGAAAUAACAGUAGGGAAAGAGUGAGUGAGAGAAUACCAGGGAAAGCAGCAUAUGGUUGUGAAAAUGGUGGGUGGCAGAUGGGCUGACAAUUAAAUAUCCAGAAACAGUAGGCUUAAGGUAUGGAAUGUAAUAUUUCAUGUUGUGAUAUUAAUUCAGUUCUUGUAGAUUUGUUGUACUGAUUUAGAAAUAUAGAGAAUGCAUUUGGAUUAUCAAUUUUGUUUGUUACUGCAAAAUUAUGUGUUCAUCUUAUUAUUUUUAAUUGGUCUUUCACAGCAGCUUACAGAUUAGAUAAACAAGUGUUGGCAGGGUUUUAUUUUUUCUUAUUGUAGUAAUAUUGUUUCAUUGAAUACCAGCUAGGUGAAAGUAAAAACCCAUAGUCGAGAUGACUCCGCAAACAAGGUUAAUAGGAUAAAUUUCGUAAUUCCUAUAUCUAUGUUUAUUUAUUGUAAAAUAUAAAAAUUAUUAUGUCAUAAUUCGUGUCGAUAUGUCAAACACAAAAUACAUUUUUUUAGUUUUUAACAAACAAAUAUAUGGUUUUUCUUGAAACUUUAAAUCUUCUUGUUUUUAUGUUUUUUAUUUUUAUUAAAAUUUUAAAUCGUAAUAUUUUUGUUUCUUUUUUUGUGAAAGGCUUAUGUGCUUUUGAUGCUAUGGGUAAUACCGGUUCAAAUUGGAUUUGAUUCAAAUUUUUUUGGAUAAUGUAUAAAAUUAUAAAUUUUAAAAGUUCAAUCCGAAUCCAAGUCAAACAUUCGUGAUCUUAUUUGAAUCGAAUCGAAUUUUAUUGAUUUUAUAAGGUUUGAUUCAAUGGUUUUUAAAUUUAAUUUUUUAUUUUUAUAUAUUAUUUUAAUAUAAUUUUAAUAUAUUUAAAUAAAUAUAAAUGUAAAAUAAUUAUUUUUAUUUUAUAAAAAUUUAAAAACAUAUAUAAAAGCUAAUAAAAAUAUAUAAUUAUUUUGUUUUUUGUUUUUGAUUUUUUACUUCUUAAUCCAAAUUUAAUAUAUAUAUAUUUAAUAUUUAAAUUUAAUUCAAAUAGAAUAAGAAAAAACCGCUCCGAAUUAAAUCGAAGUAGGCAAUUAUGAAUUAAUUUUCUGUUUUCUUAGAUUUUUUUCUCACUCUUACCUUUUUAACCCCGAGGGCAAACAAAAUUGGCCAACGAUGUCGUUUUAAUACACGACCGGUUCAUCUCUAGUGGAUGACACCUGGAUUUUAACUUUCAACAGUUGAAAACCGUUAAAACGAUAAAAUCUGAACACAGAAAUAUCAUAUGAACAGAUUGCAGAAUCCAACCUCACAGACCGGAGUUGAUGCUUCUCUGUGCGAAUCUAAACAAGCCAUGGAACUCAACGCAGCCAACUCUCCUUCUCCCAAAAUGCAAAACCUCGAACGACGUAAACCAAAUCCACGCCCGUUUAAUAACAACUGGUUUCAUCCAAUGCCCCACUCUCACCACCAAACUCAUCCUCGCUUUCUCUCCUUCACCAUUGCCUCCCUUGGUCGACUUUGCUCGCCAUGUCUUCUUCAUGCACCACGCUUUCCCGACACAAGACAGGGACCCUUUUCUUUGGAACGCUGUAAUGAAGUCAUAUUCCCAUGGGCGUGACCCGGAACAAGCUUUGCUCCUGCUCUCUUUGAUGCUUGAGUGUGGGGUUUCUUUUGAUAAGUUCUCUUUGUCUUUGGUACUUAAAGCGUGUUCGCGGUUGGGUUUAAUGAAGGAAGGAAUGCAGGUUCAUGGGUUGUUGAGAAAGCUGAAUUUUGGGUCUGAUUUGUUUCUGCAAAAUUGUUUGAUUUCUUUGUAUUUACGCUGUGGUUUUAUUGGAUACGCGCGCCAAUUGUUUGAUAAUAUGUCUAUGAGGGACUCCGUUUCAUAUAAUUCGAUGAUUGAUGGGUAUAUUAAACGGGGGAUGAUUGAUUUGGCAUGCGAGUUGUUUGAUUUUAUGCCAAUGGAGUAUAAGAAUUUGAUAACUUGGAAUUGUAUGAUUAGUGGUUACGCCCAAUUGGAAAAUGGGAUGGAUUUGGCUUUGGAAUUGUUUGAGGAAAUGCCGUAUAGGGACUUGAUUUCGUGGAACUCGAUGAUUAACGGGUUUGUAAAGCAUGGGAAUAUGGAAGAUGCUCAGGCUUUGUUUGAUAUCAUGCCGAAAAGGGAUGUCGUCAGUUGGGCUAAUAUGAUCAAUGGAUAUGCUAAAUUAGGUAAGGUUGAUCUAGCUAGGCGGUUGUUUGAUGAAAUGGUGGAAAGAGAUAUUGUCAUGUGUAAUGCUAUGAUGGCUGGUUAUGUCCAAAAUGGAUAUUGUGCAGAAGCUUUAGAAAUAUUUUAUCAUUUGCAAAGGGAUGGUAAUUUGCAGCCUGAUAAUGCCACAUUGUUGAUUGUUCUUUCAGCAAUUGCACAAUCAGGGCACAUUGAAAAAGGGUUGGUAAUACAUCGGUAUCUAGAGGAAAACAAGUUUUCUUUGGAUGGAAAACUUGGUGUUGCUCUUAUUGACAUGUAUUCGAAAUGUGGCAAUGUAAAGAAUGCUAUGCUGGUUUUUGAGGGUAUAGAGGAUAAGAGUGUUGAUCACUGGAAUGCUAUGAUUGGUGGGUUAGCCAUUCAUGGCUUGGGUGAAUUGGCUUUCAAUUUGCUCAUGAAGAUGGAAAGGCUUUCUGUAGAACCUGAUGAUAUCACAUAUAUUGGGGUGCUGAAUGCUUGUGGCCAUGCUGGCUUGUUGAAGGAAGGUCUGAUUUGCUUUGAUAUCAUGAGAAGAGUUCACAAAAUGGAACCAAAGCUGCAACAUUAUGGAUGCAUGGUUGACAUCCUUGGCCGGGCAGGGCAGGUAGCAGAAGCAAGAAAAUUUAUAGAGGAAAUGCCUAUUGAAGCCAAUGAUGUGAUUUGGAGGGCUCUGCUCAGUGCUUGCAAAAAGAAUGAAAACAUCGAUGUUGGAGAACCGGUGGCUAAUCAUUUAUUUACACUGGACUCUUGUAAUUCAAGUUCUUAUGUUCUUCUAUCUAACAUAUAUGCCGAUCGCGGUAUGUGGAAUGCUGUUAGUAGGGUUAGGAUGAUGAUGAAAGCGAGAAAUCUGAAGAAAAUCCCUGGUUGCAGUUGGAUUGAACUAGAGGGAACUGUUCAUGAAUUCUUCGUGCAUGACAAAUCCCAUUCCCAAGUUAUGGAGAUCUAUUCUUUGUUGGAUGGCUCGACAACAUCCAACUCUGAGGUCACACCUUGUGGACGUCAUGUUUAGGUUGGAAUCUACAACCUGAAAGCCUGGAACUCAGUUGUAGAUAACAAGGAUCUUAUUUCAUGUAUGAUUAGUUGCUUGGAACUUAACUGUAUGCUGUUCAAUUAUUGUAACUGUAAUUUCAAUUAAUCUUUUUCAGUAACAUACUAAUAUUUGUUUGAGGAGUAAGGUUGCUUUGUCUCGUUCUUUCGGCUCAUUGUUUAUCCAUAAGCUAGUUGGUCUUUCUGGCGGCAACGUUUCCCACCAAAUUUUACUGCCUGUCAAUUUGUGGAUUUGUACUUAGGACAAAUAAGUUAAGAAGAUUAUCUUAUUAUAAUUUGUGUCGAUAAAUUAAAUAUGAAAUAUAUUUUUAUAUUUUUGUCAAAGUUAUGUACGAUUUUUUCUUAAAAUUUAAAUUCACUUUCGUAUUGUGUCGACAUGUUUUUUGGGUGAAAAAAAUAAAAAAAAUUGAAAAUCAUUUCGAAAUCGUAAUGUUUAGAUUGAUUUAUAUCUUUUUUUUAUUUGAUUUGGAUUAAGUGUCGGAUAUUAAAUGUAUAUAUUAAAUUUAGAUUAAAUUUUAAAUCAGAAAGUAAAAAAAUUUAAAAAAAAAUCAAACUAAAUAUCGGGGUUUCGAAUUAUAUAUUUUUAUUAAUUUUUAUAUAUUUUUUAAAUUUUUAUAAAAUAAAAAUAAUUAUUUUAUACCUAAAUAUAUUUAAAUAUAUGCAAAUCAUAUUAAAAUAGUAUAUAAAAAAAUUUUAAAUUUAAAAAAUUGAUGAAUAAACUAAAUCAAUAAAAUUUAAUUUAGAUUGAAUCGUAUGAAAAUUCAGUUCAAAUUUAAAUAUAAAUUUAAAAUUUUAUAAUUUUAUAUAUUAUAAAAAAAUUUAAAACAAAUCUAAUUCGACCCGACAAACCAUUUAUCACUCUUAGUUGCCCUUUUUUAUCUUGGGUCAUCUUCCACCGUUAGUUUGGGUCUUAGCCCCUAAUUCUUCGAAAAUAGCACUUAUAAGACAAUAACUCAAUGGGGUUUGGACCAAUUUGUACGAAAUCAAGUACUUGAAAACAAGACCACUUCAAUGGGGAAAAGGCCCAAUAAAUACCAGAAAAUGACCAGAAGAAUAAAACCCUAGCCAGAUUCUCCAUUUUGAUUCUAGGAUUUCUUUGCUCAGAAGUAGAGGCAAAGUGACCAAGAGAAGCAGCUAAGCAGCCAAGCUCGAAACUCUGUCACCAUGGGUCGAAUGCACAGCCGAGGGUCUGUAGUUGCUCUCACACUUGAUUCAUUAUCCUCUGAAAACAACCCUAUGAUUAUGUCAGUGAAAUCACUUCUAGCUGCUUCAAAUGACUGAUUUGACUUUCUGUGCAGUAAGGGUAUUUCAGCAUCUGCUCUGCCUUACAAGAGAACUCCUCGUAGUUGGUUGAAGAUCUCUUCUCAAGAUGUGAGUCACUUGUUUUAAUUAGACCUAGUAAUUUAAAACUCGAACUGUGAUACCACACGAAAAAGAUACGGAAAUGAUACGGUUUAAAAUUUUAGUAAAAAUCAUAUAUGAGUUUGAGAAAAAUAUGUAUGUUUGAUGUUUUUGUGUCACACGGUAUUGUAACUCGAAAUUUUUAUAUAAAAUACGAGUAUUUUACACUAUACAAGUACACCAAUUACCAGGACUAGUUUUAAUCAUGCUCUUUUAAUCCAUGUUAUGAAAUAAUUGAAUCUUCAAGAGCUGUUUGAUUAGAAUAGUGGCAGAUAAGAACCAGAUGUUUGAUAUGAUUUGUACAGGGAAUAGUUGUUAUCCUCGAGCGCAAUUCCAUGGCUAUGGUCUGCGUGAUAUCUAAAGUCAAUCUGUAGUGUUGUAUGGAUUUUAAACUGGUGGCUUUGUAAAAUUAAGUUUGUCAUGAUUUAAGUAGUAAAACAUCUAAAGAUAGCUUGAGAGAAAAUUGAAGGCUGUGGGAGCAAUUUCUUAAUGAUUACUAUUUAAGUUUGAUAAUGCAUUUAGCUAUGUUUCAAUAAUUUGUUUUUCACAUUGCUGAAAUUUGGAAUCUUAAGGGUCAUUGAUUUCUUGUUUUUGGUAGUUUCACUCAUUACCCUGCUUUCUUUUUCUGACAUAAACCUCAAGUUAUAGUGCAUUUAGCUAUGUUUCAAUAUUUUGUUUUUUCACAUUGCUGAAAUUUGGAAUCCUAGUGGUCAUCAAUUCGUGUUUGUCAGUAGUUUUGCACAUUACCCCUCUUUCUUUUUGUGACAUAAACCUCAAGUUGUUUCAAGCUUUGUUUAUUAUGUUCUUCUGUAAGAUAUUAUUCUGGUUUAUGAAUCCCACAAGUUUAACCAGAAAUUUUAGUGCUGAAGGGAUGGAAUAUUAUUAGUAGUUCAUUGAUCUUUGUCAAAGACUCAUCUUUUUUAUGGCAAUAUUCAUUAAUCUUGAUUUCAUCUUUUAGGUUGAGGAGAACAUUUGCAAGUUUGCAAAGAAGGGUUUGACCCCGUCCCAAAUUGGUGUCAUUCUCCGUGAUUCUCAUGGGAUUGCUCAGGUGAAAGUGUUACCGGCAGCAAGAUUUUGCGGAUACUGAAAGCCCAUGGUACAUCUCAUUGACAUUCUCUGCUGUUUCAUUUUCCUUCUGAUUUGAAGAUAAAACAUUCAACUUCUCCAUUUGUUUAUGUCAGGUCUUGCUCCCGAAAUUCCUGAGGAUCUGUACCACCUGAUUAAGAAAGCUGUUGCCAUCAGAAAGCACCUUGAGAGGAACAGGAAAGACAAGGAUUCCAAGUUUAGGUUGAUCUUGGUCGAGAGUAGAAUCCACUGACUUGUCCGCUAUUACAAGAAGACAAAGAAGCUGCCACCUGUGUGGAAAUAGUGAGUAUUUGUAAUUAUAUCCCUGCUUCCCUUUGAUGUUCUUUACAUGUUUAAUGAAUGGUCAGAGGCAUGCUCUUUCAGAAAAUUUCAUCUACACAUGAAAAUUGUCAAAUGGUUAUAACUUGCAAAUCUUAACAUGCUUGUUUAUGCAGCGAGUCUACCACAGCCAGCACACUUGUGGCUUAGAGCUGGCACAUCUUGAACCAUCUUGCAUUGUCCGGCGCUUCAAUUGACAUUCUCCUGGAUAUGCAGGACUAAACUUUUGCUAUCACAUGCUAUUAAUGCUUUUGAAGAACAAGUUCACUUACGGUUUGAAAAUUGAGAUAUUUAGGAGGGAAAAAAUAUUAUGUUUGGUGUAUGAGAAUCAUUUUUCUUCAUUUUUUUUUUUCUUUCAUUUGAAAUGUUGGUGUUUUGAAUCUUGUUUUUUAGUGGGUUUUUACUUGGAUCUUGUUGAUUUAGAAUUUUUGUCAAAUUGUGCUCAGAAUGAGUGCUGCGAAAAGAAAGGAAAAGAAAAAGGCAAAUGAACAGGAUGGUCAUUUGCCUAAAGCCCAACAGAGAAUUAGGAAAUUGUGCACUUAAAUAAAUAUUUAGGAUGUUCUUAGUUCUUACUAUAGAAAUUUUUUUUUUUUUUUUCAAAUCAACAAGUAUGUUGAUUCAUAUAUUCUAAUUUGAUGUGUUUAUCAAAAGGGAAAAAUCAUAUAGGUAUUUGAUAAAAAUAAAAAAAUAUAUUUCAUGUUAUACGUAUAGAAAUGAAUUGUGUCGAGUAAUUUUUUUUAAUGUAAAAUAUAAAUACUUCUAUUGACAAACUAUGAUAUUAACAAAGCAGACAUGUACAAUUUGGAAUUUUGUGAUUGAUGUUAAACCUAUACAAGCCCAAGGCCAUUUUUGAUAACUUUUGGUUCAGAAUUUUUGCAAACCAGUUUUGAUAAUUUAAGACAAACACGAACUUUGGUAAUUUUUUCGUGCCCCACCUUUCAUUGAGAAUUCAAACCUAUCAAUUUUGUUUGUUUUAUUGGGGCUUUGGCAGUGGAGGGAGAGGAUUUGACAUAUGGUCUUAGCAAGUAGAUUUGACAUACCGAGCUGGUUGGCUCCUACCAUGACCAUUAUCUACAUUUGACCUUGUGGGGAGCAUUUCAUGGUCUAAAAGACAAGGUAUACAUUUUAUUGCAGAGUUUGAGUCAUUAAUUGGACAGGUGUAACUCAAUUUUUUUUAUUUGAGCUGACAUGUCGAAUUGGUUUGAAAUUUCGAAAUUCACGUUAAUUCAAUCAUUUCAGUUAAUUAUCAAAUGAUACAUGAAAAUAUUGAUUUAUCACCUCUUAAUUUAGUUAUUAAUUAUUAGUUUAGGUUGGAUCAGUAAUGUCAGUUCCAAUCCUACCACUUGAAGCUUAGAUCACAUAGGUAUGACGUUUUCAUCGUACAGAUAUAAAUAAUCUCUUUAAAUAUUAUUAAUUCAAAUUUUCAUAUCUACUUUCAAGUUUUCUCAUCUUUUUACUCCCUUUCUGAACACUUGACUUGAACAUCAAAACAAAAACAUUGAAAAAACCUUUGACCUUUACUAUUAACCGAUCUCUCACCUUGCGAUUUCAAGUUUCUGCUUUUUCAAGAGAGCUCGGCACCAACAGACCUGAGGAUUGAUGCAAAAUAUGAUUAAAGGAUUGAUAAGAUUCCAAUCUUGAAAUCAGAUUUUUAAUCUGAUAAUAGCUAGUGUUGAGCCUGAUUUGGAAAUUGUAGUGAUAGAAAUGGAUCCAUUUCUAGUGAAGUUAGAUGAUGUAGAUAGCUUCUGAUGAUCUGCACUUUUGUUUCUCUUCAGGUAUGAGAAUAUAUGUCGACAUUUUGAUCUUCCUUAAUGUUAGAAAAGAUCUGGAAGGUAAGCAUGGUUGCUUCUUAUAUGUUUCAGGCAGUCAAUGAAUGAUGAGUAUAAUACUUAAGCAAUAAUUGGAACUAAAUCUGAAACUUAACUCGAUUGUUUCAUACGAUCACCUUUAAGAGGUAGCAUAUGUUUAGAGUUCAAGUUGCGGCCUACUAUGUACCAAAAAAAUAACUGGAACUCAUGCCGUUUCAAGUCAUAGAUGAACAUUUACCACUCUUCUCUUGUUCUAUUAUUGAUGACUGCAGAGGGAAUGAAGCUUUACAUUUCAGACAAGAAUGUGAUCUUGACUUAGGUUUUCAUGGUGUUGUACCUGUUAAGUACUUUAAGAAGAUAGAAUCAUGGCCAGAUAGAUAACCUGUACCUUUUUUAAUGUAAAAUUGGAUUAUGAAUGAUAAUUUUUCUACUGUCUUUGAUCUGAUAAAUUAGUUCAUUUUGUUGAAACAUGUCAUCUUGGCCACUUAAAACACAAUUUCAUUGUUUUAAACCAUGCUAUCUUCGUGUUUGUUUAUAUCAUUUUCGUGUUUUAUCACCGUAUAUUGUCAGGGCUAGAUUUGUGCUAUGUGAAUAGUGAAAAGUAGUGAAAGUGGAGUAGACUUCUGAGAAUAACAAAAUAGCACAACUGCAAAAGCCUCAAAAGGAUACAAUAAGAGCAAAAUUUUCAAGACCAACAAUGGCAGGAAUGUAACUGUCUUCACUCGUAAACCUUUCUUAUCCAGAAAUACUGGCCAUUACCCAAAAUAGCUAAAUAUUCAAGACAAAUUAAGUUGCUAAGAUAUGUACAAAGACAUUUUAUUAAAGCAUCAUCAUUUUGCUCAAAGACAAGCAAAGCUAACUCUACGGAUGCAAAUACAACAGCAUGGGAAGUUUUUUUGGGCAUAAAAAAAAGUUAAAAGACUGCAUAUAUUAAGAUUUAAAUUUUAAACCUGUUGAAUGCCACAUUUUAAGGAUAGCUGCAUAUGUCACAUGACAUCACCCUUUUCCUGCAAAACCGGCUUGUUGAGGUAUAUAGCACCAAUACUUAUAUGUCCAACGAUCUUUCCUUUCCUAUUCAAUGUGGGAUGAAGCAUCCUGCCUACUAUUUCGGAGCACUUGGCAAGACACAUGAGCCAACUGAGGUAACUAACACCUUAUGAGUUAUGAAAAUCCUUAAACUAGUACUUUAGGCUUGUUGUUAUUAGAGAGUUGAACUACUAUAAAACCUUUCACAGGAUAGACUCUCUCAUCUAGUGAAGUAGUGAACUGUGGAUAUGAAGACAGGACAAAUCCAAAAUAAUUGAUAGCCAAAAAGAAAAACAGUUGCCUACUGUAAUAGCUAGUAUGAAGGAUAAUCCGAAAAACUCCCAUUGUAAGCUACCAUAAGAUCUUGAAAGUUCAAACAGUUCUCCAUAAGACUUUCAUGAACCUCUAGUUUCUCUCCUUCAAGUUCAUUGUUCAGUGCCAGUGGAAGUCUAAAAACAUUUAUCAUACGGAAAGUAGACCAAAUCGACUAUGGCAAAUCAAACUCAAACCCAAAAGAUGCAAUAAAAACUCCUAGAUAAAAAAAAGAAAAACCCAAUUUUAGCUGUGCCUGACCCUGUGUUUCAUAUUUUCCUUUAAUGAGCAAUCCACAUAACUUUAUUUGGCUACAUAAAUUAUGCUCACAUCAUAUAACAUGAGGUUUUCAAUCCUUAAAGACUUAUAAAGACACUUCUAAUGAAAGGAUAUAAUCAUAUAAAUGACAAUGGACAGCUAAAGAAAAAAACAUCAAAAGAUGACUUUGAAGCAGCUGCUUCUAUUAAGGAAUAAAAAUUGACCUGGAUUGCUCUAAUUGUUAACCUGAAUGAUUCUUGGAUCAUGGAACACACAGGAAAGAAAGAACAUAUUAUCGUGUGCUAUUUUAUUGGAAUUGCAUAGCAAUGAUACAUGUCCUCCAAUCAGCAUAUGAUCUAUCAGUUAUGAAUUCUACAAUGCCCAAACUACAACAAUUACAUUCCAUGGGAAAGAAAAAGGAAAACUUCAAAAAAGAUCGUUCUGGUGUUCUUUUGAUACAGCAUGUGGCUGCCUAGCAAACAAUGUUCACUGAUCACAAAACUUCUUCAAAGUAGAACAUGAUAUCCCUCUUCAUAUGGCAUCAAUAAAGACAUGAAAUAACGAAAAUAGGGCAAUGAACAGAAAAAAAUGUUAAAAACAAUGAUAAGAAUAAUAAUGAACUAGAAUUCAGAGGAUCCUACCACAAUACAAAGAAUGAAUUAUCCAGCAGCUUUCCUCCCACCAGAAUAGUAACUGAGAUGCCACCUGACAAAUUUCUUCAAUCCAGUCUGCAAAUCAGUUGAGGGUUUAUAUCCAAGCUCCCUCUCAGCCAAGCUAAUAUUAACAUGCGUAAACUGAACAUCCCCAUUUCGCGGCAACUUCACAAUAUUCCUCUUUGCAUUAACCUUCAAAAGCCUCUCCAAGAUACUCACAAGAUCUGAAACGGGCAUAGGUGAAGUAUUCCCCAAAUUAUAUACCCUCAAUUGAGCCGGACUCUUCUUCCCCCCACUACCAGUACUCUUUUCAGCAGUAUCCAAUGCUGCCAAACACCCUUUCACAAUAUCAUCAAUGUAGGUAAAGUCCCUCGCCACAGUACCAUGAUUAGCAGCCUCAAAUAUUGGUAUGGAUUUCCCCUUCAAAAUUCCCUAGUGAAAAAGAAAUAUACCAUAUCCGGCUUUCCCCAUGGUCCAUAAACGGUGAAAACCUCAAACCAGUUAAAGAAAGUCCAUAUAUAUGACUAUAAGUACGUGCAAUCUCUUCACCAGCUUUCUUAGUAGCGGCAUAUAAACUAGCAGGCUAAUCAGAUCUAUCAAUCUCAGAAAAUGGAACAUUGGUAUUGAGCUCAUAGACAGAACUCGAAGAAGCCCACACAAUUGAAGGCUGUGGAUUGGCAGAUUUACACACUUAAAGUAAACUAACAAGACCAGCAAUAUUGCUAUGCACAUAACAGCUAGGAUUUUCCAUGGCGUACCUGACACCAGCUUGAGCAGCCAAAUGCAUGACAUGGGUAAAUGCAACAACCUCGAAAAGUUUCCUUAAAAGAGCCGAAUCAUUGAUGUCUCCUUCCACAAUGAAAACCCCACUUCGUUCCAGAAGCGCUUGUCGAGCUCUUUUUAAUGAAGGGUCAUAAUAGUCAUUGAAAUUAUCAGGUCCAAGAACACCAUCUCCACUCCUUUUCAAAGCAGCUGACACAUGAGUACCGACGAAACCGGCAGGUCCAGUAACCAAAACGGAGAUACCAUUACGGGAACGGACACGGGCAGGGGAACGGACCGUUUUCCCCAAGCGGGUCCACCCCAGUUGUACGUACGGAGAGACUGACGAGAAUGGUCUUCAGGAAGGGGAUUGGAGGAAGGAGAUCGAAAGAAGAAGAUCAAGAUCAGACCCAAGAAGACAAAGGGCCAAAAUGUGAGCUUAACAAUGGAGGAGUGUCACCUAAGCCUACUGUGAACGUACGGUGACUUUUCCAUCUUGAAUUUCCCUGGUGUUGAUGGAAUGUUGUCAAGAUGAGACAUUUGUUUUUACAUUUACGAGGUUUGGAGAAAAGGGUAUUACUAUGCUUUGCUGGCGGUGCUGAUGGUGGUUGAGACGGAGGAGGUUUUGGUGGCGGUGGUGGAGUUUCUCUUUUGAUACGUCCUUUACAUUUUGUAAUGAGACAGAGAGAGAAAAGAGUUGGAUUUUGGGUGAUGUGGGAUCAAGAAGAAUCAAAAAGAAUGUUCUUAAUGGCAUGGGUCGAUCUUGUUGACUUGGUUAAACAGGGGGGCUAAGAUUUUCUUGAAAAAAAAAUAAAAAUUAAAAAAGAAUUUGAUUGAUUGUGGGAGGCUCGGAAAUUGGGGCUCCAGAUUCAUAUCAUUUUCCUUUAUUUAUGGACAAUUUCCAUGGGAAACCCUUAAUUUGGGGGUGUUGUUGUUGGUGGUGUGGAUGAUGAUUUUGAUGCUAAUUCUAAAAGAAAAUUCUUUUGAUAGAUGUUUAUAGAAAUUAGUUAAAAUUAGUAUAAAAAUAUUAAUAAAAAAUUUAAAAUUUAAUUCAAUUAAUUUAUAUAAUUAUUUUUAUGAUAUAAUAUUUAAUAAUUUUAAAUUUUAAUACUUACAAUUAUUUUUCAUAUUAUUGAUAUGAUGAAUAGUUGAUGAGUUCACUUAAUUAAAUUUUGGAUUCGAAUCUUAUAAUUUGUUUAUAAGAAAUCCUAAUAUAAAAUUUUGUACUAUAAGAAAGAUUUUGAUGAAAGUGUUGGAUGGUAAAUUUUUAUAUGCAAUGUGUGAUUAAAACUUAGAAGUGCACCUUAUUAAUCCAUUGGCAUGAAUUAAAUUUGAUAAUUCAUGUAUUCAUAUCAUAUAAAAUAUUAAAAUUUAUGUAUUUAUAUUAUAUUUUAUAUAAAAAUUACAUAUCAUAAUUUAUGUUGAUACGAAAAUAUAAAAUAUAAUUUUUUUUAUUUUAUUAAACUCAUAUAUAAUUAUUAUUAUAAUUUUAUGUCGUAUCAUCUUUAUAUUCUAUUUUCGUAUAAUAUUUGUGAUAUAUUAACAUGUUGUAUUUUAAAUUAUUAGCUCUAAUAUGAAUAAUCAAAAAUUAUUGUGAAAAUAAAAAACCAAAACAAAAAGGAAAAAAUCUAGCAAGAUGUGAGUAAGAAAUAGUGAGAGCAUGGGCAAGCAGAGAAAACAGACUUGCAAAGAAGGCAAUACCACUUUCCCAUGGAAUUUUCUUUACAUAUCUUAGAUUUCAAUUUAUGUUAACCUAAGCUAGCAUCAUGUGGAUUGUAGAUAGUGAAGUUUGUAGAAAGAAUUUCACAAAGCUCAAACCAACUUCUAUUUAAUUAUUUUAGACGGUAUGGAAUUAUCGAAGUUCUGUUUGUAUAUCUUUGUUUUGAAUUGCUUUAAAUAAAUUUAUUUAUAUCAAAUUUAAUGAAUUUAUAAAAAAUUUAUAUUUUCACAAUCUAUCAAGAAAUUUGAAUCCAAGUAACCAUCCAUGGAUGAAGUACACUUUUUUUAUUAUUAUUAGAACCAAUCAUUCUUUAAUAAGUUUUACUUAAUUUGAAAGUUCUUUUGUGAUUCAAAAUAAAGAAGAGUGAACUUCACAAACUACACCUAACUUGAGUCUUGACCCACAAACUUAAUAUACAAUGCCACCCACCCAUCAUCUUCAUCUUCAUUCAAGGAUUUUCUUGCUAAUUAAGAAAUAUAUGGCAAUUUAAUGGCCUAUAAACUUCAUUUGGUUGUACGAUUGAAGGGAUUCUCGUUAAACAUAAUUGGACCCAUAUUCAAAUGAAGUCUUAGCUGACCGAAAAUGUAAUUGCAUUGCCUGCAGAGUGCCAAGAAAAUUGCUUUUAACAGGCUUCUUUAUAAUUCACAUUUCAUUGUAAGAUCUCGAUUUUACAGGUAUGGAGUCUUAAUUGUUGAACCCUUGGAUACUCAACAAGAUUAAAAUUCGAUAAAAAUGUAAUCCGGCUGAAUUCUAUAGUUAAACAAAUUUUAAAAUAUUAUUCGUGACUGUUUAUUAGUAAAUUAAACUUAAAUUUAUUUAUAAAUUAUUCGUAAAACAUUAUGUUCAUUCACACUUAUAAAUUUACAGUUAUCCCGAUCAAAUAAUAAUAUUACUGCUUAGUUCCCCUUUUGAUCAUGGAAUUUCCUGUGUUUGGAGUCUUCCGUUCAUUAUUGAUGCAAUCUAAACUCCAGUUACUAUCGCCGUGAUUGAAUUACUCAAGUUGAACAUUAGGAUGUUUAAAUUCAAUGGUCUUUAGUUGAGAUUGAAGAACAGGAAAGAAGCACCAGAAACAAGAACACUUACAAUCCGAAGGCAUUUUGGUGGUGAAGUUUCUCAUUAAUAAAUAUUCUUUUUGUGACCAUUUUUCUUCUUUGAUGGCAUUCAUGCAACUACUUUCUUCGCAAUUUUUAAAAUAUAGGUUUUUUUUUAUGCAAAAAAUUUCAUAAAUUUUAUUUUUUUAUUAAAAGAAACAGAUUCUGUAGUAUCUUUUAAUAAUCAUCAUGUUGGAAUUAAUAGAGAUCUCUAAGAUUUAUUACUUUUGGUUUGAUUUUUGAAUCAAAAGGUUUAGAUUCAAAUAUUUCUAUAAUAUUAAAAUCUAUAUUUUUAAUAGAUAUAAAAUUAUUAUUAGUAAAUUUAUUGAUAAUUAUCUAAUUUAUAAACAGAUCAUGAGCUACACUUUUAAUUUUUGAUUUUUUUAUCAUUAUUAUUAAUCUAAGACAAUUUUUAUUAAUGGGUCGUUAAUAAAAAUAAAAUAAUUUGAUUUUACUUUAAAUCAAAAGCAUGAACAAGAUCAUACCAUUUUUAAUGGCAAUGAGACUAUAGGCAUCAAGGGCAAAUAUAGCUAGAGUCAUGGCAAAAUCUAGCAUUUUUUUUCAUAUUGACAUUAAUAGCACCCAAAUGAUUUCGCUCGUAUAAAUAUGAUACGGUGAUAUGAUAUAAAUAUUAUAUAAAAUAUUAAAAAAAUAUAAUGUAAAAUUUUAAUAAUAAUUAUAUAUGGAUAUAAAAAUUUUCAACCUCAUAUAUUAUCUCUUUACUCUUUUUUUUUUUUUUUCAUAUUUUACUAUUUUAAAUAUUGAAAUAUAUGUUGAAAUAUUGUUUUGAUUUUUUUUUUUUUUGUGAUAAAUCAGGGUCAUUAUCCAACUUGACUUUCAACAAAUUCCUCAACAAAUAGAUAAAAAUUAAGUAAAAAAACUAAACCUUAUUUACCAUUUUUUGAACAUAUAUACAUUUAUAAAUUUUAAAGAAAAUAAAAAUAAUUCAAAAAAAUUACAAAAGUACAAUAUCAUUGUAACGAUGUUAUUUUCAAAAAACUAUUUGAAAAGAAUGGAAUGGGAGAUAACUUGUAUCUUAAAAGAAAUUAAUAUUUCUUUCUUUAAUGGUAAAAAGGUAUUUAAAAAGUGUUGAAAAAACAGUAAAACAAAGAUAAAAGAUAUUCCAUCACUCGGUUUGCUUCGAUUUGUUACAAUGUAGAAUGUAUAUAAUACAUUAAUAUUUGUAAAUUUUUUUAUAUUUCAUUCAGAUAAUUUUUAAAUUUAAAUUUAUUAUUAUUAUUAAAUCGAAUUCGAAUAAUUUAAUUUAUUAAAUAAAAAAAAUUUAAAUGUUUUAAUAUUCUAUUUGAACGGUUUUCAAAUUUAAUUGAAAUUUUAUGUUUAAAUAUAUAUUUUAUUAUUUUAAUUAAAAAUUAUUAUUUUAUUUUUAUAUUUAUUAAUUCGAGUUCAUGUUUAUUAUAAAAAAGAUUGUAACUUGAAAUAAGAGAAAAGUUACAUUAAAUGUUAAAAUUUAAAAUUUAAAAUUAAUUAAAUAUCAUUUUUAAAAUUAAUUAUUUGAAUCAAUUGAAUUAAGUUUAGAUUUUAAUUUUUUAUUCUUUUCUAGUUAAACUAAUAGCAACUGUAAUUAAAGGACAAAUUGAUUGUAGGUAAAUUCGAUAAAUGUUAUAUAUAUUAUAAAAUAAAUUUAAAUAUAUUAAAAAAUAAUAAAUUAAUAAAUUAAUUUUUAAAAAAAUUAAAUUGAUUUUAGUUAAAUUCAGAUUAAUUUUUAAAAUUAAAAUAAUCAAAUUUAAUUUAAUCCGAUUAAUUAUCACAUCGACCAUAAAAAAUUUUCUUAAAUUGUACUCCUUAAAAAAACUACUAAAAGAUAUAACUAUGUUUUAUUUUUUUUUUUUACGAAGGAAAGUAUCCAAAGACCAAGAGAGGGAGAAAAAAAGUGAUUUCUUUUGUCUUCUUUGCUUUUUUAAUUCAUUUUCAAGAUUAAAAUAAAAAAGAAAUAAGAUUAAAUAAAUCCCUCGGGCCUAAUCCAUACGUCCAUUUUCAAGUAUAACAGUCCAGAUUCAAACCUGAAUUUGCUUAGUAUUCAUAUAUGGUUGGGAUCGAAAUCCAAAAUGAAACACUUGAUGGUAAGGAUGAUAAUGAUUUAAAUUAAAUUGAAUUUAAUUCAUUUUCUAUAUUAUUUAAUAUUAUAAAAUUUUAAAAUUUAAUUUAAAUUUAAAUCAAUUUUUUAUAUUAUUUAAAUUAAUUCAAAUUUUGGAUACAUUUGAAUUAAAUCAAAUUAUAUCAAUUUGAUUUGUUUGUUUUUUAAUUUUUAAAAUUAAAGUUUUUAUUUUUUAUUUAAUAUAUUUAAAUAAAUUUUAAUAUAAAAAUUAUUUUUUAUAAAAAUAUAAAAUAUUUAAAAAUAUAUAAUUUGGACUAAUUCGUUUUUUUUUUUAAUUUUAAAUUUGAUCCCAAUUUAAUAAAAAAAUUAUCUAAUUUGAUUCAAAUAUUUAAUAUUUAAAUUUAAUUUGAAUUAAAAUCAAAAUUAAAAAAAAAAUCUAAACCGAAUAAAAAACUUCUAAUUUAUCGGCAGCAUUUUCAUUUGUUCAAUUGAAAGAGGGUUACUAACUAACUGUAAUAACUGAACCAAUCUGCACUUUUGGAUCGACAUUAGAAUCAAGCGCCAGUAAACAGGAGAACUGAAGAGGGAGGGAUCCGAAUGACGGAUCCGAAUCUGGAUCUACAAGAAUCGGGCUGGGAGGAACUGAGGAAAGAAGCUCGAAAGAUCGAAGGUGAUCUCGAUGUCAAACUCUCUUCUUAUGCUAAGAUCGGUGCUAGGUUCACUCAAGGAGGUUUGGUCCUUUCCUGCUUCCUUUUUCAAUUUUCCAUUUUAUCUUUGGAAUUUUGUUCCUUUGAUUGUUAUUUUCUGUUAUAUGGAUUGCAUUUUGAUUUUCUUUUGGUUGAUUCCUCAAAUUAUGAACAAAUCUGUUGGAAACUGAACAAACUCUAAUGGCUGAAUAGAUUGGAUUGGUCAAAACAGAGAAUUUUUUUUUUUUUUGUUAGUAGAUAUCUUCCUUUUGGGAAUUCAUAGCUGUUGGUGCCGAGCUGUCUUGAUGCGGGCAAAGACCUGAAAUCACAAAAUGGGAGGUUGGUUAAUAGCAAAGGCUGAGGUUCUCCGGUGUUGUGUUCUGAUGCUCUAGUUAGUGGUUUGGAAAGAGAGUAAGGAGAGAGAACUUGAAAGUAGAUAUGAGAACUUGAAUUGGUUUAAUAGGGCAUGAGAGGGGUUAUUUAUACCUGUAUGGUGAAGGUUCUAGGCCUAGGUAGCCCAAGCUCCAAGUGGGAGGGUUAGGGCUGACAUUGUCAGCCCGACCUGAGUUGGCAGUCUACAACCCAAUCGGGGUGACAGUCAGCAUUCUCAUUGCCAUCUGGUGGUUAGCUGAGGUGGCUAGCUGACAUGGAUCAAGGAAUUUAAGGUCAGCUCGACAUGUCAGCUCAGAUCAAAUUGAUCAAAUUGCCUUCUAAUGGCCGAAAAGAUGGGAUUUGUCAAAACAGAGAACUUUUUUUUCUUAAUAUUCUCAUUUUGAUUUUCUUUUGGUUAUGAACAAAUCUAUUGAAACACAGAACAAACUCUAAUGGCUGAAUAGAUUGGAUUUGUCAAAACAGAUAUAUAUAUAUAUAUAUAUAUUGUUAAUUAGAUUUCUUCUAUUUGGAAAUUCAUAGCCUUUGUGAUGAUAUGUACUUACAUUUAGGUUAUGUAGAUACUGGUUCGCCGGCGGUUGGGUCAAGCAGGUCAUGGAAGUCUAUGGAAAUGGAAAUUCAAUCGUUGCUUGAGAAACUGCUGGACACAAAUGAUGCCAUGAGUAGAUGUGCUGCAUCUGCUGCACCAACUACUUCUGUAACCCAGAAGCUUGCAAGGCAUAGAGACAUACUACAUGAGUUUAAUCAGGUAUAUUCAGUUGACUAUGCUGUAAUUGUUAUCUAAACUUGUUUUCAGAAGUAGAUUUCCACAUUUAAUUACCAACUAUUAUGAGCCUCGAAGAAAUAGGACUAUAUCAUGGUAUCUUUCCAACAUUACUGCUAAUAAGGAAAUUAUGAGUUUAGUGUAGCAUUCACCUUUCUUCUAGGGCCUAGUAUAGGCUGCUAAAUUCUAGUCAUUGUAUAUGUUUCUCUUUAAUUUUUUCUUAUUGAUGCUGUUAAUAAUGAAUGAUACUGCAAUUGAACAAAUUUUCUUUCAACUUCUCUGCUUCUGUCACUAAGAUGUUUAUGGGCCAUGGGUUCAAACUGAUCAUCGUACUAAAUAAUGUCACCAUGAAGCUGCUUCCUAGGAGACAGGCUCUGGCAAGCUUGUAACAAGUUGGAUUGGUGGGUUUUGUCAUUGCUUGCAAGGGUAACUGUAUCUUGAUAGCAUGUGAUUUUCAGUGUUCUUUUGUUUUACAGUUAGAAAUGUCCUUAUCUCCUCUUUUGUUGAACCAUGAGAGAUUGGAAGAUAAGUGUGGCUGUUACCAGUUACAGAUCCAAUUAAGCCCCAAAUGGUUCUCUUGUCUUCCAUAUCUGAAGUAGAAUAUGUUCCUCCCUCGUCCAUUUUGCUCUUCUGCAUAACCAAAAUCUAGGAUUUCUUUAAGUGCUUGCUACUCUGAUUCAUUGCACUAUAAACUAGUCUACCCAUGUUCCAAGGAAUUACUCCCAGUUACUGCUGCUUUUGGAUGUUUAUCAUUUCAACAAUUUUUCUAUCCUUUUGAAGUAAUGGUAUAAAUUUUGUUAGGAAUUUAGAAGAAUCAAGGGAAACAUAAAUUCAAUGAGGGAACACGUAGAGCUUCUGAGUUCUGUCAAGGAUGAUAUCAGUGAGUACAAGGUAUUUAUACGAUUUUAACUCUUAAUUUUGUUACUUCAUUGCCAGUACUAUGUUGUUUCCCAACGAUAACCAUAUCUGCCUUCAUGCAGGCAUCUGGGAGUUUGUCACCAAGAAUGCAGUUACUCAGAGAGCGAGCUGCCAUCCACGGAAGCAUUGCUCAUGUAAGAUUUAAAUGUUCUCUUAUUGUUAUGCAUCUUGGAGCAUUUUUCAAAAGAAGUUUCCCGUUAUGUGUUUUGCCAAUAGAUGUUAUAUUUUCCAUUUGCUUAAUGGUUUGGAGAGAAUGCUGAUUUAAAUCUCCAUAGUCAACUCAAAAUCACAUUUCUCAAGUCUCAAAACCCAAAGCUUUGACCAAAUAACAAAUCCGUAUUUCCUAAAAUUUUGCCUAUAACAAGCAUUCAUCCAGUUUACAUGAUAGCCUUCCAUCAGUUUGGAUUUGGUUGCUUAAAAAUAUGAUAGCCUUCCAUUCCAUUUUCCUGAUGUUAUCUUCUUAUAGAUAGAUGAUGUGAUUAGUCAAGCUCAAACGACAAGGGCAGUCUUGGGCUCUCAAAGAGCUCUGUUUGGAGACGUUCAAGGGAAAGUAAAACUUCUAAGUGACAAGUUUCCCGUCAUCCGCGGCUUACUUGGUACUUCAUGGUGUAUCUUUAUUGCUGAGUUUUUAUUCUUCAUACUAUUAUUCUUUCCUCGUUAAAAUUCUUCUACUUUCCAGGUUCCAUCAGAAGGAGGCGAUCAAGAGACACUCUUAUUCUGUCAGCAGUAAUUGCUGCUUGUACGUUGUUUCUUAUUAUCUAUUGGCUCUCAAAGUAACUAUUAGAGAUGUGAUUUAUGAAUACACAAACAGUGAAAGCAGUUGUGUUUUGGCGAGAGAAUUUUGCUUAUGAUUUGUUAGAACAGAUCAGAUUUCUCUGUAGCUAAACCUGAGGUACCUUUGUUUUGGUGCCAUUACAUAGAAAAUCUCAUUUUGUUUCAUAUGCAAAUAUUUCUCUUACAUUGCUCCAACGCAGGUUUGAUGUCGGGCAAUUUCAGUUUGUGGUCACACAGGGUCUGGUCUAAUUUUUAGUUUUUAGCUGCCUUGCUGCAAAUGGCCUUGUGGCCUGUUUGUGGGUGCCUUUAAUUUCCUCUGAUGCUAGCUUUGCUUGCGGGCUUGAUCUGUUGUUGUCUAUGAGUCGUUGGAUUUUGUUCAUUGCAUCAAACUCUUUUAAUUAAGGGUUAAUGAUAUGAAUGAUUUUUAAUCUAUAUCAAAAUGUUCAAUGCAGUAUUUAAAUUUUAAAAAUCUCUCAUAUGAUAUUUAAAUUAUAAAAUUUAGUAAUUAAAUAUAAUAUUUACUCCUAACUAGAGAUGAUAAUGGAUCGGAUUGGAACAAAUUUUUGUUCGUCCUAAACCUAAUUUGACUUGACUCGAUGAUUUUUUAAAAUUUUUUAUACUCGAACUCGAUCAAACCCAAUAUUAUAUAAAAUCGUAUUUGAAUCAGUCCAAAAUUAAUAAAAAUUAUUUUUAAAAUAUAAAAUAUUAUUUUUUAAUGUAAAUAUAAAAAUAUAUAAUUAAAUAAUUAAUUAAAAAAUAAUUUUAUAUAUACCAAGUUGAAACGGACAAGUUUACUUAAAUCGAUUUCGACUUUGUUCUAAAAUUAUCUUACCCAAAAUUUGAUUUAAAAAAAAAACCUAAAGAGAUCGAAUUGGGUUGAAACCUAUCGAAGACGAGUUGAGCUGCUAUUCCUACUCUUAAUGUGAUAAAUAUUAAAUUUAUUAACUAAUAUGAUAUUCUUCUCAUAAUGUAUUUAGUUUCAAAUGAUCGCAUAUAAUACACAAGCAACUUUCAAAAUAUCACAUUAAUUAAAAAAUUCAUAAUUCAUUUAUCACAUUAAACAUUUUACUACAAUUUAAGAACUAUUUGUAACAAUACCUCUUUAGUUAAACCGAGUUAGAGGUCCUUAAUCACUAGAACUAAAUCGGUAAUCAUCAGGAUAAACGAUUCUGGACAAUGAGAAAAAGGUAAAUUUACUGUUAAUUCUUACUGAUAAUCGAGUAUAAAGUAGAUUUAAUAUUGUUAAAUACGAUAUAAAAUAUGAUAUGGAAAAAAUAUAAUAAAAAUAAUACGAUUUAAAUUUUUAAUAAAAUAAUAUAUUAAUUUGAAUAAAAACAAAAAAUGUGUUGUAAUUUGAUAUAUAAUUGGUGACUUAAUAAUUAAACAUAUAUUUUAUAUACAUAUUAACACAAAAUAAAUAAGCAUAAAUAUAUAAUUUAUACAGUCUAUAACCAAGUAGCACAGAGAGCUUAAAACCUGGAGCAAAGAAGACACAACCAGACAAAAGCAUAAAGGCAAGGCAAAUACAUUAACAAUCCCAAAUUAGGAAUGUCUACCAUGAUUAGUCAAAACACCGAUUACUAAAAAAUUUGAGUGAUGGUCCACUGAAGUUGUAUCUUUAGUGAGAGCAUUGGUAAAAAUAAUGUAUGUCAAAUGUAAAAAUGAAGCCAGAGUUUUAGCUCAGUUAGUUUGUACAAUCACCCUUAAAAGAUAAUACUUAACAGAUUUGAGAUUUCAAAUCUCAACAUUUGAAAUCCUUUCCCCUAGCUUUAAGCUAUGGUUCCUUCGUAUAAAAAAAAUGUAAAAAUCAAUGAAUUAAAGUAACAGAAUGAGUCAUGACAAUCACAAACGAACAAUCUCAUCCCCAUCCUCACAAAAACAGGUUCUUUUACUUAAAUGUGGUUUCUGGUGAGAAGGAAGUUGCACUUGACACCAUGUUCAAAGAAAGCAAUAAUAAACAAGUCAAAAACACAGCCAGGCAGGUACAACAAUACCAGACAGAAGUAAAAAUCAAAAAGUAUGUAACAAGUAAGACUUUUACAGUUCAUUGCUUCAAACUGCAGAUAAUUAGUUGGUGUAAUAGAAUUGCUCUUAGACAUUGUAUAAAAAGACCUGAUCCAGACCAGGGUGAAAACAUUUAAGCACUCGCACUCGUAUGGUUGCAAGUUGCAACGUCUAGCUGAAUUAAGAACACGAAUUAUGUGCAGAAAGUAAAACCGUCUCAGACCGAUCAUUACAAGAAAACGUGACAAAGUUUCAGUAAAUGCGGAAGUGAGAGGUACAUAUUGCGGGAAGAGUAGCAGACCAUACUUGUAUUCGAUACUUCUGCAAAUCCAAAAUUUAGCCCAAUAGAUAAGUUAGUAAUUAGAGCUACAGAAUAACUUUAGUUAUUGCGAAAUUGAUGUUCAAGCACAUUUCUUUUACAUAAUUAGUAAUUCGAAUUAGAUAAUUUACCAUCAAAAGAACAUAUGGAGUUUAUUUGCAUCUCAUCAGAUCAAAGAAAGGUAAGAUGCAACAUUGAUUGCAUAGCAAUAACAAAACAAAAGCCAGUUCCCUUAGCUGGUUUUUCACCACAUUUCUUUUUAAAAUGCAAGGGAGGUUAUAGGAUAAAAUGCAAUUGAUUGAAGAAAAUCCAUGAAAGAAUCUCCAUAACCGACCAGAAGACAUGAUCUAAGUGGGUCAUCCAUGCCAACCUAAUGCCAUUAAAGAACUCAACAGCAUUAAAAUAGCAAUGCAAUUUUGCUUAACAUAUUUGCUUUGAUCAAAGACAACCUAAAAGUGGAAUAAUAGGAAGUCAAACUGUACAAGUAACAACUAUGUGGAUACACAUUUGGAGUAGUAUUUAUCUUGUGUCAAAGGAACAAAAAGCAAUGGGGAAAAAUGCUUACAGUCAUUUCAACAUUGGACUCACAUGAGAAUCGUAAGAAAAGAAAUUCACAAACUGGAGAUGUGGUUAAGUAUCAGAAGAUAGCCAAGAAGCUGCCUUACUGCAGUCACUCCCUAGAGCCCGGUGCAAAGUCCAGCUGCGGGGUUAGUAUUUUUUUAAGUGUAUACAUAGUAGGUAUCUUCUUGAGGAUCAAGGCAGCCACUAAAACUGAAACUUUGAUCUUUAGGAAUCUAGUGUCAUAAUGUAACCUUCAAGGAUUGCAGCCAAAGAUGCAAACCAAAAUAACCUUUGCUUCAAAAUCUUUUUUUAUAAAGAGAAGAUUUGUUAUAACUUAGUUCUCUACAUGGGGCAAUAUUUGAGCAACUACCCUGUACAUUUCAACCCACUUAAAUAGACCCGAGACUGAAUCACAGUCCUUCCAAUUUUAAAUCCUGGAACCACUGUGAAACACACUUUCAGCCUAGUUUUGCCAGGCAAGUUAUAUCUCUUGGUGACAUCUUCCAUAAAUACCAUUGAAAAAUCGACUCCUCUUUCAACUUGAAACAUCUCAACCACAGGAUCAAAUGAAAAGGCCAACUUAUGAAGUGUCCAUAUUGAACUAGCCAUGCUAACAAAUGACUCAUAGAAUAUGCUCAAUGACCGCCACGAAUUCAGCACAACUUCAUUUUGAUCCAAACUGCUAAAAAUCGAUGACUCCAUGGUGGGAUGAAUAAGGUCCUGAUACUUCUUCUCACAAAAUCUUGAGUAUUCAGAAUUUUGGUUCCUUCUCAGCAACUCCAUGGGAUUGCUAGAUACAUGCUCAAGUAAUUGCUUCAAUGAACAAGUAGCAUUAUUCCCAUUACACAGACGUUCAUUCUCACUCAAACCAAACCCUUCAAAAUCAAAACCGUGAAACAUCGCCAAGCAAACAUAUGACAAAAAAGCAAAUCUAUUUGUGUCCUUUCUUAGAAUAAUCAAUAUCAGGAUAAACCAAAUUCGCCACCAAAUCAAGAUCCCAGCCAGCUUUUCUCAUCAAAUCAAUCAAAAUCUUACUAAACUUAUGGGUUGCUCUGAAAGCAUCAUGCAAAACAGAAUCAAAAACCUUAACGGAACAGAUACACAAGCUAAAUCAAAUUANNNNNNNNNNNNNNNNNNNNNNNNNNNNNNNNNNNNNNNNNNNNNNNNNNNNNNNNNNNNNNNNNNNNNNNNNNNNNNNNNNNNNNNNNNNNNNNNNNNNNNNNNNNNNNNNNNNNNNNNNNNNNNNNNNNNNNNNNNNNNNNNNNNNNNNNNNNNNNNNNNNNNNNNNNNNNNNNNNNNNNNNNNNNNNNNNNNNNNNNNNNNNNNNNNNNNNNNNNNNNNNNNNNNNNNNNNNNNNNNNNNNNNNNNNNNNNNNNNNNNNNNNNNNNNNNNNNNNNNNNNNNNNNNNNNNNNNNNNNNNNNNNNNNNNNNNNNNNNNNNNNNNNNNNNNNNNNNNNNNNNNNNNNNNNNNNNNNNNNNNNNNNNNNNNNNNNNNNNNNNNNNNNNNNNNNNNNNNNNNNNNNNNNNNNNNNNNNNNNNNNNNNNNNNNNNNNNNNNNNNNNNNNNNNNNNNNNNNNNNNNNNNNNNNNNNNNNNNNNNNNNNNNNNNNNNNNNNNNNNNNNNNNNNNNNNNNNNNNNNNNNNNNNNNNNNNNNNNNNNNNNNNNNNNNNNNNNNNNNNNNNNNNNNNNNNNNNNNNNNNNNNNNNNNNNNNNNNNNNNNNNNNNNNNNNNNNNNNNNNNNNNNNNNNNNNNNNNNNNNNNNNNNNNNNNNNNNNNNNNNNNNNNNNNNNNNNNNNNNNNNNNNNNNNNNNNNNNNNNNNNNNNNNNNNNNNNNNNNNNNNNNNNNNNNNNNNNNNNNNNNNNNNNNNNNNNNNNNNNNNNNNNNNNNNNNNNNNNNNNNNNNNNNNNNNNNNNNNNNNNNNNNNNNNNNNNNNNNNNNNNNNNNNNNNNNNNNNNNNNNNNNNNNNNNNNNNNNNNNNNNNNNNNNNNNNNNNNNNNNNNNNNNNNNNNNNNNNNNNNNNNNNNNNNNNNNNNNNNNNNNNNNNNNNNNNNNNNNNNNNNNNNNNNNNNNNNNNNNNNNNNNNNNNNNNNNNNNNNNNNNNNNNNNNNNNNNNNNNNNGAUCUUGCAAAUUUGAAUUCUUGUGAAACUGAAGUUUUGAGAAUUAAAUUUCAGUGAAUUCUUAUGAAGCUGAAAGGUUCUUGUGAAUCUAAACCUUUGAACUUCAAACUCAAAUUGUGAAUCUUUGAGUUUCUAUUACAAAUUUCAUCAAACCUAAUCUGACUCAUCCGAACAUGAUUGUGGAUGAGCUUUUAUUUUUUAAAGUUAUGGUGCCUCUGUUUAGAGGAGCAUUUUACUUUUUAAAGUUAUGGUGCCUCUAUUUAGAGGAGUAUUUUACUUUUCAAAGUUGUGGUGCCUCUAUUUAAAUGAGUAAUUUACUUUUCAAAUUUGUGAUGCCUCUGUAUAGAGGAGCAAUUUUAUUUUUCAAAGUUGUGGUACCUCUAUUUAGAGGAGCAAUUUUAUUUUUCAAAGUUGUGGUGCCUCUGUUUAGAAGAGCAUUUUACUUUUCAAAGUUGUGGUGCCUCCGUUUAAAGGAGCAUUUUACUUUUCAAAGUUGUGGUACCUCUAUUUAGAAGAGCUUUGUUUACUUUAAAAAAACCAAAAAAAAUAAUAAAAAAAAACUAAAAAAAGGUGAAUGUGUUGAUAUGAUCAUUUGAAUAAAAGAGUGUCUACGUCUUUGCACAAUUCCUAUUUCACAGAAAAUGUGCAUGUGCAAAGAGGGAUAGCUGUAGACACCUCAAUUUGUCUAGAGCUCUACUUGUGAUUUUUGCUAAUAAAAGAAUAAAAAAAAAUAGGUAGUUGAGUUUGUGUGAAAUUAUUGGAAUUAGUUUGUAAAGUUGAAGUUGGGUUUAAGGUUAAAAUUUAAAGGUAAUUGGGAUUCCUUUCUGGAUUGGAGUUCUCAAAUUCAAAACCCUAUAAAUACUUACCCACAUAGAUCAUACAAACACACAUAAAAAAAAUUAGGGAGAGAGGCAGAAAUCAGAGAAAGCAGUCAAAAAAAUUUUUUGGGGUUAAAAAAAAAUAUUUUUUGGAAAAAAUCUGAAAAAUUCUCAGAUUUCGAUGACUUUUUCCAAUCUUUGUCUCAAGCUAAGCCAAACGAAGCCAUUUUUUAAGCCAUUCCAGCUUUUCUUCCUGCAACUAAACCAUGUUGUAGCCAUUAAAGUCGAGCCGCCUCCUGUUUUAGGUAUUUUUUUCACUUUAUUUAUUUUUUUGAGUAUUUUUGCAUGAUUAAAUUUUAGAAAAAUAAAAAUAAAAAAGGUAAAAAAUAAAAUAAAUUUUGGAAAUAAAUAUUAAUUAUCCAAUGAUGAAAUUUAUAGAAAUUUCAAAUGGUAAAUUUCUAUAAAAUUCUUAUGUGAGAAAUUUUGUCUAAAUUUGUCCCAAAUGGUGAAAUAAUUUAGAUAAAGUUUUAAUAAAAAUAAUUAAUAUUUAUUUUCAAAACAAAAAAAAGAAGAAAAAUAAAAAAUAAAAAAAUAUUGAUAAAAAUUUUAGAAUGAAGUACAAAUUACCCAAUGAUGAGAUUUUUAGAAAUUUUAAAUGGUAAAUUUUAAAGAAAUCUCUAUAUGAGAAAUUUCUCUAAAUUUAUCCCAAAUUAUGAAAUAAUUUAGAUGAAAUUUUAAUAAAAAUAAUUGUAUACUUUUCCAAAUUUGGUUAAAAAUAUUUAAUAAUUAUCUAAUGAUGAGAUUCUUAGAAAUUUCAAAUCAUAAAUUCUUAAGAAAUCUCUAGCUAAGAAAUUUCUUUAAAUUUAUCCAAAAUGGUAGAAGAAUUUAAAUGAAAUUUCAAUAAAAAAAUAAUUGUCAUAUUAUUUUCCUUCAAAAGAUAAAAAAAUAAAUAAAGAGAAAAUAUUUCUAAAUUGACCCAAACGGUGAAAAAUUUUAAAACUCUAACAAAAAAAGAGAGAAUUUCUAAUUAUGCUCAAAUGGUGAAAAUUUUAAAAAUAAAAAAAAUAAAAUAUUUUUAAAUUGACCCAACUGGUGGAAAAUUUAGAAAUCCAAUAAUAAAAAAAAGGAAUUUUUAAAUGGGCCCAAAUGAUGAAAAUUUUUGAAAUUCAAAAAGAGAAAGUAUUUCUAAUUUGACCCAAAUGGUGAAAUAAUUAUAUAUAUUUUUUAUAAAAAAAUAAUAAAUAAAUAUUUUUUCAAUAACGCAGCCUUUUCAAGAUAUCAAAUAAGAUUCUUGAAUACUCUUGAGGUGAAAAAAUAUUUUUAAAAAUUCUACCAGAUUGAUGGAAGAAUCUUAUAAAUUAUUUUCAAUAUUUAACAUAAAAAUGUGAAACCAUUAAACUUAAGACCCUAGGAUAAAUUUAAAAUAAUAUGGUACCAUACUUCGGAUGGGCAUGUGGGGGUGCUAUAACCUUCCUCACAUAUAAUUGAACUCUUGAACUAUGUUCUGGUUUGUAGACCCGAACCUAUUCUUUUAGGGACCCUUAGUCAAACUUAGGAGUUCCUUAAGAUGAUAGAUUCCUUAGGUAGUCAAUCACACCUAGUUAAACAAGAUUGGUGAUGACUCCAUUUGUUAAGUUUAACUAUAGAUUUACGGAUCUAUAUAUUAUGACAAUACAUAUUAAAAUUUAAUGUUCACAAUCACACAUAUUAAAAAUAAGAAAAGUUUCAGUGUCUUUAAAACUAAUUAAUAAUUGGGGUGCUUUUGUUCCUUUUGCAAUCAUUUUUCUUGUUGUUUGUUAUGGGGAUGAUGGUACUGCUAGCAGUGGCAUUACCAAGCUUUGAUUGGUGCAUAGAUUGUUGCUACCAAUAGCAGUGGUCUCAUGGCUGGUGUUGGUGUUACAGAAAGAUGGAUUCAUGUAAAAAAAACUUCCAACCAUCAAGAAAAAUGUGGUUUCAUUUCCAUGUGAGGGGCACCAAUUACUUCAAAUCUAGCAUUAUGUUUGUGUUGCAUGUUCUCACUUUAUAGCUAAACAAGCUUGGGAUUGUUGGACCCAUUUUCCUUGUACUCCAUGGAAGGCCAAUUGAAACCUUUAAUUCUUUAGUUAAUUACUUAAACCACAUCGAGCAUUGGGAAUUUUUAGGGACUAAAUAUAGAUUUCAUAAUUUUAGACAUGAUACGAUGAUAAAAUAUAGAAAAAAUCAUAUAUUUUUUUAAAAAAUGUGUUUUAUAUGUACCUAUGUAGAUACAAAUUUUGACGUAUCACAAUUCGUGUUGUAUAUGUGUUAAUUCAUUUAAACAUGUGUCAUGAUAUGAAUAAUACGUUUAAUUUAAUUUUGUCAUAUAAGUAAACCUUUAAUAUGUUUAAAACAUUUUUUAUAUUUAUUUUAACUUAAUAUAAACAUAUAAAGAUUAUUUUAAUUUUUAAUUUUUUAAUUAUGAUACUUAUUUAGCUAUUUAAUUUCAUAUAAAAAUUAUUUUAAACAUUUAAUUAUGAUAUUCAUUUAAUAAUUAUUAUAAAAUUAUUUUUUAUAUUAAUAAUAUAAAUACAAUAUAAAUAUAAUAUUAGUCAUAUAUAUUAUUAUUUUAUUCUCUAAUCUUUAAUAGUUUAUCAUUUUGAAUUUGAUACUAAAAAUUAAUAUAGUUAUAUAAUAUAAAUUAAAAUUUAAAUAUAUAUAUAUAUAUUAAAUACAUAUUAAAUGAGAUUUAAUUUUUUUUAAUAUGUAAGUACUUUUUUAUAUUAUUAAUAUGCCCAAUUUAUUAAGUUAUAGAUAAUGGAUUGUUUAUAAUUAUUUACUAUUUUAAUCAUGUUUUUGUAUAUAUUUAUGUUAAUCGUAUUUAUUAUGUAUAUCUGUACUAUUUGUGUUUAUUUCUAUCGAAUUUAAAUGAAUUAGUUGCACACGUGUUAAUCAUGUUGUAUCAAAUGUAGCACGUAUAUUAAACAUAUUGUAUUCCUAUUUAGGAUUUAAACACUUUUAUAAUUCGUGUUGUAUUCAUAUUUUAAUAAUUCAUGUUAUUAUAGAUAUCAAAUACAACAUAAAAUAUAACACAAAGAUAUGAAUUAUCAGGUCUAUUUAAACAGCCAUCCAAACUGAUGAGGUUGCCAUGUGAUUGAUAGCAAAUGUUUUGGAAUCAUUAUUGUCAUCUCUCAAUUCAAUUCAAUCACUAGUGCAAAUGUUAGCAUAAUGUCAACGAUUUCUUUCCACUUUAAUUGCUAAAUCCAAGGUUCUUUUUUUCUAAGUUGUAUUCUAUUUUUCAUUUUCAAUCUAUUGAUUCCUCUUUGAACAAUCAUUUUCAGUAUAUAAAAUUUAUGUUUGAGGCAGGAAUUGAUCCUUUUUCAUAAUCAUCUCCUUAUUCAUGUAUCAUUGAUUUAUUUCUUCAUCUUAUUUUUUCAAUUUCCUAAUAUAUUCUUAAUCUUUUUAUCCUUUUAUUUACCUUAUUAAAAAAAAAAAUUACAUGCAUGAGUUCAUUUAAACAUAUAACGUUCAAGCAUAAAAAAAAAAAACUCAUACCAAUAGAUUCAAAUAUCGAUUUAUUCUUAAUCUUAAAUUUGUUUUUUUUUUUUAAAUUUUACAAGGAACAAGUUGAUCAUAUCAUUAAACCAUAUCCACAUACAAUAUUAUUACUAAUAAUGAGAAUGACUAAUUAUUACUGUUCAAACCCAUAAAAAAAUUUUACGUAAUCAAUUUGUUUUGCUUGAGAUAAUUAAAAAUCGAAUCCUAAUUACUAAAAUUAAGAAUAUAAUAUUUUACCAACAAAUCAUAAGAUUAUUAAUUAUGUAAUAUAUUAAUUAUAAUUUAGCAUAAUCUAGAAACUUUAUGGUAUUAAUUAUUUAUGCUAGGGCAAGGUAUAAAGAAAAAUAACAUGCAUUCAUGGUAAGAAAUUGUCUCCAAUGGACAAUAUAAUGAUACCUUUGAAAAGAUGCUUUUUUGUUGUUUCUUGUAUUCUAAGAGAACAUUUUAUUUAUAGAUUUUAUAUUUUUAAUAAAUAUAAUUUUACAAUUCUAAUUACUAUCCUAAAAUUAUUGUCUCUAUGUAGAAAAAAUAUGAAAAUCGACCUUCAUGGUAAGGUUGACAUGAGGGUUGGAAUGAGUGGUAAACCCCUCACUCAUAGGUUUUCAGGAGCUACAAUUUUUAUGUGUAAUAAUAUUAAAUAAAUAUAUUUAAAUUUUAUAUGUAAUAAUAUUAAAUAAAGAUAUUUUACGUUUUAUUUUUUAUAUUUUCAACAAAAUUUUCAUUUUUUAUCUUAGAAAAGUGGUAUUUUUAACAAAAAUUACGUUUUUAUUUUAGAAACAUCAACUUUAUUAAAUUUAAAAACAUAUAUAUUUCAUGUUUUUAAUAAAAAUUGUAUUUUUAUCUUAAAAAUGUUGUCUUUUCAAUAAAAACUAUGUUCGUAGUUUAGAAACACCAUUUUUAUUAAAUUAUGAAAACUAUAUAUUUUUUUCAUAUUUUCAACAAAAACUAUAUUUUCGAUAUUAUAAAUGUUGUUUUAGUUGAAUUCUGGAAGUAUUUUUUUUCAUGUUUUCAAUAAAAUAUUGCAUUUUUAAUUUAGAAACAUCAUCUAUUCAAUAAAGACAACAUUUUCUAUCUUAGAAACAUCGCCUUUGUUAAAUUAUAGAAAUUUUUUUUUUUUUUUCAUGUUUACAACAAAAACUACAUUUUUAUUUUAGAAAUGUCGCUUUUUUAACAAAGGCCGCAUUUUUAUCUUAAAAACGUUGCUUUUGUUAAAUUCUAGAAAAUAUUUUUUUCAUACUUUUAAUAAAGAUCGUAUUUUUUAUUUUAAAAAUGUAAUCUAUAAUGAAUUAUGAAAUAUAAUAUUUUUCAUUUUUUCAACAAAAAUUGUGUUUUUAAUCAUAACUUUGUGAGGAUUUCAAUAGCACUGUAUUACAAUUGUGAUCUUUGUUUAAAAUAUUUUAAGAAAAACUUAUUUUCAUAAUAUUUUAUAAAAAAAUAUUACAUUUUUUAAGUAAAUAAUGUUAUAUAUAUAUAAUCUAAAAAUACAAUUAAGUGAGGGCAAAUUAGAAAAAAUUUUUAUUCUCCUCUAAUUUCUCACUUUUUGAUACUAUUGAGAAUUUUAAAAAUUUUCAAUAAUUACAUUAUCAUGAACUAAACAAAAAAAUAAAAUUUUUUAAAAAAAUUAUGUUCCUCCGAAUCAAAUGUCCCAUAAAAGGUUUAUAAAUUAUCUUAUCAUUCUAUAUGUUGUUGCUUGACAAGGAUGAUAAACAAGGGAAGUUUAAAAACUAACCCAAUAUUUUAACAAGAUGAUAGCAUCCAACAUGCCUAUUACGAAAACAAUGAAAUGGUACAAGUUACUUCAUGUGUUUUGAGAACUCAAAUUAAGGUUUGAGCGGUGCUUGAACUCGAAAAUGAUGACAAUAACAUAAAAGCAAAUUUAUCUAAAACCUACUAUAUAAAAAAAAUUUAUUACUAUUUUAAAGAUUGUUUGGAGUGUUUAUAUUAUCAAUUACGAAGGAAAAGGAACAACAGGUUAUAUAGAAACUUGCAAUAAUCUUCAUGCAAGUCUUAAAUCAUUUUAAAGAAGUUGUCAACUUAAAAUUAAUAGAUUUAUUGAAGUACACCAAGCAUUAAGCAAUCCCAACACAAAACACAGAUUAUACGAGCAUAUUAAAUAAUGAGAUUUUAGAUGUGGCUCUCACCGUAUAGUACUUAGCUUUCAUAGGAUUCUAAAAGUGGCUCCCAUAAUGUAGCACUAGUUUUCGUUUGACUGGUAAUUUUUUAAAUAAUAUUUGUGGAGAUUCAUACCCAACAUGUAAGGUAUUGUUUGUUUUGACUUGAAGGCUUAAACGGUUUUAUCCCACAAAAGGUACAUAUAAAAUUUGAUUUAAAUUUUUACAUAUAUAUGUCAUAGCAAAAUCUCGAAUUAUCCCAAUGUAGGAUUAAGGUGUCACACCAUGUUAAUAGAAAUCUUUGUGUAACUUGUGGCAUACAUGACUAUAUUUUUUAUUGAGAUUAUAUUUGAUAUACUGUUAGAAUAUAGAUUUUAUACACUCUUAAUAAAUCAAAUGAUGCAUUCUUAUUCAUUAUGUGAAUUAAAUGAUACUACCUUAUUAAUGAGUAAAUUUUUUAAAAAAUUAAUUUUUUGUACAUUUGUUUCAAAUAUUAAUAUUUACUCAUUAAUAAAGUUGUCUCAUCAGAUUUAUUGACAUUAUAUAAAAUUUAUAUAUUGAUAAUAUAUCAAAUAUAAAUUUUUUUUACAUAUGAUUUUUUGUAUGUUAACCACAUUGGCUAGCAUAAUCUUGAUAUGUAGCAUUAUUUUUGCUUUUUUUGGAUAAAUUAAAAUUUUCAUUUGUAAAAAAUCUAUCCAAAAAAGGGCUUUUCCUAAAUUAUAUAUAUCAAAUAACCAAAUGUCUCGGGGGUUUAGGAAUUUUUGUAUAGGUUAACUCUUCCAUUAAUAAAAUUAAUUGUACCUUGGCUUUGAAAAAGAACACAUGAAACGAAGGAAUAUCACUUAUGAUAAUUGUAGUAUAAUUAAUUAAUUAUAAUUUAAAAUUAUGUGGAGACUAUUAAAAUUUUAUAUGAAAUUCACAUUUAAAAUUAUGAUUGAAUAAUUAUAAUAUUAUAAUAAAAAAAUUAUAGAUGAAAUACUCCCACAUGAAACUUGUCUGAUUUAGCUCAAAUUUUCGUUUAGAUUUUAAGGCCAAGCCUGAUUGGUUAUGGGCCUAACUUUGAUUAAAGUUUCUAUUAAUAAAUGCUCAUCUUAGUCUCUCGUAAUUACAUGUAUAAAUAAGUUAUUUUUGAAUUAUUUGGAUUCAUCUAAAAAAUAAUUUAAAUUCAAUUAUAUUAUUAUCGAAUCGAAUUUAAAUUUAAAUUAUUUAAAUAAUAAGUUAAGUAAAAUUUAAAUAAUUUAAUAUUCGAUUCGAGAAAUUUAUUAGUGUAAUCAAAUUUAAUUAUAUUUUUAUUUUUUAAUAUAUUUAAUAUAUAAAUAAAUAAUAAAUAUUUAAUAUUUAAUAUCACUAUUUAUGAUUUUAUCGAACCAAACUCGAAUGAUUUAAUUAAAUUACAAAUGAAACUUGAAUAUUAAAAACAAAACAGAAUUGAUUUUGUGUUAAAUUUCGAGCCAAACUGAAAGUAUAAGAGUAUAUCAACUCGAUUCUUAAAAGCAAUGCCAGAGAUAAGCCUGGCAAUUUACAUUUCUUAUCACCUACUUAUGUUCAUGGAGCCUUUGUGCCUUACUAUGGGCUUUAGCCCAAAGCCUAUCCUACUCAUUGAUCUCAUUCAAAGUGCUGUUCCGCCCCUGAAAUCUCAGAACUCAAGAAAACUAAAGAAUUUCUCAAAACCGUAAUCGCAUCCUUUCAUCUCAAUUGCUUAAGCCUUCUAAGAUAUUUGAUCUUUGAUUUUCUUCAUUUUUUGGUUGUGAUGAUGGUCACUUCUGCUUGCAAUUUACCUUCUUGUUCUUACUCAAUAUGCCCAUUUACCGACAAGCAAACUCACCCACGAUCAUUGGGAAACAGAAACCCAUUGUUAUUCAGAUUACAAGCAGCAAAAUUCAGUUGUUGCAAAGCCAAUAAUCAGCCUGAAAUGGCCUUCAUCACAGAAACGAACGAAGAAAGAAGAAGUUUUAAGUGGGUUGAGAUUGGUCCCAACAUCACAGAAGAACAGAAACAAGCGAUAACCAAACUUCCAUUCAAGAUGACCAAGCGAUGUAAGGCUUUGAUGAAGCAGAUUAUUUGUUUUUGUCCUGAAAAAGGGUGUUUGUCGGAUUUGUUGGGUGUUUGGGUUAAGGUCAUGAAGCCCAGAAGAGCUGACUGGCUUGUGGUUCUUAAAGAAUUGAAGAUGAUGGAACAUCCGUUUUAUUUUCAGGUACAGUUUACAUUUCACUUUUCAAAUGAUUUCUAUUUGUAUUUUGAGGAUGUGAAUUAGUUGUAGUAAUAGGAAUAGAAUGUUAGGAAACUGUACUUUCCAUGGAAAUUGUCAGUCCCAACUCUAUUCAUAACAUAAUUAUGAAAUGGAAUUGUUUGUAGUGAGCUGUCUUGACAAGGUAAGAAUCUAAAAUCAAGGUCAGCUAAUAGCAAAGGUCAGAGGUUUUUCCCGCGUUCUUGUUCCACGUUUAAGUCAGUACUCGGAAAGAAAGGGGAGAGAAAACUUGGUAAUUGAAAACUAGUAAAUUAAAUCAAUAGUACCUGAGAGAGAGUGGCUAUUUAUACGGUGAGAAUGUCGAGCUUGGGUGGCCGGAGCUCCCAAUGAUAGGGUUAGGACUAGGGCUAGGGCUAGAGCUAGGCUGACGUUGCUUGUCCGACCUAAUUUAGCAAUCAAUAACCAAUUGAGAGGUGAUAAGUCAGCAUUGCCUUGUGUUUUGACAUGGUAAGUUGAGGUGGCCAAGCUGACAUGGGACCUGAGGCUUCAGGUUGGUGUGACAUGUCAGCUUGAGUCAAAAUAACGAUAUGUCCCCAUCUAGUUGAUGACUCUUACUCUGAGAAAAAAUGGCUAUUUUGCCCUCCAGACCAUAAAGGUCUCUAACAAGAAUGAUUGUUCUUUAUUUUUCAAAAGGAAGCUACAGCAAUGAAAGGGUUACAAAUGCUAUGAUUUGAAUUCCAAACAUGUAAAAAUAAUUGCAUGAACCAAUUGAGUUGAACUCUCAUUCAUUGUUCCUUCGGUCUUUCUAGCUAGUUGCUCUGCUCAAUUCGGAAUUGGUAAGAAUGAAGAAGAGGGCAUUAGGCGAGCAUAUGCUAGUGUAAUGUUAAGAUGCCUGUAUGAUUUGUGGACUAGAAUAAGCUAUUGCAUACAGAACUGGUCUGCGAAUAUUGGUUUUUACAGGUUCAUUAACCUCUCUAUAAUAAUAGUAAUAGAGCUUCUGCCGGUGAACUUACUUAGGGAUUAUAUAUCCCAAUUCAAAUCUCAGUGGCAUAUUUAUGAGGUGAAGUAAAAGUUACUUGUUUUCCAUUACUAGCUUGUUACUUUGUUCGGUUCUGAAUUCAAAGAUCCUGACAUGCAAAUGACAAUCAGAAAUAAGGAAAUGAUGUUUGUACAGCUUAUGCUUGAUUCAUGUCUCAUUGUUCUUUGUCUAGGUGGCAGAGCUUGCCCUACUUGAAGAAUCUUUUGAAGCCAAUAUUCGCGAUUACACUAAGAUAAUCCAUGGUUACGGGAAGCAAAACCGGCUGCAAGAAGCUGAAAACAUUCUUGUUGCCAUGAAGAGAAGAGGUUUCAUCUGUGAUCAGGUAACUCUAACAACCAUGGUUCACAUGUACAGCAAGGCUGGAAAUCUUAUGUUGGCUGAGGAAACCUUUGAAGAGAUUAAGCUGCUCGGCCAACAACUGGAUAAAAGAUCAUAUGGCUCGAUGAUUAUGGCCUACAUCAGAGCUGGAAUGCCUGAACAAGGGGAGGUUUUGCUUAGAGAAAUGGAUUCCCUGGAGAUUUAUGCUGGAAGUGAGGUUUACAAGGCACUACUGAGAGAAUACUCCAUGCUUGGUGAUGCCAAAGGUGCACAAAGAGUGUUUGAUGCCAUUCAGCUUGCCGGUAUUUCUCCUGAUGCCAGGCUUUGUGGGCUCCUGAUAAAUGCCUAUCAAGUGGCAGGUCACAGCGAAAAAGCACGUAUAGCAUUCGAAAACAUGAGGAGAGCUGGUGUUGAGCCUACUGAUAAAUGUGUAGCUCUGCUGUUGACUGCUUAUGAAAAGCAGAACAAGCUCAAUGAGGCCUUGGAUUUUCUAAUGGCUUUGGAGAGAGAUGGAAUUGUGAUAGGGAAAGAAGCUUCAGGUGUCCUUGCUCAAUGGUUUAAAAAGCUUGGGGUAGUUGAACAGGUGGAACUUGUGUUGAGAGAAUUUGCAGCCAAAGAAACCAAUAGCAGUUGGUGUUAAAACAUUGAUCUUUAGUUUCUUUUUCAGACAUCAUCUUGUGGCCAAGUUGUAAAAACUGGUUAGAUUGACUUGGUAAUUUGUCAUGUUCCUGCAGCCUCUGUAUAUCAAUAUAUUUGUUUUGGUAGUACUAGUACACCUAUGUUUUUGUUUUAGAUUCGAUAAUUUAAAAUACGAAAUUUUAACAUGAUGUGAAAAUGAUAAAAAAACGAAAAUGAUAUGACUUAAAAUUUUAAUAAAAAUUAUAUGAGUUUAAUUAAUAAUAAAAAAUAUGUUUUAUAUUUUUCAUAUCGGUAUGAAUUAUGACAUAUAUAUGACAGGGAUAUACAAAUAUUUCUAUGUUAAAAAUUUGAUUUCCCUUGCAGCAAUGUAAAUAAUUCUUAUCAAGAAUUUUCUAGUAAGUAAUAUAUGAUACAUUUGGAUCACAAUGAAAUUGGUUUUUGGUGAAGUUAAAAUAGGUUAUGUUAGUAAGAUUAAUUAUUAGAACGGUUAGAUUAAGUAUUAUAGUGAUAAGAUUCAAAUUAAUGAUAAAAUUAUGUGAAUGCAAACGUAACAAUAAUGGUAAGAUUGAGUAUAACAGUAUAUAUUCAAUAAUAAUAAAAUUGAGUACAACAAUAAUGGUAUAUUAAAAUUAUGAUUUGAAAUUUUUAUUAAAAUUUUAAAUUAUUUUUAUAUUUUAUAUUAUUUUUAUAUCAUGUCAUGAUAUAUUAUUUAAAAUAAUUAAGUGAACUUAUUUCUCCCUGAUUUUGUUUUUACUUUUAAUCAUUUUUAAUGUAUUAAAAAUUUCAUCAAUUCUAUCAAGCACUCGUCAAAAUAAAAGACUAUAAAUGAUAAAGGUUCAAAUUAGAUGAAAUUUGAUUCGAAUUUUUUAAUUUUAUUUAUUUAUUUUUAUAUGUUAUUUUAAUAUAUUUAAAUAAAUUUAUAUAAAAUACAUAAUUUUAUUUUAUAAAAAUUAAAAUAUAUGUAAAAAUUAAUAAUAAUAUAUAAUUUGAUUUAAUUCAAAUUUUCAUAUUUUGAUAUAAAAUUUGAUAUGAAUUUAAUAUAUAUAUAUAUAUAUUUAAUAUUCAAUUAAUUCAAAUCGAAUAAAAAAUAAAUUAAAUUAAACAUUAAAAUUUCGAAUAACUUUUUAUUUUCACGAUUUUUUUUCUAACUCCUAACAAAGGCCUCCUUGAAAUAAGUGCUCAAGACCAAAUCUAAAAUUUCCAAACUAUUGUCAAGCCAAGUUGGGGACAGCUUGUAUCUGAAAUAAUCUUUGAUAAACGGCCUGCCUAAAAAUAAUAGGAUUUAAAAUUAUAAUAAUAAUUAUAUAUAAAUUUAAUAAAAUAAAAAAUAUAUAUUUUAUAUAUUUAUAUUAACAAAAAUUAUUAUACAUAAUUUUUAUAUAAAAUAUAAUAUAAAUUCAUUAAUUUUAAUAUUUUAUGAAUAUAUAAAUUAAGAUAAAGGUUACUAAUCGUAACACCAACCACUCAUAUUCUUGCAGACACUUCAAAAAUUUUUUCUUAGCAAUUCAUAGACUGCUGUCAUUGGUAUAGUCUCUAGCGGUUGAAGGAUAUACCAUAAAUGGCAAAAGAACCCUUGAUGGUUUCUGAAUUAUCAAGAAAAAAAAAAUCAGAAAUGCUAUUAACCAAAAACAAAAAAAAAAAUAAAAACACAAUGGAAAAAGAAAGAAAUGAAAUAACAAACAAGCGAAAAAAAAAAAAAAAACAAAGUUCCGAUCAUAUUUUUUUAAAAAAUUAUGUUUAAUUUUUAUUAAAAUUUUACAUGAUAUUAUUUUUUAAUUUUAUUUUUGUAUAAUAUUAUUAUAUCAUAUUUAAAUUAUCCGAUUGAAUAUAAAAUAAUGUAAUUGAAAUGAAGAAAAUAAGCGUAAAAAGUUCAUAUUUUAUUUGUAAAAAAAAGACAAAAAGCAUGUCAUUUAAUAAUUAUUUAAAAUAUAAUAUAAUGAUAUGAUAUAAAAAAUAUAAAAAUAAUAUAAUUUAAAAUUUUUAUAAUAAUUAAAUAUAAAUUUAAUAAAAUAAAAAAUUAAUAUAAAUUAUAACAUAAUUUUAAAAUAAAAUAAAAUAUAAAUAUAUAAAUUUUAAUAUUUUAUAUAAUAUAAAUACACUAAUCAUCGGAUUAUUUCACUGCCAACUUUGCUGCUUUAAAUGGAAGACACGAAUACAUAUAUUUUAGAAAAGCUUUUUACUUUUUCACUUUAGCUUUUCUCCCUUAUUUCUCAAUUUUUACUAAAUUACUAUUUUAACUCCAUUUUAAUUCAAUUUCCAUGUUCAAUUUCCCCUCUCACGGUCGUGAAAUUCCUUCUUAACCAAAAUUUAUAUAUUGAGGUUAUCAAUUUACAUAAUAAUUAAUAAUAUUUUUAACCCUUAUUAAAAAAUAUUUUAUUUUUAAUUUCUUUUUGAUUUUUCAUAUUUUGUAAUUUUUCACCUUUCUAAAGUAAAAAAUCUCUGUUCAGACAAGGAAAAUGAAACGAAGGCCAAUGGUUUUCUGAAACUGAAACCCAGUGUUUGUGUUUUUUAUACUUUAGAUUUUUUUUUUUUUUUUUAAAUCUGAUUGGUUGACAAGAAUAAGCUUUUGAAAGUACCUUGCUUGAAAAAUGUGAACAAGUCUGAGAGGAACAGUGCCGUACUUAUACGGUACAGGUAUGAUCUCUACAUUUUUUUUGUAUAAAAAUCCAUGCGUUAAUGAUUUUCUAUUUUUUUUUCUUUGAAAUGAAAAUUAAAGUUUUCAUUUUUGGUUGAGUUACAGUUUGAUUUGAGGAUCUAAACAAAAAGCUGAAGUUUGAGUACAAGUAGUUUCACUUGUAUCUCUUCUUUCAUCUUAAAAUUUUUUUUUGAGGAUUUUUUGUUUAGAAGUUUUAGCUUUUUUUUUUUUUUUUAAUUUUUGAAUAUUUUUAAAUCUAUUACAAUUGUCACUGGGGAUUAUUUUUCUAAAUUUUUAAUGAAUUUCAAAUUUGGACUAAUCUCUGCUUGAGCUGCAAGUGAAAGAGAGCACUGGUUUUAGUAGUUUUUUCUUGUUGGGUUUACUCUGAGGAUAUUGUUUUUAUUGUUUGUUUUAUGAUUUUUGAUUGAUGGAUUUCUGUUUUCUAGGUGGCUUUGUUUGCCUUAUAUGCAUGGAAGCAAAUCCAGGUGUUACAGUGAUAGGAGCAGAAGCUCCAUCAGCUUAUCAGAUGGCGCCAAGGACAGAUAACGCUAGACAGAUUGGUGGCGGCUCAAUGGCGGUGGAGGCUUCUCCAGUUAAGUGUAGGAUUAACUGGUAGUAUGAAAAAGAAGAAGAGAGGUAAGCCUAGGAAAUAUGGACCAGAUGAGACAAUGGCAAUGGCAUUGUCGCCAAUGCCUAUUGCCUCAUCUGUCGCGCCUGGAGGAGGCGAGUUCUCUGGUGGAGGAAAGCGGGGAAGAGGGCAAGGCAGUGGUUAUCAGAAGGGAAUGGAAAUGGAGAAUUUAGGUAAUAUCUAAUAAGCCCUUUUGAAGAAAGUUGUAUGUUUGUUUGUUUUUUACUUCAAAUUUUAGCAUGUUUUUGUCUUAGUUCAAGUUCGCUACGAAGAAUCGAUGAGGAUGGUGUGAAUUUCAUGUUAUAGAUUUGGUAGGGGAUAGUAAUGUUUCUGGUUUCUGUUGGAGUAUGGUUCAAGCUAAGUGCAAUUGCCAAUUAGACAUGCACCAGGGUUUUGAAACCGGUCGCCUGAUUGAUUCGGAAAUUGCUGAUUGCCCCUUUGAAAGAUUCCAUAUGUGAAGUCAUUCCUUAAUAAUACUUGUUGAACUUUUUUGUGUGACCUUAUUGGAGAUGCUGUUGUUCAGAUUCGGUAGUGGAUAGUAACGUUUCUGGUUUCUGUUUUGUUUCUUGCUUCUAUUUCUUGGAGUAUGGUUCAAACUAAGUGCAAUUAGUCCUGCACCAGGGUUUCGAAACCGGUCACUCUGAUUGAUUCAGAAAUCGUGAGUGCCUCUUUGAAAGAUUCCAUAUAUGAAGUCACUCCUUAAUAGUACUUGUUGAACCUUUUUUCCAGGACCCUUGUCGGAGAUGCUGUUCUUCAGAUUUGGAAGUAUAAUGCCGGUUUUGUGAAUGAAAAAGUGGCGUUUUUGUGUGGUUGGUGUGACUAGUGACUUGAGAGGUUGAGGAAUAUUCUUCUUGUGGCCUUUUCAUCGAGGAUUAUUCAAGAUGCUUGCAAUGAUACAUAGAAACAGAAUUAAACUUGUUAGAGGAGCAAAUUGCUUGAUCGGUAAUUCCUUUUUGUUACCAAGGAUUAAGCAGACAGAAAAUAUGUUUCUGUUCUUGACCUUAUGGAAUCUGGUUUCCUGAAGUAUUAAACGGCUACGUUGCUCGUUCCAAGUUGAAAUCCUUCGUUGAAUUCAUGCCAAAUCUCAGCCAUGUGUAGACCUAUGUUUCUGGUUUUACAAACAUGGCUAAAGUGCAUAUUAGUACAUAAUUUUUUUACUUAAAGAGCAAAAUUCCAUAUUUACCGAUGUUCCUUAACUGUUUUGUAGGUGAGUGGGCUACGUCUGUAGGAACAAAUUUUACGCCAUAUGUCAUCACUGUCAAUGCCGGUGAGGUACGCUUUGAUAUGGGAAAGACAUAGAAGAGUGGCUUUGCUACUUUUGACGGAAACAUUCUUGUGAUUCAUUUCUAUCAUUGUCAAAACUCGAAGACUUAUGCAGACAUCCUGGGUCCAUUCUUUUUGUGGCUGUUAGUGUCUUUCAAAUUGUGUUGGAUCUUUUCCUUGUUCAUAUUUUUAAACCUUAGUCCUUGACACAUGGCCACUGUCAAACCAUGAAACUUUGUAUUGUUUUUGGGGAGAAUUUGCCGGUCUCUACGGUGUUUGUUAUCGUAGUUUCGCUUCUUAAACUAUGAGAUUCAUGUUAAAGAUAAGUUUAGGGUGGCACUUUUACCUAUUCUUUUCUUUACUCCAUAUUCAAGAGGGUUUCUUUAUCGGUAAAUCUACAUUUUUCCUUACGUAAUUGUUGAUUUUCUUUGGUGUUUAAGGAUCUAACGAUGAAGGUGAUAUCCUUUUCUCAACAAGGACCAAGAGCUAUGUGCAUCUUAUUUGCUAAUGGAGUAAUUUCAAAUGUUACACUUCGUCAGCUCGAUUCUUCAGGGGGUACAUUGACGUACAAGGUUAGACAAAUUAGAACUUACCAUCACAUUUCGAAAUAUUUGCAGUUUUCAAUAAUAUUUAUAGUUUUGUAUUGUAAGUUCGUUUUUCGCUGCUGUAUGCAAAGAUUGUUAUUCUUACAAAAACUGUAGUAUAUCUGUAAUGUGUUUGAUUCUAGGAUGUGAAUCAAGGUUUGUUGCAUGAUGUUUGAAGGGAUAGGAAGGGGCAUAACUUGCAAUUAUGAUGAGAGAUAUGUUACCAUGCAUCGACUAAAGUUUGUAGGAUUAGUCUUAGUAACCAAUGGCUCGUAUACACGAGAGGAAGAAACAUAGAAAAAGAUGACUUAUUUGUUCAUACAUUAACAUCUUUGCUUUUUUGAUUUUCUAAUCCGUGAUACCCUCGUUUUUCCUAUUUUCAUGUAGGGUCGCUUAGAGAUACUUUCCUUGUCCAGAUCCUUUAUGCCUACAGAAAGGCAAGGAACAAGAAGUCGAUUUGAUGGGAUGAGUGUCUCUUUGGCAAGCCCUGAUGGCUGUGUUUUAGGGGGAAGAGUUGUUGGGCUUUUGGUAGCUGCUAGUCAUGUACAGGUAAGCAUUUUAGUGUUAAAUUUUCUUGUGGUGGCCUCUCUCGCCGCCGGUGAUUCUACCAGUAGUUUGAGCAAUAUGUUGAGCAUCUGUUCAAACAUAGUGAUCCUUGUCUAAAAGAACAAGAAUUUGCAUCAGCCAACAAACAUGCAUGAGACAUGUGUCAAAUUUGUAGAAAACUAUAAUCGAUCUUUAGCCAUUCUAACAUUUCUUGACAGUAUGUGGUUUCCUGAACAAUUUAAAAAGAUUAGAGCAUUGUCAUGAAUCAAUCUUGGUCUAGAGCUGAUACUGGAGUGUCAACACAUCCCACAACUUAGGCUGAGACUAAGGAGGAUUUAUUUAAAAAUAAGAUGGGCCUAUUCUUGGUCCAAAUUCACAGAUAAAUGCAUAAAUAAGGUGGUUUAAAAUAAAGAGAUUGUAUUCACACUAGUUGAAAAAGAAGAACAUGAAUAUGGAUGUGAUUAUGGUCAGAUUCAUUAUCAUAUAAUCUGCAGGAAUAAAUGGGCGGAUAAUGUUCACAUGCAAAUCUCAUGAUUUUAGGUAUAAUUCUAUCAAUGCAAUCUGAAAGUUCCCAUGCUUUGAAGGAUGUUUCUAGCCUAUAUAUUUUUUAUUAUUCUUUGGUAGAAAAUAGAAUAAAAUUUUCUUUAUCCUUAAGCAAUAUUUUAGAUUGUUCUUCAAGUUUUGUAUUUUUAGGUGGAUUUUCUAGAGUAAUGAAUUCUAUUGUUUUGUAUCCUUAAUUAGAAUUCUUAGGGUGAUGUUUCUGUAUCCCUUAGGUUUUAAUCUUGAUAGUGAACUUUUAUCCUUUUUAAUCCAAUAAUCAUAUUUUGUUAUUAUCCAAAUUCUUAUGAGUUAUUUUUUUGUGAGUUUUUCUGUUUACAGUUAAUCUUUACAUUUCAAACAUCAAUUUCUGACAUCAAAUUGGUAUCAGAGCUAUGGUAGGUUGAUGUCGUCAAGCAUCAGCAGAAAAGGUUAAAGCCAAUACCGACCUUGCAGCAACUACCAAUGUUGACCCAAAGAAUGCCUUCAUAGAGGAGAUGUGGCAACAAAUAUUUUAACUAUAACAUCAGUUGCAUAUCCAAGAAGAGAGAAAGAGGAGAUAAGGAGGUAACGAAAGAGAAACGAAGAAGAUGAAAAAGAAAUCAAUCCAUAUCAUAGAAACAACAGUGAUUUUAAUGAUAGCACCCUAUCGCACCCACAGUAAGUUAAAAGAUUAUCUACAUAGAAACCAACUUCAACUUAGUAUAUUCAAUCCGAAGAUAGAGAUUCUUAAGUUUGAGGGGAAGAUGCAACCUGAAGAAUUUUUAAAUUGGCUACACACGGUAGAACGUAUAUUUGAAUAUCGUGAUACCCUUAAACAUCAGAAGGUCAAGCUAGUGGCCAUCAAACUCAGAAAGUAUGUAUUUUUUAUGAAAAAAUAUAAAGAAGUAAAAAGAAAGAGAAGAUCGGAGAAAAAUUACAAUUUGAAAAAAGAUGAAAAAAAGUUAAAGAGAAAGUAUUUCUCAAACAAUUUUUGGCAAGAUGUCUUUCUUAGGUUCCAUAACUUAAAGCAAAAAGAUCUCUCAGUGGAGAAGUAUACGACUGAGUUUGAUCACCUCUUGUUAAAAUGCAAAUUGGUGGAAUAGGAAGAGUAGACUAUUGCCUGGUAUCUUAAAGGAUUGAAGAUUGAGAUAGCUAAUGUGGUGCAGCUACAACCCUAUUGGACUUUCAAUGAUGUAUGCAAGCUUGCCCUUAAGGUAGAGAAACAACAAAAAAAGGCCCAUGGUAGCAACUUGAGAUUUGGGUCCUAAAAAGGCUAUAUCAAUAAAGGUGGCUCAUCUAAAACUAUUGUUCUUUUUAAACCCAUUCCAAAGUAGACCCAAAAGAAAUAUGAAACCUCAACAAGCAAGCUUCAGUCUAGUGCAUAAACCAGAAGGUGUUUUAAAUGUCAAGGGCUUGGACACAUUACCUCAGAAUACCUAAACAAGAAGAUUGUGACUUUAGUAGGGAAAGAUUUGAAGGAAAAUGAAAAGGAGCUAGCUAAAGAGGAUCAAAACCUUUAAGAUGAGGAAGAGGUAACCUAUGAUGAUUAUACAACAUCAUUAGUCAUAUAAUGCAGUGUGAGUACUACAUCUACUAAGGAAGAAGAUUGGUUGCAUAAAAAUAUGUUUCACACUCGGUGUACUGCCCAUGGGAAGGUAUGUGGUGUUAUAACUGAUAGUGAAAAUUUUGAAAACAUUGUUUCUACCUUUGUGGUGCAGAAAUUAGGCCUCGAAGCAGUAGAUCACCCCCAACCAUUUAAGCUAUCUUGGCUAUAGAUAAAGAAUGAAAUCAAGGUUAGUUAGAGGUGUUUGGUUCUUUUUUUCAUAAGAAAGCAAUACAAAAAUGAAGUGUAGUAACUCUAAUGAAUGUUUGUCAUUUACUGCUCGAAAGGCCUUGACAUUAUGAUAGGAGGGUUAUUUAUGAUGGUUAUUGCAACACUUACACAUUUUUGAAGAACGGAUGCAAAAUCAUCCUAGGUUCUACCAAACCUAUAGUGAUGUCAAAACCAUCCAAAAGGGAAAGAGGCAGCUUGUUUACCAAGAUCAAUUACAGAAAAAAAAUUAAGAUGAGCGAUACUUUGCAUACACUGGUGUUGAUUGAGAAUAAUAAAGAUAAUGAGGAGCCCCUUGUAGUGAUACAACUAUUAUUGGUAGAAUUUUAAGAUAUUGUUCAAGAAAAGUUACCAGUUGGUCUACCAUUAAUGAAGGACAUUCAACACUGUAUAGACUUUAUCCCAUGAGCUGUUUUACCCAACAAGACAAAAAUUUUCUUGAGCAGUUAUAGAAAAGAAACUAAAACAAUGGAAACUUGUUAAGUUUACCUACAAUCAUUCACCAAGUCAAACCAUUGGUUGUAACCCUUUUGAAAUUGUUCUUGGUAAGAAUGCAAUAUGUCAUUUGGAUUUAAUUCAACUUUAUGCUAACUAGCAUUUUGAUGGAGAUGUAAAAGAAAGAGCCAAGAGUAUCAAAAUAUUUCAUGAAUAGGUUUAAAAUAAAAUUUUACAAAAAAAUGAAAAAUACAAAAGGACAAUAAUCAUGCAUCAAAGACAUGUGAAAUUCAAAAAACAUGAUUUGGUAUAGGAAUACUUGCAUAAAGAAAAGUUUCCAAAAGGGAAGUUUGACGGUACAACCUAAGAUAAAUGGUCCAUUUAGAAUUCUCUAACGCAUUGAGGAGAAUGCUUAUAAAAUAGUAUUUUUUGACACUUAUGGAGUAAUUUUCACAUUCAAUGUUGCUGAUUUGUUAUCCUACCAUGAGGAGAAGACUAAUUCAGACUUGAAGAUAAGUUUUUUUCAACUAGAGGAGAUUGACACGGAAUGUCAACAUAUUUUACAACUUGGGCUGAGACUAAAGAGGAUUUAUCCAAAAAUAAAAUGGACCUAUCCUUGGUCCAAAUUUAUUAAAUUAAUGCAUAAAUAAGGUAGGUUGAAAUAAGAAGAUUAUAUUCACACUAGUUGAAAAAAAAAGAGUAUAAAUAUGGAUGAAACUGUGGUAUGAUUUAUUAUCAUAUAAUCUGCAGUAGUAAUUGUGCAGAUAAUGUUCACAUGCAAAUUUCAUGAUUUUAGACACUAUUCUAACAAUGCAAUCUCAAAAUUUUCAUGCUUAGAAGGAUGUUCCUAGCCUAUAUAUUUUCUAUUAUUCUUUGGUAGAAGGCAGAAUAAAUUUUUUUUUAUCCUUAAGCAAUCUUUUAAAUUAUCCUUCAAGUUUUAUAUCUCUUAGGUGAAUUUUCUAGAGUGAUAAACUUUUAUUGUAUUGUAUCCUUAAUUAGAAUUCUUGGGGUAGUAUUUUUGUAUCUCUUAGUUUUAAGUCUUGGUGGUGAACUUUUAUCCCCUUUAAUCCAAUAAUCAUAUUCAGUCAUUAUUCAAAUUCUUGUGAGUUAUCUUCUUUGUGAGUUUUUCUAUUUGCAGUUAAUCUUUAUAUCUCAAACAUCAAUUUUCGACAUCAAGAGCACAUCGGCUAAUUUUUUUGUUCAAUUAUCAGGUUGUCGUAACAAGUUUUUUAUCAAGCAACCAGCAUGACCAAAAAUCUAAAAAGUAAAAAAAAGAGUUUGUACCAACUACCGUUGCACCAAACUUGAAUAUCAUUGUUGCACCCGCUUUAGAUGCAGAAAAAGAAGACGGAAUCGAUGGAUUUCGAACCAAAACUAGAAUGGCUCGAAAUCGAACUUUGCUACCGUUACAUUUCGAAGAGACAUUUGGACCACCAUGCAAAAGCCAAGAAAUUCAGCAACUGAUAUUAACAUUUCUUUGCUUGCAGGUUAGUUUGAUAAAUCAUAACCAUUCAUUUUAGAGGCUAACUAGAUCAAUACCUUUUUUUUUUCUACAAAGAAUGGAGUUUAUUUGUUCUUGAAUAUUAAUGUAGGAUUAGCAUUCCUGAUAUCCAGCUUGGUUUUGAUGUCUUAGGCAAAGACAACUUUUCCUAGAUUUGAAAAUCUCCCAAUUAUGGAGUAGUGAGCUUUAUUAAUAUGGUUUUGUCCAUAUCCUUCAAUGAUUAACUUGGUUAAAAUCUAAUGAAAUCUAGUUUGUUACUGUAAAGAUUUAAGAGUUAGUAUUUGAUAUGCCAUCGGAAUAGAUUCGCUAUGCCUCUUUUUUUGUAAAUGUUAAUCUUAUCCAAAUUUGAUGUAAAUUUGAUUUUUUAUACGAAUGAAGAUGCGAAUGGAUAUUAAAUUUUGAGCAUGAUGACUUAGAUCGAUAUGAUUUUAAAUUUUGUUGGGUAUGGGUAUGAAGAGGGGUGAUAUAGUAAUUAUCCUUAAUAUUCUUUUAUCUGUAUCCAUAUGUGUAUUUUAUAUAUAAUUAUAUAUAUUUAGUAAAUAGGUUUUUUAUUUAAUAAUAUAAAUUUUAUUUUCGAUUAAUUAGAAUUGAUAUAUUUUUAUUUAAAAAAUAAGUAUAAAAUAUUACAUAAAUAUGUAAGAUAAAAAUAAAAAAAACUAAAAAAAAUAAUUUUUAUAUUUUUAAAAAAUGUUAUAAUAAAGAGAUUAAUCGUACUUAUUAAAUAUCGUUAAGAUGAAGAUGGAGAUUGAUUUAAAAUACUCAUUAAAUAUGAGUACAUGAAUAAAUAUAUAUAAAAAUUAAAAAAGUUAAAAAUAAAAUUUGUUUUUUAUUUUUUAAAAGAUGUUACGGUGCGGGGAUUAAUUAGUAGAGAUGAAAAUAGAGAUGAAUUUAAAAUAUUCAUUGAAUAUGAGUAUGGAAAUAAAUAUAUAUAAAAAACAAAAAAUGAAAAUAAAAAGUGCUUUAAAAUGGUUCCUUAUUCAUUGAUAUCUUACAAUUCUUCUUCUCUCAAAUCUAAAUCUCUAUUUUCGGGUUUGUUUUAUUUUAAAUUCUACCAUUAAUUCAAUGGUUAAUCGGAAUCAAUUUCUAUUUUAGGCUGUUGCCGUUGGUUGAGAAUUGAGAACUUUUCUAAUUUUAAUUGCUUAAUUAUAUUGUGUUUAGGUCAAAAUGAGCUUAAAAUUUGGCUCGACUCGAUUUGAUAUGAUAUAAAAGCUUGCCAACCCUUCUUAUGUUUACACAAUACAAACUGCCAUGGAUUCUGAGCAUCCAGCAGCCUCAUUAAAAUUUAUCUUAAGAAGCGUUUGUUUUACAACGUUUGGCAGAUUAAUAUAAAUGAAACUUCACCAUAACAAGUUUGGAAACACAAAAAAGAACAGCAGAAAAUACAUAGAUUUUAUGGUUUUCAAGCUUAUAAUUAGAUGUACAUUAUCAAAAACUUCGUGAGCCUCAUCUGAACCCUGAAAGAUUCAUAGGAACUGAUUCAACAAUAUUUUCCGGCCCUCCCUGCAUUUUCCAGCAUGAAUUGAACCAAUUAGUUGAAACUGUUCUAGAGUUUUUUUUUCCUUUUUAUACUUCUUUUUGGUACGUAAGAGGCCGUAUCCUAACAAAGGCAAUGAUUAUAAAUACUGAAAUUUAAAUUUUAAAUUUAUUAAAUGUUAUCUCUUUAAAAUAAUUAUAUAAAACAACUGAAUUAAAUUUCAAAAUUUUUUUAAUAUUUUAGAUUAUUAAGAUUUAAACCUUGAUCACCGACAGUCUACCAAUAGUCUAUGCACUACAAACUAGAUCUAGCAAUUUAAAAUAUGAUACGGUGAUACGACAUAAAUACGAUAUGAAUAUAAGACACGAAGAUGACAUAUUUAAAAUUUUAGUAAUAAUUAUAUCUAGGUUUAACAAAAUAAAAAAUAUAUUUUUUAUUUUUUCAUAUUAACAUGAAUUAUGACAAAUAAAUUUUGUAUAAAAUGUGAUAUUAAUAUAUAAAUUUUAAUAUUUUAUACUAUACGAAUAUACGAAUCACCAGAUCUACUGUAGACAAAGAUUUUCAUUAUUAUGCCAAAAUAAUAUAUUAUGGAGGUGGUAGAUAAGACUUACUAAAGAUAGUUUCUUUCCUUGCAGCACUUGAUGGCUUCAUCAAGCAUUUCCUCAACCCCAUAUUUAAAUCUGAAACCUGCAUCCAAUAGUUUCUUUGAUGACAAACCAGGGACUUUUGUACCUUUGAUUUCAGCCAAAAAACUGCCAAGAAAAGAAGUUGGAGAAAAAUCUGCUAUUAGUCCAAGAUUGUUCUAAUGGAAGUUUGAAUUAUUGAGAAAAAUGCAGAGGAAAAUCACUUCACUCACUCUGCUGCUGGAAUUGGGAACUCUGGAUACUUGGCAGAAAGAAUUUCAGCCAUCUUUAGAAGGCUUAUAGUGUCUGAAGAACAAUUGUAUCUCCCUUUUGCUUCAGGAUACUCAAGCAGGAAAAUAUGUGCCCUUGCAACAUCAUCAACAUGUACCAUUGAUGUAUUUAGAAGAAGGCUAUAUUCAUGCUUGUUCCCUGCGCACAUUCAAACAGAAACACUUGCUGAAUCCGAGAUUUAAUUUAAUUGGUUUAUAAAGUCAUGAUAUUUAAUAGGUUAGGAGUUUGAACAAUGAUGGAUUUAGGAUUUUUUUUCCAAAAGUGUCCAGUUAUAAUAUAUAUAUAUAACUGUUGACGGAUUUAUCAAUUCUAUCAGAUAGGCUGUCAGAACAAAUUUUUUUGUUUUUCUAAUCUUUGGAUGUGUCUAUAGACACCCUGUUCUUGAAUAUAGGUCUGCCCUAAGUUCAAAUUCCAAUACUGCAAUUUUUUUUUUUAUUUCAGAUUACAAUCUCUUUUGUAAAAAAUUCAUUGGAUUUAAGAUGAAACAGAGUAAUAAAACUCGUCCCAUUACUUUAAUAAUAUAUAUUUAUAUAUAUAAUUGUCGACGGAUUUACUAAUUCUAUUGGAAAGGUGUCAAGACAAAUUUUCCUUCAAAUUUUUUUGUUUUUCUAAUCUUUGGAUAUGUUGAUAGAUAGCUAAUUUUUGAAGAUAAAUUUAUCCUGAGAUUAAAUCUUGAUACUUAUAAUAUGAAUUUUUUUAUCUCAUAUUAUGAUAUCUUUUAUAAAAAAAACUUUUUGGAUUUAGAAUGAAACAUAGUAAUAAAACUUAUCACAUUGCAUAACUAAAAACCUAACCAACAGAAGAAAACAAUUUUGCAUGCAUCAAAUUAAGAUGGGAAGAAAGAUAACUGGCUUUUUACCCAAGACCAGAGCCAAUGUUGAGCGCACUGAACCAGGGAACUUGGGGCAGAUGAAAGAACCAACAACAAAUGUAGGAAUCACUGUCACCAAAUCCAAUCCAUGUUCUGCUGCAAAUUCAAGAGCUGCCCUUUCUGUCAAAGUCUUGGAAACCAUGUAAGAAUGUACGUUUGGAUAUAAUGUUUCUCUAACAAAGCCCACAUCUGUCCAAUGAGUCUCAUCCAUCAUCUCCUCAUCAUUCUUGUUGAACACAACAGCUGAUGCACUAGAAGUGUAGACAACUCUCUUCACAGUCUUUGAUUUUAAGCAUGCCUUCAAGAUGCCUAGUGUUCCACUGAUUGCCCUUCUGAUUACAGCUUCUUCAGGUUCUUUGCUCUCGAAAUCGACAGGCGUGGCAACAUGGAGGACUCCUUUGCAUCCUUCAAUGGCUGCAUCGAAGCUGUCAGGGUCAUUGAGAUCUGCAGUGUAAAUUUUCAGCUUUUCGGCUGCCCCUGGCAGAUUGGUGAGGAAACUAACGUCUCUUUUGUUUUCUGGUCAUAUGUCACAGAUUAGAAAAAUCAACAAUAAUGUAGUAUGUUUUACUAAUAUAGACUCAAACCAUUCGCAAAUUAUUUAUGUUCGAUUCAAAAAAAUUCAAACUUAAGCUACUCAAAUAAUGAAUCUAAGCUGAGUUAAAGUAAUUUAAUACCUAACUUGAGAUGUUCACUAGUGUAUAAGCAAGCUUAAACAAACUUUUAUUUUUUUAAUAUAUAUAAAAUAUAAAAAUAUAAAUUUAAUGCUAAUAUUUACAAUUUUAUAAAAUCUAAUCGAGUUCAUCGAACCAAGUUCAAGCAAAUUUAUGAAACUAUUAACCGAAUUUGAACAAGAAAAAUAAAGGUCAAUUGAACUUAAAUCAAGUUUCGAAUUAAGCCUUGGAUUUUCGACUUGAGUCGAAGAAACCUGACAGUAUAUCAAUUCAAUUCGACUCCGUUAGACCUUGAUACGACCAGCACCACCCUUUACUUCUCAAAAACCAGCAAAAGGAAUGAAAAUGAGUACGGGAUUCAGCAGGAAAGCUGAAUUAAUCCCGGAUAAAUCAUGUUUAUUUGUUCCGCAACCUGAACUCAAUAUCUAAAUUGAUCUACCCUCUUACCUGGAUCAGGUCUGACAGUGGUAUUGACGGAGUAACCCUCUUCAAGAAGCCUCUUGAUCAGCCAUGAACCUAUAAACCCUGUGCCUCCUGUCACACACACAGUUCCUUUGUCUCCUUCCAUCUCCCUUGACUUUCUCUUGUAAUUUCGCGCUGCUCUUUCACAAGAUUUUCAACCACAUAAAUCAUGAUUUUUCUCAGUGUUUGGUGGCCAUUCAUUUUCCACGUGGAAUUCUUUGGUUGGUAUUGGUUUGAACUUCGUUUUCCAAUUUAGCGUGCCUCAUGAAUGUGUUUUAUUAGUACUGCUGAAGUUUGGAGAAAUUUUAUGGGAAUAUCUCAAAAAUUUUUUGAGUUAAUAUGUAAAAUAAUUUUGUAUUACCUUUUUUUUUUUCUGUUUGAUACUUAAAUAAAUAAAAUUUUUAUUUUGAUACUUUUUAAUUUCAUUUAGUAUGUUAAUAUUUUACGUUAUUAUCAUCAGUUAAAUGUUUAAUGUAAUAUGAAUAUCUAAUAAAAUUAUGUCAUGUGUUGUAAAUGUUUAAUAAUCAUCACGUUAAUAAUUUUUUUUUUCAUUUUUUAAAUUCUGAAUUAAAUAUAUAUAUUUUAAAUAUUUUUUAAUCUUUUAUUUAAAUGUUGACAUAAAAAAUAAAUGAGUGAUGAUUACAGGACAUUUAUGCAAAGUAUCAUGAUUUUAUUAAAUUUUAAUGUCUAUGUAAAGAAGUUGAUUAACGGUGUUAGACUAGAAUAUUAAAGUACUUAACAAAAUAAAAGUUUGGAUAUCAAAAUAAAAAUUUUAUGUUUUUAGGUAUCAAAUUGAAAAAAUUAUGUAAAACAAAAAUUAUUUUUAUAUUUAACUCAAUUUUUUCUGAACAUUUUUUAUUGAUAAAAUUGAUCAAAUAUUUUUAUAUGUUAUAAGUAAAUACUUAAAAAGAAAAAAAGGAAGAAAAAGUAUUAGUUGGUAGUGUUAGUUGGAAUGAGUAUAUAAAUCACUAACAAUCGUCAAGCCUACGAGCAGAAUUCUUCACAUUAUUGGAGUGAGUAUAUGACAAACUAAAAGCAUGUCAAAAUAAUUAUGGGGCAUAUUCAUGACUUCUUUGAUAGGUAGUGUUAGUUGAAAGAAAGAAAUUGAUCACUAAAAUGAUAAUGAUUCGAAUUAAAUUUGAUUCGAUUUUUUAGAUAAUAUAUAAUAUUAUAAAUUUUUAAAAUUUGAUCUAAAUUCGAAUAAUUUUUUUUUUUUAAAAAAAAUCGAUUCGAUUCAAAUCGAAUUUUAUUAGUUUUGGUUUGAUUAAUUGGUUUUUAAAUUUUAAAGUUUUGUUUUUUUAUAUAUUAUUUUAAUAAAAUUUGUAAUAUAUUUAAAUAAAUUUAUAUAUAAAAUAAUUAUUUUAUUUUAUAAAAAAUUAGAAUAUAUAUAUAUAUAUAACUAAAAAAAAUAUAAAUUUGGUUCGAUUUUUUUUUUUUUCAGUUUUUCACAUUCGACCCAAAAGUUGUUUCGAACUUAAUAUAUAGAAUUCAAUCUUGAGAAUAGUUGAUUCCAACUUAUAGCAUCAGACUGCUCUUGUGUUUUUCUAAAACAAAAGACCUUUAUAUUUCAAACAGUGAUUACCUCUAUGUUAAACAAUCGACUGGCUUGAUUUCUAGCUUAGCAGUUGACGGCCCUACGAAUCGGUUAUUUCUUUGUCUUUCUAAAACCAAAAUGUAUUAAAAUUUUUUUAUCAAAAUUAACAUUUAAUCAAAGGCGUAUGCUUUAUUGCUGUUUAGAAAUUAUCAAUCAACGAUUAUUAAGAAAAAUAUCAAUCCACAAAAGGAAUCAACAAAAGGAGUAAAGCACUACGCCAAUAGUAAGAGUGAAAAACAAAAUGAUAAAUUGAAAUUUUAAUUUAAAAUUAUAAUAUUUAAUUAAAUUCAUAUUAAUUUUUUUUGUUGUCUUCAAACUACGAUCAUAUUAAAUUUUGAAUCAAAAAAUUAAAAGUUCAAAAAUUUAAAUUGAAUUAAAAUAAAAUGUUUUUAUUAAUUUAUAUAUUUUAUAAAAUAAAUUAAUUAUUUCAUAUUUAAAUUUAUUUAAAUAUAUUAAGAAUUAUAUUAAAAUAAUAUAUAAAAACAACAAAAAUCUAAAUUUAAAAUUUAAUAAAAAAGUAAUAAAAUUUAAUUCAAAUUAAAUCGUAAAAAAAUUUGUUUAAAUUUAAAUCAAAAUUUAUAAUUUAUAACUCUAUAUAUUAUUCAACAAAUCAAAUUGAUCGAUUCGGAAUCGAAUCACCCCAAUAUAUUAUAUAAUUAUGUAAUAUAAAUUAAAAUUUAAAUAUAUAUAUAUUAAAUACAUAUUAAAUGAGAUUUAAUUUUUUUAAUAUAUAAGUAAUUUUUAUAUUAUUAAUAUGCUAAAUUUAUUAAGUUGUAAAUAGUGGAUAGUUUAUAGUUAUUUAUAAUUUUAAUGUGUUUUUAUAUAUAUUUGUGUUAAUUGUAUCUAUUCAUGUAUAUUCAUGUUAUUCAUAUUUAUUCGUGUCGUAUUUAAACGAAUUAAUUGUAUACAUAUUAAUCGUGUUGUAUCACGUGUAAUAUGUGUACUAAAUAUGUCAUAUUCGUAUUUAAAAUUUAAAUAUAUUUUAUAAUUUAUGUCGUAUUCGUGUUUUAAUAUUAUUAUACGUAUCAAACACGACACCAAUCACUAUAUGAAAACAUGAAUUAUCAAGUCUAAUUAAACAACCAACCAAUCUGAUGAGGCUAUCAUGUGAUUGAUGGCAAAUGUUUUGGAAUCAUUAUUAUCAUCUCUCAAUUCGAUUCAAUCACUUGUGCAAAUGGUAGCAUAAUGUCAACGAUUUCUUUCCACUUUGAUUGCUAAAUCCAGGUUCUUUUUUUUCUAAGUUGUAUUCUAUUUUCCAUUUUCAACCUAUUGAUUCCUCUUUGAACAAUCAUUUUCAGUAUACGAAAUUUAUGUUUAAGGCAGGAAGUGAUCCUUUUUCAUGAUUCAUCUCCUUAGUCAUGUAUCAUUGAUUUAUUUCUCCAUCUUAGUUUUUUAAUUUCCUAAUCUAUUUUUAAUCUUUUUAUCCUUUGUAUUUACCUUAUAAAAAAAAUUACGUGCAUGAGUUCAUUUAAACUUAUAACGUUCAAGCAUAAAAAAAAUCGCAUACCAAUAGAUUCAAAUAUCGAUUUAUUCUCAAUCUUGAAUCUGUUUUUAAAUUUUUUUUAAAAUUUUACUAAGAACCAGUUGAUCAUAUCAUUAAACCAUAUCCAUAUACAAUAUUAUUGCUAAUAAUGAGAAUGACUAAUUAUUACUUUUCAAACCCAUAAAAAAAUUUUACAUAAUCAAUUUUUUUACUUGUGAUUAUUAAAAAUUGAAUCCUAAUUAUUGAAAUUAAAAACCUAACAUUUUACCAACAAAUUAUAUGAUUAUUAAUUAUGUAAUAUAUUAAUUAUAAUUUAGCAUAAUCUAGAAACUUUAUGAUUUUAAUUAUUUAUGCUAUAAGGUGUAUGAAAGAAGGUUAACAUGCAUUGAUGUGUGAUACUCAUGCUGAGAAAUUGUCUCCAAUAGACAAUAUAAUGAUACCUUUGAGAAGAUGCAUUUUUGCUGUUUUUUGUAUUAUAAGAGAACAUUUGAUUCACAGAUUUUAUAUUUUCAACAUAUAUAUAAUUUUAUAAUUCUAAUUACAAUUUUUAUGUGUAAUAAUAUUAAAUAAAUGUAUUUUAGAUUUUAUAUGUAAUAAUAUUAAAUAAAUAUAUUUUAUGUUUUAUUUUUUAUAUUUUAUAUUUUCAAAAAAGAUUUCAUUUUUUAUCUUAAAAAAGUUGUAUUUUCAACAAAAUUACGUUUUUUUAUUUUAGAAACAUUAAUUUUAUUAAAUUUUAAAAAAUAUAUAUUUCAUGUUUUUAACAAAAAUUGUAUUUUUAUCUUAGAAACAUCGUCUUUUCAACAAAAACUAUAAUCUUAUUUUAGAAACGUCAUUUUUAUUGAAUUAUGAAAACUAUAUUUUUUCAUAUUUUCAACAAUUAUGUUUUUUAUAUUAUAAAUGUUGUUUUAGUUGAAUUUUGGAAAGUGUAUUUUUUUCAUGUUUUCAAUAAAGAUUGCAUUAUUAUUUUUGAAAUAUCGACUAUUCAACAAAGACUAUGUUUUCUAUCUUAGAAACAUCAUCUUUGUUGAAUUCUAGAAAUUAUUUUUUUCAUGUUUACAACAAAAACUACCUUUAAAACCUUUUCAACAAAUGUUGCAUUUUUAUCUUAAAAAUGUCAUUUUUGUUAAAUUCUAAAAAAAAAUUUUUUUCUCAUUUUUUAAUAAAAACCACAUUUUUUAUUUUAAAAAUGCCAUCUUUAAUGAAUUAUGAAGAAUAAUAUUUUUCAUUUGUUCAAUAAAAAUCAUGUUUUUAAUCAUAACUUUUGUGAGGAUUUCAAUAUUAUUGUAUUACAAAUAUCAUCUUUGUUUAAAAUAUAUUAAGAAAAACUUAUUUUCAUAAUAUUUUAUAAAAAAUUAUUACCUUUUUAAACUAAAUAAUGUUAUUUAUAUAAUCUAAAAAUAUAAUUAAGUGAGAGCAAAUUAGAAAAAAAAAUUCACUUUUCCUUCGAACAUCUUAAAAAAACCUCGAAGAAAGUUUUUGAUUCUCCUCUAAUUUCUUACUUUUUGAUAUUGUCGAGAAUCUAAAAAUUUUCAAUAAUUAUAUUCCCAUGAACCAAAAAGAAAUCAAAUUACAAAAAAUAAAAUUUAAAAAUAAAAAUUAUUUUCCUUCGAACCAAAUGUCCUAUAAAAAGGUUUAUAAAUUAUCUUAUCAUUCUUUAUGUUGUUGCUUGACAAGGAUGAUAAACAAGAGAAGUUUAAAAACUAACCCAAUAUUUUAAUAAGAUGAUUGCAUCCAACAUGCCCAUUACUAAAACAAUGGAAAUGGUACAAGUUAUUGCAUUUGUUUUGGGAACUCAAAAUAAGGUUUUAACGGUGCUUGAACGAAAAAAAUGAUCGCAAAAACAUAAAAGCAAAUUCAUCGAAAAACUACUAUAUAAAAAAAAUUUUUAUUACUAUUUUAAAGAUUGUUUGGAGUGUUUAUAUUUAUCAAUUACAAAGGAAGAGGAACAACAGGAUAUAUAGAAACUUGCAAUAAUCUUUCAUUCAAAUCUUAAAUCAUUUUAAAUAAGUUGUCAGCUUAAAGUUAAAAGAUUUAUUGAAUCACAUGAAACGUUAGUCAAAUCCAACACAAAACACACAGAUUACAAAAUCACAUAAGAUAUUGAGAUUUUAGAGGUAGCUUCUAUCAUAUAUCACUUAGCUUUCGCAGGAUUUUAGAAAUGACAUCCACGAUUUAGCACUUAGCUCUUGUUCGAUUGGUAACUAUUUUGAUACUAUUUAUGGAGAUCCGCACUCAAUCUGCAAGGUUAUGUCUGCUUUGACUCGAAGGUCUCACAGUUUUUAUCUCAUAAAAGGUAUCUCAUAAGUUUGGUUUAGCCCUCUACACACACACACAUAUAUAUAUCAUAGCAAAAUCUCGAAUUAUCCUGAUAUGAGAUUAGGGUGUCAUACCAUGUUAACAGAAAAUUUUGUAUAACUUGUGGCAUAUAUGACUUUUAUUUUUUAUUAAGAUUACAUAUGAUAUACUGUUAGAAUAUAGAUUUUAUAUAUUGUUAGUGAAUCAAAUGAUGCAUUCUUAUUAAUUAUGUAAAUCAAAUGAUGCUACCUUAUUUAUAAAUAAGUUUUAAAAAAAAUUAAUUUUUUAUAUAUUUAUUUUAAAGAUUGAUAUUUACUCAUUAAUAAAAUUAUCUCAUCGAAUUUAUCGGUAUUAUAUAAAAUUUAUAUAUUAACAGUGUAUUAAAUAUAAACUUUUUUAUAUAUGAUUUUUUGUACAUUUAUGACAUUGGCUAGCAUAGUCUUGGUAUGUAACAAUAUUUUUGCUUUUUUUUGGAUAAAUUAAAAUUUUCAUUUAUAAAAAAUCUAUCCAAAAAAGGGCUUUUCCUAAAUUAUAUAUCUCAAAUAACCAAAUGUCUCAAUGGUUUAGGAAUUUUUGUAUAGGUUAAUUCUUCCAUUAAUAAAAUUAAUUGUACCUUGGCUUUGAAAAAGAACAAAGGGUAUAUGAAACCAGAGAAUAUUACUUAUGAUAAUUAUAGUACAAUUAAUUAAUUAUAAUUUAAAAUUACGUAAAAAUCAUCAAAAUUUUAUAUGAAAUUCAUAUUUAAAAUUAUGAUUGAAUAAUUAUAAUUUUAUAAUAAAAAAAUUAUAAUUGAAAUACUCUCAUAUGAAAUUUGCUCAAUUUAGCUCAAAUUUUUGUUUAGAUUUUAAGGCUAAGCCUAAUUGGUUAUGGGCCGUAACUUUGACUAUACUUUCUAUUAAUAAAUGCUCAUCUUAGUCCCUCGUAAAUAAAUAAGUUAUUUUUGAAUUAUUUAGAUUCAACUAAAAAAAAAAUUUACAAUUCGAUUUUAUUAUUAUUGUGUCAAAUUUAAAUUUGAACUAUUUGAAUAACAAAUUAAGUAGAGUUUAAAUAGUUUAAUAUUCGAUUCAAAAGAUUUAUGAGUAAAAUCGAAUUUAAUUAUAUUUUUAUUUUUUAAUAUAUUUAAUAUAUAAAUAAAGAAUAAAUAUUUAAUAUCAAUAUUUAUAAUUUUAUCAAAUUAAACUCGAAUGAUUUAAUUAAAUUACAAAUUAAACUCGAAUAUUAAAAAUAAAACUGGUUUGUUUUUGUGUUAAAUUUUGAGAUAUAAAUUUUUAAGUCGAACUAGGAGCAUAUCAACUCGAUUCUAUUGACAGAGUUAAACUUGGCAAUUUACAUUUCUUAUCGUCUACUAAUGUUCAUGGAGCCUUUGUGCUUUACUAUGGGCUUUAGCCCGAAGCCCAUCCUUCUCAUUGAUCUCAUUCAAAGAGCUCUUCCUCCCCUGAAAACUCAGAACUCAAGAAAACCAAAGAAUUUCUCAAAACCAUAAUCACAUCCUUUCAUCUCGAUUGCUUAAGCCUUCUAAGUUAUUUACUCUUUGACUUUUUUCAUUUUUUGGUUGUGAUGAUGGUCACUUCUGCUUGCAAUUUACCUUCUUGUUCUUAUUCAAUAUGCCCAUUUACCGACAAGCAAACUAACCCACAAUCAUGGGGAAACAGAAACCCAUUGUUAUUCAGAUUACAAGCAGCAAAAUUCAGUUGUUGCAAAGCCAAUAAUCAGCCUGAAAUGGCCUUCAUCACAGAAACAAACGAAGAAAGAAGAAGUUUUAAGUGGGUUGAGAUUGGUCCCAACAUCACAGAAGAACAGAAACAAGCGAUAACCAAACUUCCAUUCAAGAUGACCAAGCGAUGUAAGGCUUUGAUGAAGCAGAUUAUUUGUUUUUGUCCUGAAAAAGGGUGUUUGUCGGAUUUGUUGGCUGUUUGGAUUAAGGUCAUGAAGCCCAGGAGAGCUGACUGGCUUGUGGUUCUUAAAGAAAUGAAGAUGAUGGAACAUCCAUUUUAUUUUCAGGUGCAGUUUACAUUUCACUUUUCAAAUGAUUUCUAUAUGUAUUUUGAGGAUGUGAAUUAGUUGUAGUAAUAGGAAUAGAGUGUUAGGAAACUGUACUUUCGGUGGAAAUUGUCAGUCCCAACUCUGUUCAUAACAUAAUUAUGAAAUGGUAUUGAAAUGGAAUUGUUUGUGGCGAGCUGUCUUGACAAGGUAAGAAUCUGAAAUCAAGGUCAGUUAAUAGCAAAGGUCAGAGGUUUUUCCCGCGUUCUCGUUCCACGUUUAAGUCAGUACUCAGAAUGAAAGAGGAGAGAAAACUUGGUAAUUGAAAACUAGUAAAUUAAAUCAAUAGUACCUGAGAGAGAGUGGCUAUUUAUACUUGUAUGCUGAGAAUGUCGAGCUUGGGUGGCCGGAGCUCCAAAUGAUAGGGUUAGGGCUAGGGCUAGAUCUAGGCUGAUGUUGCUGGUCCAACCUAAUUUAGCAAUCAAUAACCCUAACCCACUUGGGAGGUGAUAAGUCAGCAUUACCAUGUGUUUUGACAUGGCGAGUUGAGGUGGCCAAGCUGACGUGGGUCUCGAAACUUCAAGUCGGCUUGACAUGCCAACUCGAGUCAAAAUAACCAUAUUGUCCCCAUCUGGUUGAUGACUCUCACUCUAAAACAAAAUGACUAUUUUGCUCUCUGGAUCAUAAAAUGUCUCUAACAAGAAGGAUUGUUCUUUAUUUGUUAAAAGGAAGCCACAGCAUGGAAAGGGUUACAAAUGCUAUGAUUUGAAUUCCAAACAUGUAAAAAUAAUUGCAUGAACCAAUUGAGUUGAACUCUCAUUCAUUGUUCCUUUGGUCUUUCUAGCUAGUUGGUUGGUCUGCUCAAUUCGGAAUUGGGGAGUAUGAAGAAGGGGGCAUUAGGAGAGCAUAUGCUAGUGUAAUGUUAAGAUGCCUGUAUGAUUUGUGGACUAGAAUAAGCUAUUGCAUACGGUACUGGUCUGCGAAUAUUGGUUUUUACAGGUUCAUUAACCUCUCUAUAAUAAUAGUAAUAGAGCUUCUGCAGGUGAACUUACUGAGGGAUUAUAUAUCCCAAUUCAAAUCUCAAUGGCAUAUUUAUGAGGUGAAGUAAAAGUUACUUGUUUUCCAUUACUAGCUUGUUACUUUGUUUGGUUCGGAAUUCAAAGAUCCUGACAUGCAAAUGACAAUUAGAAAUAAGGAAAUGAUGUUUGUACGGCCUAUGCUUGAUUCAUGUCUCAUUGUUCUUUGUCUAGGUGGCAGAGCUUGCCCUAUUUGAAGAAUCUUUUGAAGUCAAUAUUCGCGAUUACACUAAGAUAAUCCAUGGUUACGGAAAGCAAAACCGGCUGCAAGAAGCUGAAAACAUUCUUGUUGCCAUGAAGAGAAGAGGUUUCAUCAGUGAUCAGGUAACUCUAACAACCAUGGUUCACAUGUACAGCAAGGCUGGAAAUCUUAAGUUGGCUGAGGAAACCUUUGAAGAGAUUAAGCUGUUCGGCCAACAACUGGAUAAAAGAUCAUAUGGCUCGAUGAUUAUGGCCUACAUCAGAGCUGGAAUGCCUGAACAAGGGGAGGUUUUGCUUAUAGAAAUGGAUUGCCUGGAGAUUUAUGCUGGAAGUGAGGUUUACAAGGCACUACUGAGAGCAUACUCCAUGCUUGGUGAUACCAAAGGUGCACAAAGAGUGUUCGAUGCCAUUCAGCUUGCCGGUAUAUCUCCUGAUGCCUGGCUUUGUGGGCUCCUGAUAAAUGCCUAUCAAGUGGCAGGUCAAAGUGAAAAAGCACGUAUGGCAUUCGAAAACAUGAGGAGAGCUGGUGUUGAGCCUACUGAUAAAUGUGUAGCUCUGCUGUUGGCUGCUUAUGAAAAGCAGAACAAGCUCAAUGAGGCCUUGGAUUUUCUGGUGGCUUUGGAGAGAGGUGGAAUUGUGAUAGGGAAAGAAGCUUCAGGUGUCCUUGCUCAAUGGUUUAAAAAGCUUGGGGUAGUUGAACAGGUGGAACUUGUGUUGAGAGAAUUUGCGGCCAAAGAAACCAAUGGCAGUUGUUGUUAAAACAUUGAUCUUUAGUUUCUUUUUCAGACAUCAUCUUGUGGCCAAGUUGUAAAAACUGGUUAGAUUGGCUUGGUAAUUUGUCAUGUUCCUGUAGCCUCUGUAUAUCAAUAUAUUUGUCUUGGUAGUACUAGUACACCGAUGUUUUUGUUUUAGGUAAAUUUAUUAGAUUCGAUAAUUUAAAAUAUAAAAUUAUAAUAUGAUGUAAAAAUAUAUAAAAAAAAAAUAAUAUGAUUUAAAAUUUUAACAAAAAUUAUAUAUGAAUUUAACAACAAUAAAAAAUAUAUUUUAAAUUUUUUAUCAGAAUAAAUUGUGAUAUUUAUAUGACAUAAAUAUAUGAAUAUUUUACUGUUAAAAAUUUGAUUUCCCCGGUAGUAAUGAGAAUUAUUCUUAUCAAGAAUGUUCCAAUAAAUAAUAUAUUAUACAUUUGGAUCACAAUGAAAUUUGGCUUUUGAUGAAAUUAAAAUAGACUAUGAUGAUAAAAUUAAUUACAAUAACGGUUCGAUUAAGUAUUAUAAUGAUAAAAUAAAAAUUAAUGAUAAAAUUAUGUGAAUGUAAAUAUAACAAUAAUGGUAAAAUUGAGUUUAUCAGUUGGUUGUUGUAUUCAAUAAUGAUAAAAUUGAGGACAACAAUAAUGAUAAGAUUAAAAAUAUGAUUUGAAAAUUUUUAUUAAAAUUUUAAAUUAUUUUUAAAUUGUGUCAUGGUAUAUUAUUUAAAAUAAUUAAGUGAACUUAUUCCCCCCUAAUUUUUUUUUUUUUUACUUCUAAUCAUUUUUAAUGUAUUAAAAAUUUCAUUAGUGCUAUCAGGCACUUGUCUGGAAGGAAGACUAUAAAUAAUAAUGAUUUAAAUUAGAUUAAAUUUGAUUUUUUUAAUUUAAUUUUUAAUUUUUUAUAUAUUAUUUUAAUAAAAUUUUUUAAUAUAUUUAAAUAAAUUGAUAUAUAAAAUGCAUAUUUUUAUUUAAUAAAAAAAUUAAAAAAUAUAUAAAAAUAUAUUAAAAAAAUAUAUAAUUCUAUUUAAUUCGAAUUUUUAUAUUUUGAUAUAAAAUUUAAUUUAAACUUAAUACAUAUAUUUAAUAUCUAAUUAAUUCAAAUUGAAUAAAAAACAAAUUAAACUAAACAUUAAAAUUUCAAAUAAAUUUUUAUUUUCCCGAUUUUUUUCUGAACCCCAACAAAGUCCUCCUUGGAAUAAGUGCUCAGAGCAAAAUCUAAAAUUUCCAAACCAUGACAAGUUGGGGACAGCUAUAUCUGAAAUUUAUGGUUUGCCAUGGUCAAACCAUAAAUGGCAAAAGAACCUUUUAUGGUUUCUGCAGUAUCAAGAAAAAAAAUCAGAAAUGCUAUUAACCAAAAAAAGAAAAAAGAAAAAGAAAGAAGUGAAAUAACAAACAAGCAAAAAAAAAAAACAAAGUUCCGAUCAUAUUUUUAAAAAUAAUUUAUAUAUAAUUUUUAUUAAAAUUAUACAUGAUAUUAUUUUUGUAUAAUAUUAUUAUAUCAUAUUUAAAUUAUCCAAUUGAAUAUAAAAUAAUGUAAUUGAAAUGAAGAAAAUAAGCGUAAGAAGUUCAUAUUUUAUUUGUUAAAAAAGACAAAAAGCAUGUCAGGGGUAACAAAAUUUUCGAUUGUUUAUCUGAUUUAAUAAUUUUAAAUAUAAUAUAAUAAUAUUACAUAAAAAAUAUAAAAAUAAUAUAAUUUAAAAUUUUUAUAAUAAUUAUAUAUAAAUUUAAUAAAAUAAAAAAUUAAUAUAAAUUAUAACAUAAUUUUAAAAUAUAAUAUAAUAUAAAUAUAUAAAUUUUAAUAUUUUAUAUAAAAUAAAUACACUAAUCAUCGGAUUAUUUCACUGCCAACUUUGCUGCUUUAAAAGGAAGACCCGAAUAUAUAUAUUUUAGAAAAGCUUUUUACUUUUUCACCUUAGCUUUUCUCCCUUAUUUUUAACUAAAUUACUAUUUUAACUCCAUUUUAAUUCAAUUUCCCCUCUCACGGACGUGAAUUCCUUCUUAACCAAAAUUUAUAUAUUGAGGUUAUCAAUUUACCUAAUAAUUAAUAAUUUUUUUAACCCUUAUUAAAAAAUAUUUUACUUUUAAUUUCUUUUUUAUUUUUCAUAUUUUGUAAUUUUUCACCUUUCUAAAGUAAAAAAUCGCUGUUCAGACUAGGAAAAUGAAACGAAGGCCAAUGGUUUUCUGAAACUGAAACCCAGUGUUUGUGUUUUUUAUACUUCAGAUUUUUUAAAAAUCUGUUUGGUUGGCAAGAAAAAGCUUUUGAAAGUACUUUGCUUGAAAAAAUGUGAACAAGUCUAAGAAGAACAGUGUCAGUGGCUGUACUUAUAAGUUACAGGUCAUGAUCUCUACAUUUUGUUGUAUAAAAAUCCAUGCUUUUAAUGAUUUUCUGUUUUUUUUUUUUCUUUUGAAAUGAAAAUUAAAGUUUUCAUUUUUGGUUGAGUUACAGUUUGAUUUGAGGAUCUAAACAAAAAGCUGAAGUUUGGGUACAAGUAGUUUCACUUGUAUCUCUUCAUGCAUCUUUAAAAUUUUUUUUGAGGAAUUUUUUUUUAGAAGUUUUUAGCUUUUUUUUUUUUUUUCUAAUUUUGAGUAUUUUUUAAAAUCUAUUAAAAUUGUCACUUGGAAUUUUUUUAUUUUUGCAUUUUUAAUGAAUUUCAAAGUUGGACUAAUCUUUGUUUCAGCCGCAAGUGAAAGAGAACACUGGUUUUAUUAGUUUUUUCUUUUGGGUUUACUCUGAGGAUAUUGUUUUUAUUGUUUGUUUUCUGAUUUUUGAUUGAUGGAUUUCUGUUUUGUAGGUGGCUUUGUUUGCAUUAUGUGCAUGGAAGCAAAUCCAGGUGUUACAGUGAUUGGAGCAGAAGCUCCAUCAGCUUAUCACAUGGCGCCAAGGACAGAUAAUGCUAGACAGAUUGGUGGCGGCUCAACGGCGGUGGAGGCUUCACUAGUUAGUGUAGGAUUAACUGGUAGUAUAGAAAAGAAGAAGAGAGGUAGGCCAAGGAAAUAUGGACCAGAUGGGACAAUGGCAAUGGCAUUGUCGCCAAUGCCUAUUGCCUCAUCUGUCCCGCCUGGAGGAGGCGAGAUCUCUGGUGGAGGAAAGCGGGGGAGAGGGCAAGGCGGUGGUUAUCAGAAGGGAAUGGAAAUGGAGAAUUUAGGUAAUAACUAAUAAGCCCUGAAAGUUGUAUGUUUGUUUUUUACUUCAAAUUUUAGCAUCUUGUUGUUUUAGUUGGAGUUCGCUACGUAGAAUCGAUGAGGAUGGUGUGAAUUUCAUGUUAUAGAUUUGGUAGUGGAUAGUAAUGUUGCUGGUUUCUGUUUGAGUAUGGUUCAAGCUAAGUGAAUUUGCCAAUUAGUCCUGCACCAGGGUUUCGAAACCGGUCACUCUGAUUGAUUCAGAAAUCGCUGAGUGCCUCUUUGAAAGAGUCCAUAUGUGAAGUCACUCCUUAAUAGUACUUGUUGAACCUUUUUGCGGGACCCUUGUUGGAGAUGCUGUUCUUCAGAUUUGAAAGUAUAAUGCCGGUUUUGUGAAUAAAAAAGUGGCGUUUUUGUGUGGUUGGUGUGACUAGUGACUUGAGAGGUUGAGGAAUAUUCUUCUUGUGGCCUUUUCAUCAAGGAUUUUUCAAGAUGCUCACAAUGAUAUACAGAAACAGAAUUAAACUUGUUAAAGGAGCAAGAUUGCUUGAUCGGUAAUUCCUUUUUGUUACCAAGAAUUAAGCAGACAGAAAAUAUGUUUCUAUUCUUGACCUUAUGGAAUCUGGUUUGCUGAAGUAUUAAACCACUGCGUACGUUGCCCGUUCCAAGUUGAAAUCCUUUGCUGAAUUCAUGCCAAAUCUCAACCAUAUGUAGAUCUAUGUUUCUAGUUUGACAAACAUGGCUAAAGUGUAUAUUAGCACAUAAUUUUUUUUCUUUAACAGCAAAAUUCCAUAUUUACCGAUGUUCCUUAACUGUUUUGUAGGUGAGUGGGCUGCUACGUCUGUAGGAACAAAUUUUAUGCCACAUGUCAUCACUGUCAAUGCCGGUGAGGUACGCUUUGAUAUGGGAAAGAGAUAGAAGAAUGGCUUUGUUUCUUUUGACGGAAACAUUCUUGUGAUUCAUUUCUAUCAUUGUCAAAACUUGAAGACUUAUGCAGACAUUCUGGGUCCAUUCUUUUUGUGGCUGUUAGCGUCUUUCAAAUUGUGUUGGAUCUUUUCCUUGUUCAUAUUUCUAAACCUUAGUCCUUGACACCUGGGCACUGUCAAAUCAUGAAACUUAACUUUGUAUUGUUUCGGGGGAGAAUUUGUGGGUCUCUACGGCGUUUGUUAUCAUAUUAUUGCUUCUUGAACUAUGAGAUUCGUGUUAAAGAUAAGUUUAGUGGUUGCACUUUUAGCUAUUCUUUUCUUUACUCCAUAUUCAGGAGGGUUUCUUUAUCACUAAAUCUACAUUUUUCCUACUGUAAUCUUUGAUUUUCUUUGGUGUUUAAGGAUGUAACGAUGAAGGUGAUAUCAUUUUCUCAACAAGGACCAAGAGCUAUUUGCAUCUUAUCUGCUAAUGGAGUAAUUUCAAAUGUUACACUUCGUCAGCCCGAUUCUCCAGGGGGUACUCUGACGUACAAGGUUAGACAAAUUAGAACUUACCACCACAUUCCAAAAUAUUUGGAGUUUCCAAUAAUAUUUAUAGUUUUGUAUGUAAGUUAGUUUCUCCCUGCUGUAUGCAAAGAUUGUUAUUCUUUCAAAAACUGUAGUGUAUCUAUGAUGUGUUUGAUUCUGGGAUGUGAAUCAAGGUUUGUUGCAUGAUGUUUUAAGGGACAGGAGGGGGCCUAACUUCGAAUUAUGAUGACGGAUAUGUUACCAUGCAUCGACUAAAUUUCAUAGGAUUAGUCUUAGUAACCAAUGGCUCAUAUACAAGAGAGGAAGAAACAUAGAAAAAGAUGAUUUGUUUGUUCAUACAUUAACAUCUAUGCUUUUUUGAUUUCUAAUCCAUGAUACCCUCGUCUUUUCUAUUUUCUUGUAGGGUUGUUUUGAGAUACUUUCCUUGUCCGGAUCCUUCAUGCCUACAGAAACGCAAGGAACAAGAAGUCAAUCUGGUGGGAUGAGUGUCUCUUUGGCAAGUCCUGAUGGCCGUGUUAUAGGGGGAGGAGUUGCUGGGCUUCUGGUAGCUGCCAGUUCUGUACAGGUAAGCGUUUUAGUGUUAAAUUUUCCUGUGGGGGCCUCUCUUGUUGCGAGUGAUUCUACCAGUAGUCUGAGCAAUACGUUGAGCAUCUGUUCAAACAUAGUAAUCCUUGUCUAAAAGAACAAGAAUUUGCAUCAGCCAACAAACAUGCAUGAGACUCGUGUCAAAAUCAUAGAAAACUAUAAUCGAUCUUUAGCCAUUCUAACAUUUCCUGGCACUAUGUGGUUUCUCGAACAAUUUAAAAAGAUUAGUCUUUUCAUUAAUCAAUCUUGGUCUGGAGCGCAUUGGUUAAUUUUUUUGCUCAAUUAUGAGGUUGUUGUAGCUAGUUUUUUACCGGGCAACCAGCAUGACCAAAAAUCCAAGAAGCCGAAAAAUGAGUCUGUACUAGCUACCGUUGCACCAAACCCGAAUAUUGUUGUUGCACCUGUUUCAGAUGCAGAAAAAGAAGAUGGAAUCGAUGGACUUUUGAACCAAAACUCGAAUGGCCCGAAACCGAACUUUGCUACCACUACAUUCUGAAGAGAAAAUUGGACCACCAUGUAGGAGCCAAGAAAUUCAGCAACUGAUAUCAACAUUUCUUUGCUUGCAGGUUAGUUUGAUAAAUCACAACCAUUCAUCUCAGAGGCUGACUAGAUCAAUCCCUGAUGUGUUUUUUCUACAAAGAGUGGAGUUUAUGUGUUCUUGAAUAUUAAUGUGGGAUUAGCAUUCCUGAUAUCCAGCUAGGUUUUGAUGUCUCAGGCAAAGACAACUUUUCCCAGAUUUGAAAAUCUCCCAAUUAUGGAGUGGUGAGCUUUAUUAAUCUGGUUUUGUUGAUAUCCUUCAACGACUGACUUGGUUAAAAUCCAACGAAAUCUAGUUUAUUACUGAAAAAAUUUAAGAGUUAGUAUUUGAGCCGCCAUCCAAAUAGAUUGGCCAUGUCUCUUUUUUUUUUUUAUAGAUGUUAAUCUUAUCCAAAUUUAAUAGAAAUUCGAUUUUUUAUAUGAACAAAGAUGUGGAUGAAUAUUAAAUUUUGAGCACGAGGACUUAGCUCGAUAUAAGUUUAAAUUUUGUAGAGUAUGAGUAUGAAAACGGAUAAUAUAACAAUAGUUGCUAAUUUUUUUUUAUCCAUAUUUUUAUCCGUAUUUUAUAUAUAAUUAUAUAUAUUUAAUAAAUAAAAUUUUUAUUUAAUAAUAUAAAUUUAUUUUAGAUUAAUUAGAAUUAAUAUGUUUUUAUUUUAAAAAUAUUUAUAAAAUAUUACAUAAAUAUGUAAGAUAAAAAUUAAAAAAUAAAAAUAAAAAUUUAUUUUUAUUUUAAAAAAUGUUAUAAUACGAAAAUUAAUUAUACUUAUUAAAUAUCAAUUGAGAUGUGGAGAUGAAUUUAAAAUAUUUAUUGAAUAUGAAUAUAAAAAUAAAUAUAUAUAAAAAAUUAAAAAUAAAAAAUAAAAACUUAAAACAAAUUUUUAUUUUAUUUUUUUUUAAAAUGUUAUGGUAAUUGCACUCAUUAAAUAUUAGUGGAGAAGAAGAUGAAGAUAAAUUUAAAAUAUUUAUUAAAUACAAGUACGAAAAUAAAUAUAUAUAUAUAUAUAUAAAUCUGAAAAUGAAAAUGAAAAUAAAAAAUACUUAAAAAUGCUAUCCUAGACAUCUUAAGAUUUUACUCAUCUCAAAUCUCAAAUCUCUGUCUUUUGCUUUGUUUUAUUUUAAAUUCUACUAUUAAUUCAAUGAUUAUCCGGAAUCAAUUUCUAGGUCCACAAAUGGCGCUGUUGCCGUUGGUUGAGAAUUGAGAACUUUUCUAAUCCGACUCGACUCGAUUUGACCAGAUAUAAAAGGUUGCCAGCCCUUCUUAUUUUUACUCAAUACAAACUGGCAUGGAUUCUGAGCAUCCAGCAGCCCCAUUAAAAUUUAUCUUAAGAAGCAUUUGUUUUACAACGUUUGGCAGAUUAAUGUAAAUGAAACUUCAGCAUAACAAGUUUGGAAACACAAAAAAGAACAGCAGAACAUACAUAGAUUUUAUGGUUUUCAAGCUUAUAAUUAGAUGUACAUUAUCACAAACUUCAUGCUUAUAAUUUGAUGUACAUUAUCGAUGUACAUUAUCACAAACUUCAAGCUUAUAAUUUGAUGUACAUUAUCACAAACUUCGUCAGCCUCAUCUGAACCCAGAAAGAUUCAUAGGAACUGAUUCAACAAUAUUUUUCGACACUUCCUGCAUUUUCCAGCAUGAUUUGAACCAAUUAGUUAACAGUGUUCUAGAGAUUUUCUUUUUCAUUUUUUUAUACUUCUUUUUAAUAUAAGAGACUGCAACCUAAAAAUUCAAAUUUCAAAACUGUUGGAUAUCACCUUUCAAGGGUAAUUGUAUGAUCCAAUCGAGUUAAGUUUCGAAUUUUUUUUUUAUAUUUUAGAUUAUUAGGAUUUAAACUUUGAUCACUAACACUCUAUUAAAAAAAUAGAGAUUUUUAUUAUUAUGUCAAAAUAAUAUAAUAUGGAGGUGCUAGACAAGACUUACUAAAGAUAGUUUCUUUCCUUGCAGCACUUGAUAGCUUCAUCAAGCAUUUCCUCAACCCCAUAUUUAAAUUUGAAACCUGCAUCCAAUAGUUUCUUUGAUGACAAACCAGGGACUUUUGUACCUUUGAUUUCAGCCAAGAAACUGCCACGAAAAUAAGUUGGAGAAAAAUCUGCUUUUAGUCCAAGAUUGUUCUAUUGUAAGCUUGAAUUAUUGAGAAAAAUGCAGAGGAAAAUCACUUCACUCACUCUGCUGUUGGAAUUGGGAACUCUGGAUACUUGGAAGAAAGAAUUUCAGCCAUCUUUAGAAUGCUUAUAGUGUCGUAAGAACAAUUGUAUCUCCCUUUUGCUUCAGGAUACUCAAGCAGGAAAAUAUGUGCCCUUGCAACAUCAUCAACAUGCACCAUUGAUAUAUUUAGAAGAAGGCUAUAUUCAUGCUCGUUCCCUGUGCACAAUCAAACAGAAACACUUGCUGAAUCUAAUAUUUAAUUUAAUUAGUUCAUACAAUCAUGGUAUUUAGUAGGUUAGGAGUUUGAACAAUAACGGAUUUAGGAUUUUUUUUUUGCAAAAGUGUCUAGUUAUAAUAUAUAUAACUGUUAACGGAUUUACCAAUUCUAUCAGAUAGGGUGUCAGGACAAAUUUUUUUGUUUUUCUAAUCUUUGGAUGUGUCUAUAGACACCCUGUUCUUGAAUAUUGAUAUGCCCCAAGUUCAAAUUCCAACACUGCAAUUUUUUUUUUUUUUAAUUUCAGAUUACAAUCUCUUUUGUGAAAAAUUCGUUGGAUUUUGAAUGAAACAGAAUAAUAAAACUCGUCCCAUUACUAUAUAUAUAUAUAUAUAUAUAUAACUGUUGAAGAAUUUACUAAUUCUAUUGGAGAGGGUGUCAACAUAAAUUUUCCUUCAAAUUUUUUUGUUUUUCUAAUCUUUGGAUGUGUUAAUAAAUAGCUAAUUUUUAAAGACAGAUUUAUCAUGAGAUUAAAUCUCGAUACUUGUAAUAUAAAUUUUUUUAUCUCAAAUUACAAUAUCUUUUAUAAAAAAACUUUUUGGAUUUAGAAUGAAACAUAGUAAUAAAACUUGUCACAUUGCAUAAUUAAAAGCCUAACCAACAGAAGAAAACAAUUUUGCAUGCAUCAAAUUAAGAUGGGAAGAAAGAUAACUAGCUUUUUACCCAAGACCAGAGCCAAUGUUGAGCGCACUGAGCUAGGGAACUUGGGGCAGAUGAAAGGACCAACAACAAAUGUAGGAAUCACUGUCACCAAAUCCAAUCCAUGUUCUGCUGCAAAUUCAAGAGCAGCCCUUUCUGUCAAAGUCUUGGAAAUCAUGUAAGUAUGCAUGUGUGGAUUUGAUGUUUCCCUAACAAAUCCCACGUCUGUCCAAUAACUCUCAUCCCUCAUCUCCUCAUCCUCGUUGUUGAACUGAACGGCUGAUGCACUAGAAGUAUAGACAACUCUCUUCACAGUCUUUGAUUUUAAGCAUGCCUUCAAGAUGCCUAGUGUUCCACUGAUUGCCCUUCUGAUUACUGUUUCUUCAGGUUCUUUGUACUCGAAAUCGACAGGGGUGGCAACAUGGAGGACUCCUUUGCAUCCUUCAAUGGCUGCAUCGAAGCUGUCAGGGUCAUUGAGAUCUGCACUGUAAAUUUUCAGCUUUUCGGCUG